rnacentral:lncRNA from 1 species
UGCUACCUUGUCAUCAGCUUCGAGGAUUUACAUAAAAUUCGCCUUUUUGGUAAGUUCUUCUAUGACCACCACUUUUAAAACUGGAGCUUGCAUUUCUUACAUUCACUAUCCCCACAUUCCUGACUUAUUUUUCUUCAUAGUACUUCAUAUAAACUGACAUUCUAUUUGUUUUAAUUAUGUGAUUAUUCACUGUCUACAUUUUCCUACCUAAAUGUAAAUUUUGUAGGGGUUUUUUAUUCACUGCUGUAUCCCCACUCUGGACCAAUGCCUAGCACAUUGUAUAUGCUCAACAAAUAUUUGGAUGAAUGCUACUAGGUUAUAAUACCUUAGCAUUUUUUAUACUUCUAUACAAGCAUUUAAUAUUGAACAUUAUGCAUUUGUGUGUCUGUCUCCCCACUAAAAGGAAUUGUUCAAGUGCAAGGACUAUAUCUUAUUGAUCUUUGAACCCUUCAGUUUAUAUAAUAUCUGGAAAUAAGUAAGUGUGCUCUAAUAUAUGUUGAUCGAGCAAACAAAUGAACUAAAACUCAGCCGUCUGUGUACUUUUCAAGUAGCACUUGCUUCAGUGCAUCUUCUGAUGUUUAAAAAUUGAAAUUUAUUAUGUAUGCCAAUCAGAGAAGCUCUAAGCUAGAGGCUUACUCUGAAACAUAUUUUCUGUUCUCAUUCUUGUCUUAGCAACUCACUUGGCAGUGUUUGGUAAGUAUAAUUACCCAUGUAAAAUACUUAGAAUAUUUUCAAUAAAUUUGAAAAUAUUUUACAUUUCCUUAUUUCAUGUCUUAAACAUAUGCAAAGAGUUUCAUUAAAUUUUAAUUUUUUCAAGUAUUCUGAGCAUUAUCUUCUCCAUCUAUUGAAAAUGUUCUUUGUCUUUUUUUUAAUAUUUGCAUUCAAUUUGCAGAGUGCAAGGGAAUGAUUGGUAGUUUGUAUCUUAGGCAAAAUAACCAAUCAUAAAAUAUUUUAACAUUCUUUUAGAAACUAAUAUAUUACAUGUUUAUGCCAUUGGAUGUUAUGUGUGUGUCUACGUGUAUGUAUAUACAUAUACAUGUACAUAUGCAUAUACAUAUACAUACACAUACAUAUACAGCAUAUACGUAUACAUCCGCCCAGUAUACUUUUCAGUCUAUUACUCUUUAUUGUCGUCACUGAACUCAUAAAUUUCAACAGUCUUCUUUUAGGCUUCAAUUGAAAGAACUCCCACUCUUUUUUUUUUUUUCUUCUUCUUUUCCUUUUUUUGGAAGGUGGGGUAGGGUGGAGGGGUGGGGGAUGCUGAUUAGUAUGACUCUUCCAAGUAGCGCAAAUACAUUUCACAAUGUGAUCUUUGAUAAAUGUCCAAAUGGAUUUUAAAACUAAAUUGAACUGCUUUUUAUUGAGCCCAUAAUUUAUUCCAGCCAUCUGUGUCACACACACAAAAGUUUGUUUCUUAAGGGCUUUCUGAUAUUUUUUGUCCCCCUCAGCAACACCAUUAGGAUAUAACAACGUUAACAUAUUUCAGGAUUGACUUUGGCCCCCUAAAGAAUAUAAUACCUCUUUCAGUCAAUAAACAUUUUCAACACAACUAUUUGCAAUUUGGAGAUUAAAAAAUAUGGAACCAAAAUCAUUCUUUUGGCAUCAUACUUUCUAUUUAAAGGCCACCAAAUGUUUCUUUCUGAGAGAUUGUAUUGAGCGGUUAGGAUCUUGGCAUCCACUAUUGUUUUAGGGAAAGAUUUUCCUGGCCCACACUUGUUGUUGCUGGAUAAUGAAUGACUAGAGUAUAUGGACAGAGCCACCUUCCCAUCUGUACUAGCCUUAACUACCAUUGAUUGCUGUGUUGCGUCCUCUGUUGAACCAUGCAUACUUAAUCAUUAAUUUUACUUAGAGCUAAUAAAAAUACUUCUCUUCGUUGAUCAUCUAUUGUGUACCUAGGACAUCACAAAUAUUUCUGAUUUAAUCAUCACAAUAAUCUGAAUUUAAACAUAGAGAAAUUCAUUCUUAUAUAUUUUAUUGGAAUUUCUGAUGACUAAUUUUUUGUAGGAAUUACUAAAACAAUACUAGAAAUUUGUGGAUUUAGUUUGUAUUAACUGCAUUGUAAUUUAUAAAGCGCAUUUUUAGUUUUCUUCAUAAAGAAUGACACUUUUAAAGUUCCUACUUUGCUAAACAGUGCAUUAGACUUGAUGUUAAUUAUCACAGUGUAAGGAAGACAGGCUUAGUAAGAUUAACCAUAUUUUCACAAGAUUUGUAGGUAACUGAGCCUGCCCAGGACUCUUUCGCUCAAUAUACCUUCUAUGUUGUUAUUCGGCCUUAAAUAUAGUAGUAGCCUGUGAUCCCCCACAGAAUCUGUCUAGCUAGCUAGCUAGAUAUCUUCCAUUCUAUUCUAUCUAUUCUAUUCUAUUCUAUUCUAUCCUAUUCUAUUCUAUUCUGUCUGUGACCUAUAAUAAUCCUGAUGUAUGGGAAAUCAUAUUAUCUCUAUCAUGGUUUUUCUGUGCUAUAAUAUGAAACAUUUCAUAUAUAUGACUACAUAUAAGAAACAGAUAUGACUGAAUCAACUAUAUCCUAAGUAAAUACAUAUAUUUGUGGUUGGUACAUACAGUAAAUCCAUGCCUAGGUGAUGAGCUCUAUUAGAAACUUUCAUGAUAAUAUAAUGUGUUAAAUACUGUGUCAUCUUUCUCCCAUCAUUUGAACUUAGCUAAAUUGCUAAACAUAAAACAUGAAUUUCUAAAAAGCUCGUAUCAUGCAUUGAUGCAAGAAGUAAAUUCUACUUGAAAAUAGAUUGUUCUGAGAAUAAGAAAAGUGUGGCUAAAGUGAUAAAAAUAGAGAUAGAUGAAAGAAUUUGAGAUCAUUUAAUGUAGAGAAGAUAAAGCUAGUUCAGUUUAUUUUUUCAUAUUUAUAUAAGCUUUUUUUGAUAGUAACAGCAAGCAAUUGUUUUCUAUUUUGACAUCAGAUCAGGAAAUAGGCUUAAUAAAUUAUGAGACAGUUUAAUUGGAGAUAAGAAAGACAACCUCUAUACCAAAGUAAUAAAACAUUAGCAUUGACUACUAAGUAAGAUAUUAAGCAUUUAUACCUGGAAAUCUGCAAAAAGGACAUAAACAACCAUGUAUCCCUGCCAGAGAAAGGCAAGCUUCUGGACAAUAGGAUCUCAAGCUGUCUUUCCUAAUUUUUUGUUUUAUAGAUAUCACUCUUUCCUUACUUUUCUUCCAGCUUUCUCUGCUACUUAUAACAAUACAUUAAGCAGUAACAAUUUCUGGCUUUUGUUUUUAAACACAUCUGAUUAUAAGAAUAUUAACUGCAGUUUCUCUUUUACCUUCCAUUGUCAAGAAGUGAAAACAGGGGCACUUGGCUCAGUUGGUUAAGCAUCCAGAUUCGGCUCAGGUCAUUAUCUCAGAGGUUCCUGGGUUCAAGGCUCACAUCAGGCUCUGUGCUGAUAGCUCAGAGCCUGGAGCCUGCUUUGGAUUCUGUGACUCCUCUCUCUCUGUCCCUCCCCUGCUCAUGCUCUGUCUCUGUCUGUCUCAAAAUUAAAUAAAACAUUAAAAAAAAUUUUUAAAGAAGUGAAAACAGUGAUACAUCAGCCAGUUUUUCAGGAAGAAUACAUAUUCCAAGGUAGAUCACAUUUAUAAUGUAUCCCUUAACAUACAUAUAGCAACUAGAUGGGUGGUUAAAAUCCUAUCUAAAUAAUAAUACUCCCUUGUUCAAAGCCUAUCAAGGGGUACCUAGAUAACUCGGUUAAGCAGUGACUUCUGUUUGGAUCAAGAUCUCCUUGUUUGUGGGUUUGAGCCCUGCAUUCAGGCUCUCUGCUGUCAGCAGAGAGCCUGCUUUAGAUCCUCUGUCCCCUCUCGUGCUCUCUCCCUCUCUGUUUCUAAAAAAUAAAAUAAAAAUUAAAAAAAAAAACUAUCAAGGCUUCUCAUUGAAACUUAAGUAAAUUCCACAUUCCUUAGAAUGGUCUAUAAGGCCUGACCUUUCUGAAUAUCGCUAUAUCUCUGAUUUCAUUCCCUCCCUUUCUUUUCCAGUUCAUGCCACUUCAACCACUUUGGACUUAACCAUUUGUCCAAUAUACCAAAUUCUCAGCUCUUUCUAUUCUUUGUCCUUGGAUUAACACCAACAUGAUACAGAACAGGUGACCAUUCAGCAAUGUUGCAUCAGGAUAUUCUACACAUAGGGAAUAGCAAGUAUAAAGCUGUAAAUUCUCUCUUUCUGUCAUUUUCUCCUGAACAUGCAUAGACAAACAUACAUAUCAAUGUCAUUCUCUUUCUUCUGAAUAUUUUUCUUUGCUGCAUACACAGUGACAUUAUAUCUGUAUUUGUAUACUUGCUUAUUGUCAGCUUCUCCUUCCAUAUCAUGAGUACUGUGAUCAAGGACUGUUGACUUUUUUAUUCUCUACUGUAUUGCCCGUACCUAGAAUAGUGUCUGGCACAUGAUAGACAUUUAAUAAAUCAACCUUUCACUUCACUUUCAAUUUGAAAGUAGACAUUAUUUCUGCAAUGGCAAAAUCUGAUGAAAAAAAUAUUGUUUAUAGUUGCAACUAUAGCCAAAGUCAGUGUAUUUGUGACUGAAUAUUAUGCUUCCCAUCCUUAUAGGUUACCAUCAUGGAAAGAGAACUGUAGUCUGGAGGUGAAGUGGGAAGUACAAUUUGCAGAAAUCAUAUCACUUAUUCUUUCUAAAACGAAUCAAGGCUUAUUGUCUUGGAUAAAAAUAUAUUAUAAAAAAACUUAUAGGUGAGCCUCCUGUCUUCAUAUAAGAAAAUACUUUAUGCUUAAAGAAUGUGAUUCACUCUCUGAUGUGAAAAGAAUUUAUUCCAUUCCCUGUCUGAGAAUUUCAUUGCCAUUUGCAUGUUGCCUGGAAUACAAAUUGUACUUAGUAAUCAAUCAGUGUUUAAUUGCGCUCAAGUAAACCCUUGUAAUCAGACUUGCUGUAAAAAUGUUAAGGUGUGCAAAAAGCAUAAGGUGGCAUUUUCCCCUCCUUCUUAUUAUGGCUGUGUAACUUCCAUUAAUACUAAUAGGAGGCACAGCUGGUCGUCAACAGGAGAUUACAGGUUGCUGCUUAAAUCGUAUUUUAUUUUUAUACCUUGGCAAGAUUUAUGUAUUGAAAUCAGGUGGCCAGAUUUUUGCUGUUGUUAAGAAAGCUUUUACUCUGAAAGAAUGAGAUUGGGGGAGGGAAAUUGAGUUUCAAAUUUUUUAUUUUAGGAAUAUAAAGACUCGAAAUCCAAGCAGCAGCUUGUCCUUAUACAGCAAGUCUGUCUUAUUCUUUAGCACCAGCUGGAGUCCCAUUUCUAAUUUGCUGUGAAGAAUUAAGUGAUUUGAGACCCAUACCCUGGAGUAUUUGACCUCCAAUGUCAACCAGCUAGCUUGCAAUUCCCUUGGCUGGAAAGUUUCUCCAGAAUUGAUUUGAACUAACAUCAGUUAAAAUACUCUGCAAUUUGGUAGUAAAUAUUACUGCAAAUCUGAGUACAACUUUAUAGCCAUGAAAAUAAACACACUGUAGAAUAUUAAGGAAAAGAGUUUAGGAAACAUGAAAAGCCUUGGUGAUCAGAAAUGUGACAAUAGAACCUUUCACCUCACAAUCAUUAGUUUGAGUUUUGCACAAUUGGGUGGCUUACUGGCUGAAGACAGUUGUUUGUAGCAUAUGUGAGCUAUGUCGGUGCUCUCAUACUCAUUUCUUUUUGGUCAGAUCCAUUUGUCAUAAAACAGCUAUUCCUGUCAUUCUCAAAUGCCAUGGUGUUGACAAUCCUGAAGGAGAAUAGAAAGACUAAUAAGGACAGAGUUAGGGCAGUAUCCUCAUUACUCCAAAUGCAAGUCGAAGUCUCCUUUCAUCUCAGUCUUGUUUUUCUUAUAUUGUUGUCCUCAUCUGGAUUGUUGUCCAUUUUUCUCAACACCAAAUCUAGUCUUUCAAAUCAUUUAACUCAUUUAUUCUCCCUCUCCAUGAUACUUCUCUCAAUAAUCCCUGUGAUCAGUACAUUUUUCUCAUCCCUGACCUUGUUUGGUUUCUAGUUACCUGAUAGUAGAUAGAUUACCAGUGUGAGUAAUGCUAUUGUAGAUGGGAGAAAAAAUGUCACCAUCUCCAUAACUCUUGUUCAACAACUCUAUUCUUAUUCUCUCUCUUCAUUUUCUACUUCCAUGGAGCCAUGUCCUGCUUCUUACUGCAAAAUCUCACCUGGCUUCUUACCCUAGAAAUACUUCCCCUGACCAUCUGUAGUUCUAGUGUCCUUAUUUUGCUACUGCCUACCAUAAUUUGCUGUACUAUCUACCCUAAACCAUGAAAGGUACAACAAAAGCUUACAACCAGAGAAAUUUCCAUUCAUUUGACAUGAUAAAGUGGAUCAAAAAGGAAGUGACUGAAUAGUAUGAAACAGAAAGUGAAAUCAAAAGGUAUAGGAACACUCUGAGAAUCCCUGGUUGGAAAAUUAAAUAAUGAUUACCUUUCAUAGCCUAUUUUCCCAUAUAUGUUAAUUCUAUAUGUUUGCUGGGGUACUUAGUACAUUUAAUACUAUUUUUCAAGUAUAUUAAGAGUUCAUUUAGACUUUGUUCAAUUACCCAAACCUUGAACUUGUGUUUUUUUUUUUUUUUCAUGAGUAAAACUACAUGGUUGGCCUGAGUAAUAAAAAGAGCUACCAUUUAUUGAGAAAUUACUGUACUGCAUUAAGUGUAUUUAUUCACUAUCUCAUUCAAUACUUUAUCUGGGGGCUAUUAUGUUGCUUGUUUUACAAUAGAGAAAAUUGGGCCUUCGGGAGUUUAAGUCCCUUGACAAAAGUCACACUGCCAGAAUUAUCAAGGUUUCAGGCUGAACCUAGAUAUUUCCAACUCCACAGCCUAUUUUUUUUAAUUAAUGUUACAUGAAAUCUCUUUAAAUCCCAGUAUACUGUGAUUUGGUCAUCCUGUUUAAGCACCUAAAGAUCCAGCCUGAGAUUCUACCACAAUAUAUCAAAUUUGCUGUAAGAAAUUACUAUGCUUAUACUUUCAACUCUGUACUUUACUUAACAUACAUAGUAGAAUGAAGAAGGAGAGUUGUGUUUCUGUGCCAUUGUAUACCAAUCCUUGCUCGUUUAAGUCUUUGUCACCAGGUAGAAUUUUUAAUGUAAUAAUCCAUUAAUUGAUUAUUUCUUUCUUAUCUUUAAGAACAUACAAUACACAUUGUAGAAGACUGAAUAAAUGCUCAACAAAUGCUUGUAGCUUCAAAUUGACAUUUUAAUAAAGUUAUCAAGUCAUGGAAAUUCAGAGAUUGUGCCCCUGAAAACCUUAGCUUUAAUAUGAAAGAAAAAAAUUUACCCUACCUCCUAUUAAAUACCUAAGACUACAUAUAAUACAUAUCUUGUUUUUCUACUAGUUAGGUUUUGAGGGAUAGAUGAUCAUUUAAAAAAAUUAACGUUUAUUCAUUUUUGAGAGAUGGUGAAAGAGCAUGAGUGGGGGAGGGGCAGGGAGAGAGGGAGACACAGAAUCCGAAGCAGGCUCCAGGCUCUAAGCUGUCAGCACAGAGCCCAACAUGGGGCUUGAACCCUCAGACCACAAGAUCAUGACCUGAGCCAAAGUUGGACGCUUAACCGACUGAGCCACCCAGGCGCCCCAGGUGAUCAUUUUUUUUAUCACAUUUUUAUUUUUUUCUCUAAAUGUGUGAUAAGAAAAAUGAAAACAAAAAAGUAAGAGAGGAAAUAUAAAGUACUAGUAAUUCUGCCGUCAGUGUUUUUAUCUAUGUCAAUUUAUACAAUUGUUUUACACAAUUGGUAUUAUUUUAAUAACCUUAAUUUAUAAUCUGGUUUUCUUUUACUUAACACAAAAUAUGAUAUUUAGUAGAUUCAUGUUAUUCUAAAUGUUGAGUAUUCAAUGAUAUAUUUGUAAGUAUAGGCUAGGCUAUGCUGCAAUAACAAAUUACUACAGAAACUUCAGAGACUUAAUACUACAAAGGUUUAUGUCUUGCUCAUACUACAUAUCCUAUUUGAGUGGGCAGGGACAAUCUGCUCUAUAUAGAAUGUAGGUCCCAGAUUUCCAGAAGCUCCACUUUCUUUUGAUUGCAGAACCUAUGACCUCCUCAGUCACUGCAGCACAUUAUGAAGAUGCAGGGAGUUUUUACCUGAACAAUGACCCACUUAAACCAGAAAUGACACAUGUCGUUUUCACACAUAGUCCAAUGGCCAGAACAAGUUACAGCACCCUGCCUAAUUGCAAGGGUUUUAGAAAUGUAAAGAAACACGUGGGAUAUUUUAUAUAACUAAUCUUUCUCAACUUUUUCCUUUAAUAUAAUUCUGGCUUUAUACUUAACAGAGGUUUCUCAAAGUUAGGAUUAUCAAGAAAGGCAUCCUCUUCCCUUUUCUCAAGUGUUGAUAAAAAUGUGAUAGUUACUAACCUUGGACUUCAGACUUAGGUUCACCAGAAAUACAACUUUAUUUUAUAAUUUGAACUAAUUUUUCUUUUGAAUCCUUAAUUAACCAAAUGGAGAAGUCAAAAUCUCAGCAAAUUUAAAGCUACUUCUCCCUUUCUCCCAGAGUUGCUUCUAAAUUCUAGGGGGUUAAUAAAGUGCCAAAGUCUCAGGAAAGUAGACACUUGGUCUUUGGUCAUUUUCAUUUUUCUGUGCGAUGAAUGAUGAUGUGGCCAUGGUCUUUUCUGCUCACUGGCCCAUAUAUGUAAGUACAUUCUGCUUCUCUUUCCUGAAGACAAGGCCUCCAGAGCAUCCUGCUCUUUCUUCUAUGGGGCAUAGAGAACACAUUAUUCUGCUCUUCCGGCCACAGUGGGAAUUUGUCAGGGCUGGGAUGAGGGUGAGGGAUUGUAAAACAGGCAGGGAUCAUGUUCUUUUCUCAGAAACCUACAAGUGACUAAUUUUUCAUCCUUGAUAGGUUGGAUGAGGAGUGAAGAACUUGACGGAUCACAUUUGCUCCCAAAUCUUAUGAUGUAGCAUAACCUUGUUCUUGGACCUUAGAUUUUGAAAUUAAAAAGCUAAAAUUCAACUUUUUACUCAUGUUUUAUUUACCAACCUUCAUCUUAGGCUAUAAUCACACUGAAUGAAUACAGGAAAGGCAAAAACAAAUGAGGAAAGGAGAAGAAAAAUAUACUCCAAUUUAUCAAAAUAUUAUUGGGUAACCUGCUGACCAAGUCCUCAUGAGUGGUUUCUUCUGUAUAAGGUAGUCAUAUUCAACACCAUGUAACUAUGUUAUCUAAUACUACCUGACUGUCCAGUGUUUAUUUGGGAUCAUGAAGCAAAAAUUCUCCUGUAAUAAUAUGUGAUCCAAUCAUAUUCUCAACCUUAGAGUCUUACUUAGAGGUUCUGAUGCUCCCAGGAAUAAAAUUUAACUAUGUAUUUUUAGAUAUGGUGGUGGUAGGACAGGGAAUUGUUAUUUGUUCAUUUGUUGUUUGGUUAUUGCUUUUGAAGAAACACCUUAUCAAUUAUUGGGGGAAGGUGACUCAUUAAUUGUGAAUGUCAUUUCUACGUUCCCUUCAUCUGUUUCCUGGAAGCCUUAUCAUUGUGUUUCUAAAGAGUUAUUUUCCAGUCCUCCUGCCCAUCAAACAAAAAUAGAUAAAUAGAUUAUGAUGUCAUUCUGGUAGAAGGCUUUUUAAAUGAAUAAGCGCUUCUUGAGAUAUGAAUCCAUAUUUUCUGAGAGAAAGGGGCAGUGAUAGUGGAAACCUUAUGUUUUGGAGGUGGGAUGAGAGUGAGAGUUGGUCCUCAGUUCUGAGUGGGAAAUGGGAAGGAGUGGUGGGGAAAAAAGUGAGUGCAGCUUCCAUAGGGUGGAGUAUAUAGACUCUUAGAAGGAGAAGCCUCCAUGGGUUCCUAAGAAGACUGAGCACUAAUUUCCACUGUUUUAAGGAUCUUGGUAAAUGCCCCUCACAGCUAAGCCAGGCAAAAGGAAGGUUAACUUACAUUGGAGCCACAGCCAUCAAAGGGUUUAUGCAGUCAGGACAGGAAUUCUAAGAAAAAUAAUAGAGCAUACAGUGGAAGAUCAGUCUAAUGAUGGUAUGGUACAAGCUUGGCCUUUUCUUUUAUGUUAUAAACUUUUUUAUAAACUUUUUAUUUUAGAAUAGUUUUUGAUAUACAGAAGUUCCAAAGAUAGUUCAGAGAGUUACCAUAUAUCUUACAUCCAGUUUCCAUUAUUUUUUUUAAUUUUUUUAACGUUUAUUUAUUUUUGAGACAGAGACAGAGCGUGAACAGGGGAGGGGCAGAAAGAGAGGGAGACACAGAAUCUGAAACAGGCUCCAGCCUCUGAGCUGUCAGCACAGAGCCCAAUGCGGGGCUCAAACCCAUGAACUGUGAGAUCAUGACCUGAGCCAAAGCUGGAUGCCCAACUGACUGAGCUACCCAGGCGCCCCUGUUUCCAUUAUUAUUAGCAUCUUAUAUUAGUAUGGUACAUAUGCCAAAUUAUUGAACCAAUAUUGGUCCACUAUGAUUGACUAAAGGUCCUACUUCAUUCAUGUUUCCUUAGUUUUUACCUAAUGGUUUUUAUUAUUGCAGAAUUCCAUCAAGCAUACCAUACUACAUUUAGCUGGCAUAUCUCCAUAGAUUCUUCUUGGCUCUGGUAGUUUCUCAGAUUGUCUUUAUUUUUGUUGAUCUUAACAAUUUUGAGGAGCACUUGCCAUAUAUUUUGUAGCAUGUCCCUUAAUUAGGACUUGUCUGAUGUUUUUCUCAUGAUUACGCUGGGUUAAGAGUUUUGGGUAAGUAGACCACAAAGGUAAAGUGCCAUUCUCAUAGCAUCAUAUCAGAGUAUCUGCUAUCCACCAUGUGACUUAUCACUUUUGAUAUUAAACUUGGAUCACAUGGCUGAGAUAGUGUUUGUCAGGUUUCUUCACUAUAAAGUUACUCUUUUUUUUCUUUCUCUCUUUCCAUACCGUGUGUGUGUUGUUGUUGUUGUUGUUGUUGUUGUUGUUGUUGUUGUUUGCUUAUUCUUUUGGAAAGAAAUCACUAUGAGAAAUUCACACUUGCUUGAAAAAGGGAAAGAUCAAUGGUUGUAUGGAGGAGUGAACAGGUAGAGAAUUAUAUAAAAGAAGGUUGGAUUUGAUCUAUACUUUGAAAUAAAGACACAGGAUUUGGAUAGAAGGAAAGGAACAGAGGAUAGGGAGUUAUGCUCCCCCUCCUUGAAAGUUGAAAAUCUAUACAAAUUAUUUGGAAUUUUUCUGCAUGGGAACUCUUUUUUUAAUUCUCCCACAUGUAUUUACUUCUUCAAUCGUUUACUUAUAUUAUGGAUAUAAUGGAUAUUUAUUUUGUAUUUUGGGUUAUAGUCCACUACUACUUUAUAUAUUUUGUUGCUCAAAUUGCUCCAGCAUUAGAGAUUGGGAACUUUUUCAGGAUUGCUUUGAAAUACCAUUUGUGUGUGUGUGUGUGUGUGUGUGUGUGUGUGUGUGCAUGCAUGCGUGCGUUGGUCCACUCAGGCUGCUAUAACAGAAUACCAUAGACUGGUUAGCUUAACAAACAGGAAUUUAUUUCUCGUGUUUCUAGAGACUUGGAAGUCCAAGAUCAAAAUUCCAGCUCAUUCAGUUCUUCAGUGAAGGCUCUCUCCUGGCUUACAGAUGACUGCCUUCUCACUAUAUUUUCAUAUGGUGGAGAGAGAAAGAGAUUAAGAGAAUGAGAGAUUCAGAGAUUCAGAGAGUGAGGGAGGGAGCACACACAAGCUUGUAAGAUACUAAUCCCAUCAUGGGGCCCCACCAUCAUCUAAACCUAAUUAUCUCUCAAAGGCUCCAUCUGCAAAUAUUAUCACAUUGAGGAUUAGGAAUUCAAUAUAUGAAUUUUGGGGAGACACAAACAUUCAGUUAAUAACAAUGUAUGUGUAUGUGUUCUAGCACUUUCUCACUUUCUGGCACUACAAGAUGUUCCAAACUCUAUUCCCUGCACCAAUUCUGGAAGCAAUCAUUUCUCCAAGGAUCCCUAGUUCCUUUAAUUGGAAAAUGCUAUUAGAGACCAAGAUUUGUAUACUAGGUGUACUUAUUGCUAGUAGAGUGUCAUUAUUUCUAGGCCUUCUCAGCAGAUAGAACAAGAAAAUAUAUGUGUGCAUGCUAACCCUUACAUAUGUAAAUGUCUACAAAUAUUUUCAUAUGUAUUCAUCUGUGACUAUAUAAAAUUAAAUAUGAGUUCCAACUAAUGUUUCUAUCUCUAAUCCAUUACAAUAUUGAUCAUUCUAACCUUCUCUCCUUCCUUUUCUGUAACCUCCUAUGCCAAUAGUAAGAAAUCUGGUUCCCACAAUCCUUACUUACUUAUUCAGUUUCAGUGUACAUAUAUUGGGAGUACCAGAAUUGUUACCCCAAAACUGUAUGGGAAGCAAUUUUACCAAUUAUACUACAAUGCUUAUAUACAGUUACUUUUGCCUUUAGUUUUAUAGACUACGAAUUUCCACUUUUGCUUUGGUCAACACCUGUCCCCCUACUCCCUUCAGUGAGGUUAUUUCAUGUAUUUGUAAUACAAUUAGAUUCUUUUGUCAUAGUUUGCAUUGCCUCCUGGAAUUUAUUAAUUUCCUAAAUUAUUUCUUUUUAAUUUGUAUAUAGUAAAGUUUGCUAUUUAUGCUAUAAAGUUCUAUGGGUUUUAACAAUUUCAUUAUGUAGUGUACCUACUAUUAGUAUACAGAAGAGUUUAAUUGCCCUAAAAUAUCUCCUGUAGUCUGUCUAUUGAAACUUUUCUUCUUCUAGAACCCAUAACUGCUGGCAUGUUUACCAACUCUAUAGUUUUGCCUUUUCCAGAACGUCAUAUAAAUGGAAUCAUAUAGUAUGUAGCCUUUUCAGCCUGGCAUCUUUCACUUAGUAAUAUGCAUGUAAGAUUCAUAAAUAUUUGUAUAUGGCUUGUAGCUCACUUAUUUUUAUCACUGAAUAGUAUUCUGUUACUUAGAUAUACCACAGUUUGUUUAACCUUUCUCCUACUGAAAGGCAUCUUGAUUGCUUCCAGCUUUGGUGAUUAUGAAGCUUGUAUAAACAUUUAUGUGCAAUAUUUAUUUUGGGCUUUAUCUUAAAAUUUUUAUUUAGAUAUAAUUCAUACACCGUAAAAUUUAUCCUUUCAUAUGUGUGUGUGUGUGUGUGCAUGUGUGUGUGUGUAUUUUUAAGUACAUUCACAAUGUUGGACAACCAUCACCACUAAUUCCUGAAUAAUUUUAGUGUAACCAUUGACACCUAGUCCCUAUUCUCUCUUACUCUCAACCCUGGCAACCACUAAUCUACUUUCUGUCUCUAUGUCUUUGCCUAUCUUGACAUUUCAUAUGAAUGUAAUCAUACAUGUUACCUUUUGUCUGACUACUUUAACCUGUAAUGUUUUCAUAAUUCAUUCAUGUUGUAGCAUGUAUGAAUACUAAUUCCUCUUUUUGUCUGAAUAAUAUUCCAUUAUAUCAGUAUAGCACAUUUGGUUUAUUCCUUCAUCUAUUAAUGGACACCUGGGUUGUUUCCACUUUUUGGUUAUUAAGAAUAGUUCUGCUAUAAACAUUUAUGUGCAGUUUUUGUAUGAACGAAUGUUUUCAUUCAUCUUGAGUAUAUACCUAGGACCGGAAUUUCUGGAUCAUAUGGUAACUCUAUGUUUGACUCAUUGAAGAGCUGCCAAACUCUUAUUCCAAAACAGUUGUGCCAUUUUUAAUUCCCACCAGCAAUGUGUGAAAGUUUUGAUUUAUCCACAUCCUCACCAAUACUUUAAAUGUCAAUUUUUUAAUUAAUAUACACACAUAUUAAUGGAUAUAAAGUGAUAUCAGGGUUUUGAUUUGCAUUUCUUUAGUAACUAAUGAUAUUGAGCAUCUUUACGUGUCCUUCGUGUGAAGAUUUUUUUAUACGAACAUAGUUUUCAAGUCAAUUUGGUGAAUACCUAGGAACACUAUUGUUAGAUUAUGUAUUAAGGCUUUGGUCUCUUUAUUUUUAUUUAAUCAAAGAAAUGUGAUGUGAAUUGUAACCGAUAUUUGUAGAACAACUCCUACUUGUUCCAUAUUAUGACAGCUAGCCAUUUGUUAGCCAGAGAAGAGGCAGAAAGCUCAUAUUGCCCUGUGUAGUUCUUCCUGGAGUGUGGGGAGGAGAGAUAUCGCCCUCUAGGGGAGUUUGACAAAGUGUUGGGGGUACUUUGGUUGUCACAAUAACCAGUGUGUGUAUAGGCAUGUAGUGGCUGCGGUCCAAUCAAUAUUGUGCAAUGUGUGAAAGAGGUUGCACAAUUAAGAAAUGCCCUGUUUCAAGUGUUACUGAACAUCUCAGAUGAAAAUAAUUGCCAGAUGUAUGAAUAAGCAGAAACCAAGUGAUAGAAAAAGUAAAGGGUAGAGUUCAAAAUUUGCACAUGAUAAAAGUCAGUUUGGAAAGGAAAUAUUGGUUAACUGACAACUUUCUGGGGCUGACAGGUGAUAAGAUCUUCUUUCUAAUAUUGUCUUGAGCCUUAAAUCAUCUCUGGUACCUCAAUAUGAUGAGCUCUGGGUUCCUUGAAAUUGUCAUUUUCCUUAUUUAUAUUUUGUAUCUUCAUCCUGACUACCAAAUAUUAUUUAGAUUACCUAAAGGAGUGUCUUAUUUUUGCAAUCAAAAGAUACUAACUAGCAUACCUUUCCUCCCAUCAAGAUAUGGAGAGGGUGGCAUUUAGCCAGCAGAGUUCAAGUUCCCACUUUACUGUGAAGUUUUUCAUUAUAAGCUAUUAGGACUAAUAUUUGCACUGUGGUUAAAACAUUACAAAUAAUUGUAGCACCUUUAAGUAUUAACCUGGCAGGCUCAUUGUUUGGGAUACUAAAUUUGUUUGGGAUGCUAAUAAAUUGGGUCUCAGGACACUCCAGACUGCAAAAUUGAAGCCAGCUUUAAACCAAAUACAUGGGUAGGGGAAAAAGCCAGUAUUUUGCAAGAUUAUUCAAACUAUGUAAUACAUUAUUUUUAGAGGGAUUAAUAGUUUGCUAAUAUAUUCAACAUUAUAAACCAGGAAUAAUACUUUUCAAUUUAACUCCCAUUGACAGGAAUUAUAGCUUAAGUUGUAGUGAGGUAGAACUUUGUCAAAAGAAUAACCAAGUCAUAUUCUGUACAUACUAUAGAAUUUAAUUUACAUAUACUUGAAUUUUGCAUGUUACUAAAAUGUUAAAUUCAUUUUUUUCCUGGUGACUAGAGACUAGAGUAUCGUAUUCUAAAUUAGUAGCAGCCAACUGAAUAAGUAGCAAUUAAGCCAUGUGGUAGGCUGAUCCAUUGGUGGCCCCUGAUGAGUCAGUCUCCUGGUGUUCAUCCUCUUGUGCAAUCCUCUGAUAGGAGCCUUGAGGCUCCAGACAAGAAAUUCAUUAGGGCACCUGGGUGGCUUGGUCGGUUAAGCGUCCAACUUCAGCUCAGGUCAUGAUCUCACCGCUCGUGAGUUUUAGUUCUGCAUCAGGCUUUGCGCUAGCAUUGCAGAACCUGCUUGGGAUUCUCUCUCUCCCUCUCUUUCUGCCCCCUGUCCACUUUCGCUCACUCUCUCAAAAUAAAUAAAUAACAUUUAAAAAAAGAAAGAAAUUGGGGCGCCUGGGUGGCGCAGUCGGUUAAGCGUCCGACUUCAGCCAGGUCACGAUCUCGCGGUCCGUGAGUUCGAGCCCCGCGUCAGGCUCUGGGCUGAUGGCUCAGAGCCUGGAGCCUGUUUCCGAUCUGUGUCUCCCUCUCUCUCUGCCCCUCCCCCGUUCAUGCUCUGUCUCUCUCUGUCCCCAAAAAAAUAAAUAAACGUUGAAAAAAAAAAUGAAAAAAAAAAAAGAAAGAAAGAAAUUCAGCCAUGUUUCUACAAAGAUCACAUGAAGAAGCACCAUGGAGAGUGAGAAGCUCUGAGACUACGUGGAAAGAGAGUGAUGCGUAGCCCUUUCCUCUCCCUCACUGCCCACAGCUGACUUGAGAGCUGAAUUUACCCAUGAAAGUGACCAGCAGUAGGACCAGCAGAAGAAUCAGAAGCUGAGCCCAGCUCAGAAUGCAAACUUGUAAGCAAAUAAAAAUAAUUGUUUCAAGCCAGUAAAUUUUGGGGUGUUUAUUUUUAAAGCAAUGAAUAACCAGAAAAAGUGCCUACUGAAUAUCCAGGACUGCAUAGUUUGACAAGGAGGUACAAAGAAUAGAUGAUGGAGUGAUGCAUGUUUGACUUCUAUUUUUCUUAUUUUAUUUUUAAAAUUUAUUUUAUUUUAUUUUAUUUUAAUUUUAUUUUUUAAUUUUAUUUUACUGUGGUAAGAACACUUAACCUGGGAUCUAGUCUCUCAACAAAUUAUUAAGUGUACAAUACAGUAUUGUUGGCCAUAGGUACAAUGCCAUACAACAGAUCCCUAGAACUUAUUAAUCUUGAUUAAUUGAAACUCCAUGCCUAUUGAUUACUAAUUCCCCAUUUCACCCUCCCCCUAGUCCUUGGUAACCACCAUUCCAUUCUGAUUCUAUGAAUUUGCCUUUUUCAGAUACCUCAUAUUAUUGAUUUCCAGUUUUUGAGCUGGAAUAUGGCAUACAUCUUUUCACUGAAAUUUUUUAAAAAUUAUAUUUUAGUCAGUAAUAUAUUUAAGCUACAUUUUUGAUUACCUAAAAUAUAGCAUGGGAUAUUAAUUAUGCUUAGCAAUUUUGUGGGCAAGUAAUUUUCAACUUCUAGUGUCAACUAUACUUCAAUAGUUUUUUUUUUUUAAUUUUCAACUUCUAAUAAAUAACUUAUAAAUGAAUAUUUGGAACACAUUAAUUUACUGGGUGUUACCUGUAUCAUCACAUGCAGUCCUUCAGGGUAUAAUUUCCAAUUAUUGAAGUAAUUCAGGCAAGGGAGAAAUUUGGACCUGCCUGAGUGAUUCAAGAAAGAUGCAAACCACUUUGGUAUCAGGAACUGAUAGGAAGGAAAGACUUGGAAUGAGCCAGGCAUAGAAGGACAAGACAGACAUUCUAAAUGAGGUGUGACAUGCUCAGAGGCACAGCAGCAGGGGAGAAGCUGCCAUGUUAGAAAGGUACAGAAGGAUUUGGUCUAUAAUCACAAUGAAUGGGUGAAGAGGAUUUUUUAAAAAUUAUCCCAAGGUAACUCAGCAAGGAAAUUACUUGAUUGGGCUGUGAUUUAGACUUACGAAUUUGGCAACAGUUCCCAGGACAGAGCCGGAUAGGGAAAGAUUUGACAAAAUCAUGAAAAAUCUUACUGGAAUCCAGGAUUUUCAGCAACUUUCUCUUGUAUUCAAAAGAGGUGGUUCUGUACUGUUUUGUUGUUCAUUUGUUUUUAAACAGAAAUAUAAAAUACUUGCAACAAAUGACACUAAGUACUUUCAUUUUGCAGUUUUGUCAAAUACUUUCAUGUAAUGUCAUCAUAACAGUAAUUAGAAUAUCCUGUCAUCCUUUCUUCUUCUUCUUCUUCUUCUUCUUCUUCUUCUUUUUGAGAGAGAGAGAUAGGAGAAAGAGAGAGAGAGAAUCUCAAGCAGACUCCAUGCCUAGCACGGAGCCUGAAGUGGGGCUCGAUCUAAUGACAGUGAGAUCAUUACCUGAGCCAAAAUCAACACUUAAUCAUCUGAGCCAUCCAAGCAUCCUGACUAUCUUAUCUCUUGACCAAAAAGUCAGGUCUUGAUCAGAUCAUGUAAUUUUGAUUAUCAUCCUGGGCUGUGCUAUGGUAACUUAAAUAAAGAGAUAUGUAGUUUUUGCAAGCAUAACCUUUGGUAUCUUGGAACAUUUUUGUUUAUAUUCACUUUCCUUAACAAAUUUUAUUGUUCAUGGAUAUGUAUAUAUGUACUUUUCUCUUUUCAGUGUCUUACUCUGGACAAGAUUUUUCAUAUUUUCGCUGGACAUUAAACAACAGAGCAUUUUCCUACAUAUUUAAAUGUCACUACAGUAAAUGUGAAUUUGUCUCUUUGUGAUGAGAAAAUAUGUUCAAGGAAAAAAAUGAUGAGCUAGGCACUAAAGGAAUAAUGGAGUCAGGAUGAAAAAUGAAAUGAAAAAUAUCCCCCCGUAAUUCUCAGUUUACUCCAAAAUACUUCAGGGCAUCCUAUACCAUUGUACUCUAUAUUUUAUACAUAUUGUUACUUGCAAUUGCAUACAGAGUAUCACAGGAACUGAGAGACAAAUAUCUUGUUGGAAUUUAUUACCUUUAUAAACUUUAUUACCAAAGAAUUUGUUUAUACACAAAUACUUUUCUAUGGGUAGGCGUCAAUGCUUAAUAUCUGGAAUGACCAGAGUUAAUGCUAGAAAAGCAGGUCCAUUAGAUCUGUCCGAUUUGUAUUCCUAGGAGGAUGAGCUGGAUUACUAUUUCUCUAACAAACAACCUGUAUAUUCUGUUCUAUUCUAUCCUAUUCUAUUGUAUCAUAUUAUAUUAUACACAACUUCAUAGAAGUUGGUGGAAGUCUUUCCAAACUGGGCAAAGCUUUUUAGAAGGCUUUGUAUUUAGCAAAAUUUCCUGGAUUGGCCUCAAAGCUAAUUUAGGCUUUUUAGUGACCUGAAAACCAACAUGAGGCAGGGCACCUGGUGGCUCAGUCAGUUAAGCAUCCAACUGUUGGUUUCUGCUCACAUCACAAUCUCAUGGUUUGUGAGUUCGAGCCCCACAUCGGUCUCUGCACUGUUAGUGCAGACUGGGAUUCUGGGGAUUCUUUCUCUCUCCUUCUCUAUCUCUCUGUCCCUCCCUGCUUGUGCAUGCUCUCUCUCUCUCUCUUCUCAAAUAAAUAAACUUAAAAAAAUAGAAUUAAAAAAAAAGCCAUGAGGCAUUCACUUAUGACCAGAAUUGAUGUGAUGUUUGAUUCUGGAUUUAGAGCAUUAUGUCAGAUCACUGAAUUAUAGAGAAUCUGUUUCCCAUUGAAAUAUGUAGCCACAAACUUUAACUGAAUAAAGAUUGAAUCAGAUAAAAAGCAUGGCAAAUGUUUCUAAAAUUCAAAGUUUACAUAUAUUUUUAGGAUUGUCUACUUUAGAAUCCAUACUAUAAAAUAUGGAAAUUCUUUUAAAAUCUGGUAAUGCUGCAUGUUUCUGGAAAACAUAACUCUAAAUGGAUCUAAUUUAAGUUUUAAGUAUUGUUUGUGAUAAAAUAUUAAAGGUAGUUCUUUUAUUUAAAAUAUUUAAAUUAGAGAUGCCUGUAGAUUAAUUUCAGAAAUUAAAACUCGUAAUCAUAUGUUAAUUCUAAUUCUUUUUACUGUCAUAUAAGUGUAAAAGUAUAUUUUUAUCUCUAAGGUAACAUAAUGAGCCAUGAAUCUAAGAUUUGAAAAACUGUAUACUAAUGAACUUAUAAUUCCCUUGUGCAUAUGUUGGGAGGUUUUUUUUUUUUUUUCCCAAAGCAUAUCUGAAAGUACAAAGAAUCCCUUUUUAGUAUUUGAUGAGCAGCAAAAUUAGUGAGCUAGAAACAUUAAUUCAUAAUACAAUAGAAAUGUAGGAAAGUUGGAAACUCUCCAAUUGGGUAUUUGGAAACAGAGACAGCUUAAUUGUUCUGAGGUUGAUAGACAAAUUAUUGAUUACACUUUCCCACUAAAGUAUUCUCUUUAAAAUGGAUCUGAAAUUGUUGAUAUCUUUUGCUAAGAAAACACUCAUCCUCUACUGCAUAAUGCUUGGCACAUAGUAGAUACUCAAUAAAUACUUAAAAAAAUACUAGAUGCAAAUAGGUCUCCUAUUUAUACAUUUUUUGAACAUGUUCCUUAUUUGAAUUUAAUGGAAAUUGUGGUUUAUUUUUCUAUCUUAUGGAUUCUAUACAUUAAAGAGAUAUGAAUGUUGAUGCUAUGUUUAACGAUUUUAUGAAACAAAUUUGUGAUCUCAUAUUUUGACCCAAUAUUUCUCUUCAUAGUAUACAAAUAUCUGAUUCCUAGAAAGUAUUACCCUUUUUGUGUGUGUUCAAAUGCUUUGAUCUUUUCAAUGGUGCCUCUUAAACAUAUAUUUUAAAAAUGUACAACUGAGCAAUAAAAGAAAAAAGUAUCUAGAUUAAAAAAAUUGUGCAUGGAUUUUAAAUGAAAUAUUUAGAAGAGUAUUUUUUUAAGCUAUACGCACUCAAAUUGAAGGUCAAAAUUUUGUAGGCAGCAUAAGAAGCUAGGCUAAUAUGAGUCGCCUCUGUGUGUAUAAGUAGGUUUAUGUUUAGGUUAGUAUUGUGCAUGUUUUACCAUAAAUGGAAAAAUAAAUGACAUUUCUUGUGGCUGAGUGAGAGUUCCAGUGUCCCAAGUUGUGUAUGUAUUAGAUGAGAAAUGUUCUUAAAUAUUCAAAUAUUGAAAAAUAUUCAAAAUCAGUAUUAUGGUUAUAUACAUUAAGAAAGUUCUUCCACUGUAUGGGGGAGGCAGUACUUACAGCAAGCUUUGAGUAGGGUGAGGAGAAAGAGAAUCAAAGAUGAAUAGGAAUAUAAGGAAGGAUAGCCAUGAACUAACCAAAAAUGAGAAAAUACUUUUAUUAUUCAUUGGACAAGAAAAUUACAGAAUCAGAGAUGCAGAAAAUCCACACAUUUUGACAUGUGUGAUUUAGUUUCAGUUUAAAAGAUGCUGCUAAAUAGAAGCAGGGAAACAAGUUCAGAUAUUUCCAAAUGAGGCUGGCAUCUGAAAGAAGGAACAGGCAUUUCAGGCUUCAUUCUCAUCUACCACUAAAUCUAUCAGAUACCAUCAUCAAUUAUUUACUAAUAAUCUAAUGUUUAUGUGUGUACAAUACUAUGUUAAAUGACAAGAAGACAGAGAAUUAGUAGACACAGUUUCUUACAUUUUCUAGUCUAAUUAGAAGGCCAGGAAUCACCCAGAGAAAGAAAAUAAGACCUGAUAUCAUCUAUGUUCCAAAUAUGUCUAAUAAAUAGUAAAUGCUACAUAUAUAAGGUGGGAUGUGGUAAGUGUUAAAAACAAGUAGCAUGGGAGCAUAAAAGGUGGAGAGAUUAAAACUAGACAAGAAGAGGGGCACCUGGGUGGCUCAGGUGGUUAAGCGUCUGACUUUGGCUUAGGUCAUUAUCCCCCAUCUCAUGGGUUCAAGCCCCAUAUUGGGCUCUGUGCUAACAACUCAGAGCCUGGAACCUGCUUCAGAUUUUGUGUCGCCCUCUCUCUCUGCCCCUCCCGUGCUCACACUCUGUUUCUCUCUCUCAAAAAUAAAUAAACAUUUUUUAAAAACUGGGGAAGAAAUAAGAUUUUAAUAGGCUGAGUUCACAUAGAAGGAACAGUAUAGCAAAGGUAUUAGCGUUAAAAAAAAUGGGGCAAGAUUACAUACAAUGUAUAUAAUGAACAUAUGAACAUACAACGUGUAUAGUGGUAUAAAAGUCUAAAAAAAGCAGAUUGACCAUAGUAAUGGAGAAUUUCAAAUGUUGGGACAAGAAGUAUUUAAUUGUAUUACAUAAACCUGUGAAACUAUUGAAAGUAUUUCAACUCUCAAAUCCUGGGGUUGCAUGAUGAGACGUUGGGUUUAGAAAGAAAACUGGUGGAGGGCAGUGAAAAUGAAGUGAAGGUAGGGAGACAAAUUGGAAAGUUACUGUAAUAAUCCAGAUGAUAGGCAUUAAGAAUAUGAAAUACAAGGAGGGCACCUGGGUGGCUCAGUCAGUUAAGCAUCCAACUCUUGAUUACAGCUCAGGUCAUUAUCUUAGAGAUUUGUGGGUUUGAGCCUCACAUUUGGCUCCAUGCUGACAGCGUGGGGCCUGCUUGGGAUUCUCUCUCUCUCUCCCUCUCUCUCUGCUCCUCCCCUACUCAUGCUAUCUCUCUAUAAAAAAUAAAAUAAAUAAAGUUUAAAAAAUAUGAAAUAGGAGAGUAAGAGAAAGAAUGGAAAGCAGGAGGUAGAUGAUAUUGCAGAAGUAGAAAUAAAAAUACUGUGCAAUCAAAUAGAUAUUAGGAUAGAUAAAAGCAAUAAAAAAUGUUAGUAACUAUUAUUUGUUACAGAUCUUACAUCUAUAUUCAUGAAGAAUGUUGUCUAAAUUUUUUUCAAAUAACUGAAUAUUUUAUUUUAUUUGUGUGUGUAUGAGAAUAAAUAGAAAUUUAUUUAAAGAAGUUGGCACACAAGACUAUGGAAGCUAGCAAGUUCAAAAUCUGCAGGGCAAGCCAGCAAGCUGGAGACCUAGGGGAGAGUUGAUUUUUCAACUUCAGUCAGAAUUCUUUCCUCUUUGGGGGACCUCAGUCUUUUUCUGUUAAGGCCUUCAACUGAUUGGAUGGGGCCUACCCACAUUAGGGAGGAUAAUUUGCUUUACUCAAAGUCUACUGAUUUAUUUACUUUUUUGUUUGAGUAUAGUUGGCACACCAAUGUUACAUUAGUUUCAGGUGUCCAAUUCAGUGAUUUCAUGAGAUUAUAUAUUAUGCUAUAUUCACCACAAGUGUAGCACCAUCUGUCUCAUUACAUUGCAAUUACAAUAUCAUUAACUGUAUUCCUUAUGCUGUGACUUUUUGCCCUGUGACUUAUUCAUUCCAUAACAGGAAGACUGUGUCUCCCUCUCCCCUUCACCCAUUUUGCCCAACCCCCACCAUCCUCCCCUCUGGGAACCAUUAGUUUAUUCUCUAUUUAUAGCUCUGAUUCUACUUUUUGUUUGUUUAUUCAUUGAUCUUGUUGUUGCUGCUGUUUAGAUUCCACUUAAUGAGUGGAAAUCAUAUGGUAUUUGUCCUUCUCAGUCCGACUUAUUUCAUUUAGGAUCAUACUCUCUAGGUCCAUCCAUGUUGUCUCAAAUGGCACAAUCUCAUUUUUUUACAGCUGUGUAACAUUUGUGUGUGUGCGUGCAUGCGCACACGCGCGCGUGUGUGUGUGUGUGUGUGUGUGGUGUGUGUACUACAUUUUCCUUAUACAUUUAUCUACUGAUGGACACUAAGGUUGCUUUCAUAUCUUGGCUAUUGUAAUAAUGCUGUAAUAAACAUAGCGGUGCACAUAUCUUUUCAAAUUAGUGUUUUCUUUAGGUGAAUACCCUGUAGUGGAAUUAUUGAAUCAUAUGGUAAAUCUAUCUUUAAUUUUUUGAGGAAACUCAUCCUGUUUUCUACAGUGGCUGUACCAAUUUACAUUCUCACCAAGACUGCAUGAGGGUUCCUUUUUCUCUACAUUCUUGCCAACACUUGUUAUUUCUUGUCAUUUUGAUUUUAGCUAUUCUAACUGAUAUAAAAUAAUAUCUCAUUGUGGUAUUGAUUUGCAUUUCCCUGAUGAUUAGUGAUGUUGAGUAUCUUGUCCUGUGUCCAUUGGUCAUUUGUAUGUCUUCUUUGGAAAAAUGUCUAUUCAGGCUUUCUGCCCAUUUUUUAAUCAGAUUGUUCGUGCUUUUUUUAUGUCUGUUUGGUGUUGAGUUGUAUAAGUUUUUUAAAUAUAUUUUGCAUAUUAACCCCUGAUGAAAGAAAUUGAAAAUGACACAGACAAAUGGAAAUACACUCCAUGCUCAUGGAAUAGAAGUAUUAUUAUUGUUUGAAUGUCCAUACUACCCAAAGCAAUCUACAGAUUCAAUCUAUUCCCUAUCAAAAUACCAAUAGCACCUUUCACAGAAGUAGAACAAAUAACACUAAAAUUUGUAUGGAACCAUAUAAUCUAUGACAAAGGAGGCAAGCAGAUACACUGGGGAAAAGACAGUCUCUUCAAUAAAUGGUGCUGGGAAAACUGGACAGCUACAUGCAAAAGAAUGAAACUGAACCAUUGUCUUACAUCAUACACAAAAAUAAACUCAAAAUGGAUUAAAGAUCUACAUGUGAGACCUGAAACCAUAAAUAUCCUAGAAAAGAGCCAAGGCAGUAAUCUCUCUGACAUUGGGUGUGGCAACAGUUUUCUACAUAUGUCUCCUAAGGCAGGAGAAACAAAAACAAAAAUAAACUAUUGGAACUACAUCAAAAUAAAAAAAUGCUGUUGCACAGCAAAGGAAACCAUCAACAAAACAAACAAACAAAAAAACCAUGCCACUGAAUGGGAGAAGAUAUUUGCAAAUGAUAUCCAAUGAGCUUUUAUUUCCUUUAAUGUCAUUGUCCAAUAUGUAUAUUGGAGUAAUGUCAACCUAGUAAGCUGUUAUUUUAUUAUAUUUUAUGCAAAGAUAUUUGCACUAGUGUGAGGUAUUAGAGUAUCAGCUGUGGGAAUAAAAAAGAUUUUCUUACAAGUAAGAGAGGAAUAAUAGGCAAAUAGCAAAAUCUGCUAAAAAUUGUGAAAUGUAUCCAAAAUCACUGUUGGAAAACAUGUUGGAACAAGAAAGUUUACUCACCAUCUAAACCGACUCAUUUAUCCUGGAGUUAGAUAUUAUCUUGUCUAAGAAUGAGAAAAACAAAUAAAAUAAUAACCAAACCUGAAUGUAUAACAGUUCAAAAAAGUAAAAAGGGAACAGCAUCUAGAUGCCCUGGUAUAAAGGCUUUGUUUCUGAAAAUGAUUUGCUGUGGGACCCAAAAGAAAAUAUUAGAAAACAAUUAGCAUUCAAUACAAUUAUGUAAGAAUCAUUGCUUUUUAUAAAACAGGAGAAAGUUAUUUAGAGAGAAAAUGUUCAGAUGCAAAGGUAAAGGAAUGACUUAAGGGCCACCUGGGUGGCUCAAUUGGUUAGGCAUUCAACUUCAGUUCAGGUUAUGAUAUCACAAUUUGUGAGUUCAAGUCCUGCCUGGGACUCUGUGCUGACAGCCUGGAGCCUGCUUCGGAUUCUGUGUCUCACUUUGUCUCUCUGCCCCUCCCCCACUCACACUCUGUCUCUCUCAAAAAUAAAUAAAUAUUUAAAAAAUUGUUUUAAUAAACAAAAAGGAAUGACUUAAAAUAAGAAAAUUAUAGAGAAAUUAAAAAUUAUUUUAAAGGAAUAAAAAUCCAUUGAUACUUCAAAAAGUUUAACAAUGAUGAAGAUAAACUUGGGAAAGUCAACAAGAAAGAGCAGAACAAUAAGACAGUAGAAGGCGGCUUCUAUUUUUAAUCUAAUGUUUCAAUGGACAAUAAAAUGCAGAUGGAGAAUUUGGGAAUAAGAAUAACUCUCCUUAUGGAUCUGUCCCGGAUAUAUAUAUAUAUAUAUAUAUAUAUAUAUAUAUACACAUUUAUACUUAUAUAUGUAAGUAUAUAGAAUAUAUAUGCAUUUAUACUUAAAGCCCAUAUCAAUUUCAAGAGGUUCACAGACCUCUCAAAUUACAUUCAUGUACCCCAUGGUAAGAUGAAGAAUUUGCAAUAUGCAUUGGAUCUGAAUAAUCUAGUUCAGUAUUUCCAAAACAAGUAUUCCACAGAACACAUUUUCUUCCCCUGGCUAUACCCAAAGUAUUCCACAGUCAAGAUUCAAAAUGCUAGAAUAAGCAAUAUUAAACAGAUUCCAUAACUCUAUUACCUCGCAGGGCCUUUUAUAUGCAAUGUAGCAAUACCUAGCUGUUUUUAAAAAUGCUUACUCUGUUAGACACUGUUCUAAGUGCUUAGUAUAUUUUCAUCCUACAAUACUCAUAACAAUCUUAUGAGAUAAGUACUAUUAUUUUCCAAACUUUACUAACAUGGAAACUGGAAAAAUGAGAUUAAAUUACUUGCCCAAAUUCACACAGCCUAUCAACUGGGGGAACUAGAAUUCAGACAACCUAGUCCAGAGUCUGUAUUAUUAACCUCUAUAAUAAAGACACGAAGCAAGGCAUAUAGGGACCUUGAAACGUUUUAUUUUGAGGUGAACCUAUUAACAUUCCAUAGCGGUAGUAUUUAUAGAGCAUAAUAUGGAAAUAACAUGAUUAAUGAGGUAGAUUGAAUAAUAUAUAAAUAUAUGCAAAGCUUAUACAUAUGUACAUAGCUAUUUAUCUUUGAAAACUAACAAAAUACAGGAAUAUUUACAGAACUUGAUCAUUUAUUAGGUAACCAAAAAUAUCUCAACACGUUCCAGGCAGAAACUGUGCAUUCUAUAUUCUUUGAUAAUGAUGGUGUUAUUAACUGUAUUAGUUAUAAUAUAAUUACACCCAUUGAUGCAGAGCCUUAAAAUAAUAGUUCCUGAAUUAGAUAGAAGUUGUUUUUUUUUUUUUUUGUUUAUUUCUAUUUUUGUCUCAUAAGCAUUUCUGUCAUAAGCCAUUAGGGUACAUAUAGCAGCUCUUUGGUGUCCAGGACCCAGGCAUCUUCUAUUUGUUUAUUCUACACACCCCAACCUGUGGCUUCUAUACUAUUCCAGCUCCUCUCUCCUUUGUGUGUGUAUUCCAGGCAUUGAGAAGAAGGCACACUCAUUUUCAGAGUAAAAGUUAGCAUCAUCAAAAGUUUGCCUGGUAUAAGUAACAUGGCAACAGCUAAAACUACUAGUCUUUAGAUUGGUGACCAUGUACUCAGCUAAACUAUGUAUUAUUGUAUAAGAGAAUAAGAGUUUUUUUGUUUCUGGGGUAGCUAGCAGCUUUGGCCACUCUAAAAGGAAAAAUUCUUUUAACUCAGCUAAACGAUGGAAUCAAAACUAUAAUUACAGAAGGUUUAAAACUGGUGGGAUGCUGCCAAAUCUUUACUCAGAAGAAAAUUUAAUGCUUAAAUAGAAUGAUUUUAUAUUAAACAAGAAAGAAUGAAAAUUUGUGAAUUAAUCAUUGAAGCAGAGAAGCUAGAAAUAAUUCUUUGAAGUGAGUAUAAGAAAAUCAUAGAAGAAUUAAUAAAAUGAUAGAUUAAUAAUUUAUAAAUGAGAAAAAACAGAAUGAUAAAUGUAAAUGCUGGCUUUUCAAAAGAUCAUUAAGAGAGAUAAACUGCAGAGAAUGCUAGUCAAUAGAAAAAAUGCAAGUCCUUUAUAUUAUGUAUGAGAGAGAGACUGUAACCAUAGAUAUACAGGGAGAUUAGUAAUCAUAAGUAUAUAUUGCAGUGUCUGGCUAACUCAGUUGGUAAAGCAUGUGACACUUGAUCUCAGAGUCGUGAGUUGGAGCCACAUGUUAGGUGUAGAGAUUAUUUAAAAACAUAAAAUCUUAAAAAAAAAAUGCAUGUCUCAUCAUGUCAUCACUUAGUGCAGUGCCUAGCAGAGCACCUGACACAAGUACCAGAAUCUUAAUUUUAAUUAGUUAAUAGACCCUGGUGUCUACACACACACACACAAAAGCUCUUAUCUAUAGCUUAAUUAACAUAUAAACCUGUUAUAAUAACAAAAUCAAUCUAAGAAGAUGUUGGAAAUAUGAAUCACCAAAAGCAGAGAAGGAAGGAAAUCGUUUUUUUGUAGGACAUUCUAUGUACCAGGUGUUUUACAUACUUUUUCUCAUUUAUUUAAGCUUUAUAAUCCUUUAAGGAAGGAUUACUAUAUUUCAAAGGUAAGGAAACUGAGAUUCAAAGAGGUUAGUGGUUUGCUCAGUCUUAUGAUAUAAAUGAUUGAGCUGGUGUCUCUCCUAGUCUGCCUCACUUGGAAGAUGUUCUUUCGUUUUUAUUCUUCCUAAGACUUUUCUUUGCCAGGGAAAUUUUAUCAAGUUCCUUUUAUCUGAGCAGAUCCAUUUAAUCUAGUUUACUGCUUUAAAUAUUGGGAAUUGGUAUAAAACUUCUUUUGAAAAAAAAAAACAGUUGCCUGCUCAAAAUAUUUUAAAAAAUUAUUUCAUAUAGGUGAGAAGGAACUUACCUAAGGCAGAAAUUCCUCUCAGGUCUCAGGAUCAUAUUGCUCCUAAUCAACUGUUUUCUUUUUUUUGGGUUUUUUUUGGGGGAGGGGGAGGUUGUUUGUUUGUUUUUUAAUCUUUCAAACACUUGUGAGUACCAUAAUCAACUCUCUUCUUCGGCUGCUAGGAACCUCAAAGAGCAGAGGUUAAUUUUUCUUCAAAACCCUAUAAAACCCAUGCAUGUUUUGCAACUAAUCUUAUCUCUGAUUUUAAUUUCUCUAAACAUUUAAAUUUUUCUUUGCCUUUUUAUGUAUUUAUUUUACCCAUGACAUUCCAAAUAUAUAUAUUUUAAGCCAUUUAAAAUAGUAUGUGCACUGGGGCGCCUGGGUGUAUCAGUUGGUUAAGCGUUCAGUUUCAGCUCAGGCCAUGAUCUUGUGGUUUGUGGGUUCGAGCCUCACAUCAGGCUCUGUGCUGACAGCUCAGAGCCUGCAGCCUGCUUUGGAUUCUGUGUCUCCCUCUCUGUCUGCCUCUCUCUGACUCAUUCUCUCUCAGUCUGUCGCAAAAAUAAACAUUCAAAAAUAAUAAAUAAAAUACUAUGUGCACUAAGGUGUUGAUUGUUUAAAAAUACACAAAUUGAUAAUUUCCCCAACCAUUUUCUUAUUUUUGAACAUUUAGUUGCUUUCAGUAUAUUUUUCUGCUUUCUUAACAUAACCUAAAACCUUGUUCUGACACUAAUGAUGUUUAAAAUUACCAAUUUUACCACUACCACAUAAAUGGUGGAUCUAUUAUAACCCACAUAUACUUUAAUAUUAGGAGUAAUUGGACUUUGGCAUGGAAAGGGAAGACAGGAAUGGGAAGGGGAAGCAUAAGGGGAUUCUUCUGAUAAUAGCAUAAAUACCAACGAGGGUGGUAAGCAAAUCAAAUCAUGGUUGAAAAGGAUUGGCAGACUCAGGCUUGAUUGGGUCUGAGAUUAUAAUUUCUAAGUGUAAGCUAGUGGAUUGGAGCAAAGUGGCAGGAAUUUCAAGAUGGUGUUAAUUCUUGUGGUAAGACCAAGGGUAGCACCAGGAUUUGAUGACAUCAUUUUUCAGUUUACAGCAAAAUCCAGCUAACAGCUAGCAUUAAGAAUCAGGAUCUAAGACCUAGGAAAUCAUAUCUAGCAGUUAUUUGAACUGACUUAAUAAGCAAAAUAUCCUUAUUUUUAUUUGUAUUUUUUGAUAAAUUAGUUGGCAAAUUCUUAAGUGUGAAUCAACUAAAUGUACCUUCACGUUAAACCUUUUAUAAACUUUAUCCAUCUAGCUAUUGAGGUAUUAUUCCAAAAUCAACUUCUAUAAACUCUUUAUAUAAUAAAGUCUUUUUAUAUAUGCUGAAAAUGUUUUUCCAAUCUUGUUAUUUAAAUAUGUAAGUAUAUUGUUUACAACUUAGAGAGCUUAUACGUAGAUGUCAAGUUAAUGUUCCUUUACUAAUAUAUUGAUCCUUUCAACAAGUACCACUUAAGAGGUACAUCCACUUGUUGGUAUGAUAGAGUAUCUUGCAGUAGACCUGUUGAGAACAACAAUAAAAGGAGAUUAAAAUAUGCAUAAGAGUCUGUGCACUCUCUGACCAAGUUUUCUUAAACCUAAAAUUGCUCUAAAAAUAACAUCUAUGAUUUUUUUUUUAAAUGCACAUGUCUAAAGGCACUGGAGAACUGCAGAAGCAGGACUAGGGAGACAUAAGAUUUUGGACAGAGGGAAAGUUAAGAGCGGUAAGCUCAUAGACUGAUGAUAUAUAUAUAUAUUUUUCCCCCUGAGGAUAUUUGCCAAUGCUGCACUCAGGAAAAAGAUAUGAAAAUCCAUGCUUUCCUUGCUCAGAAUGAACUUAGGAACAGAAAAAACAAAACAAACAAACAAACAAACAAAAAAAACAACAACAACCAGGAGAGCUUUCGCAGGCUUCCAGGAUAAUAAAGAUGAAAUUUGGAACAUGUGAGGCUAAGAUCCUACUGAAAAGGGGGGCGUAGAAAACUGCCUUUUGCACAUGGCAAAUUUUUCCCACAGGAUACUUGCCAAUUUUUGAAGGUACACAGAUGAUGAUAUCAUAUGGUGGCAUUCAAUUAUAAAUUACUAGACAUGCAAAAAGGCAAGACUAUAUGAAUUUUAAAAAAACAGGAUUAAAAACAGAAAAAAAUUAAGAGGCUAACAGAUGAUAAUAGCAGGCAAGCACUUUUAAAUAAAUAUUCUUAAUAUAUUAAAAUAAGUAGAGGAAAAGGUGAAGAAAAUAAGUAAAAAUAUUGAGAAUUUCACCAACAAAUUAUAAUACCUAAAAAUAAAUGUAAAUUUUAGAAUUGAAAAAUAAAAUAGCAAAUUGAGAACUUCAGAGAGAGGUCAUUAGCAGAUUAGACACAGCAGCAUAGAGGAUAACAAACUGCAAAAUGAGUUAAUGAAAUCAUACAAACUGAGCAAAAUGAGUUAACGAAGUCAUUCAAACUGAAGCACAGAAAAAAAAUGGAAAUCUGGAAAAACAUAAGAGAAAAAUGAACGACAUAGUGGAAAGAUGUAAUAUACAUGUACUUGGGUCUUAUAAAAUGAACAGAGAGAGAAUGAAGCAGAAUUAUUUGAAUACACAGUGGCCAAAAUUAUCAGAAAAAUGAAGAAGACAUCCAGUAUCCAGUUCAGAAGUUCUUCCAAACCUGAGUAGGCUCUAUACAACCCAGUCUACACCUAGGCACACCAUAGUAAAGCUGAUAAAAUCUAAAAACAAAAAUAAAAGUAUAACAAUAGUAAAGGUAUAAGAAAUAUUGCCUUGAAUGAGCAACAAGAUUGAUGGUACUAUCUUAAAAGAAACAAUAAAAGAACAGUAAAACCAGAAAACAAGAAAUGAUACCCCAGGUACUGGAAAAGAAUCCUAUUUCUAGAGAAAAUAUUCUCCAAAAACUAAGAUGAAUACACAUUUUCAGCAUAUAUAUACUGAGAGAAUUGCUGCUAGUGGAGUUAAACUAAGACAAACAAACCAAAAGUCUUCGGAGGUCUUCAGACAGAGGGCAAAUAAUCUUAGAAGGGAACAAUAAUUAAGAAAGGAAGAGGUAGGUAUAUGAGUAAAUAUAUAUGAAUAUUUAUAUUACAUAAUAAUACUAAUGUCUUGAAGGCUCUACAAUGUAUAUAUAAUUAAAUGCAUAGUAAUAACACAAUAAUUAACUCAAUGAGGAUAACCUUUUUACAACAUAUAUAAAAUUAUAGUGUUGAAUACUUUAAAUAUCUUACAAUUUUAUUUGUCAGUUAUACCUCAAUAAAGCUGAGCACAAAUAAUAACACAAAAGGGGAGAGUGGAAUAAAACAAGAGAAACCAUUCCAAGAUCUUUGCAUUGCCUCAUCAGUGAAAAAGUAAUAAUUUUUAGUCAAGGAUGCAUAUUUUAAUAACUUUGGCAGUCAUAAAAAAGAAGGAAGAGUGUAUAACUAAUAGUGGUGAAGUAGAAUAGUAAAAAAUAGUUGAUCCUAAAGAAGGUAACAAAAGACAUAAAAUUAUAAAACAGAUGGGUUAUCUAAACAACAAAUGAUAUGAUAAUACUUAUCAACCCCUAUCAAUAACUAUACUAAAUAUAAAAGGAUUAAAUAUUCUGACAGAAUGAUCAAAAAAUAAAACUUAACUAUGUUGCUUAUUAGAAGUACACCUUAAGUAUAAGAACAGAGAGAAAGUGACUGUAAAAGGGUAUGAAAAGAUGAACCAUAAAAAACAUUAUUCAAAAGGAAGUUAUGUAUUACAUUAAAAUAAGAAACUAGAUUUUAAGAUAGAAGAAUUCCUACAUAAAAAGAAAUAUUUCAUGCUGGUAAAAGGUCAAGCCAACAACAAAAUAUACAACUGAAAUUUGCAUAUGCUCAGUAACAUAACAUAUAUAUGUUACCAGUGAUAUAGAUGGUUGGCUGGCUGGCUGGCUGGCAGGAAGGAAGUAUGGAUGGAAAGAAAGAAAGAAAAAGAAAGAAAGAAAGAAAGAAAGAAAGAAAGAAAGAAAGAAAGAAAGAAAGAAAGAGAAAGAAAAGAAAGAAGGAGGGAGGGAUGAAGAGGCAAAAGAAAAAAAAAAGAAAAGAAAAGAAAAAAGAAAAGAAAAGAAAGGAGCAAAGAUUGACAUAAGUAAAAAAGAGAAGUAAACAAAGCACAUGAGAGUUUAAUUCAUCACUAUUCAUAGCUAAUAGAAUAGACAACAAAUUAUAAGAAGAUAUAGACAACACAAGAAACAAUUUGUUGGCAUAAAUUGCAUAGUGCAUACAAUUAUGAUAGAAUAUACAUUAUCUUUAAACACCUAUUGAAUAUGUACCCAAAACCAAUCUUAACAAGUUCCGUAAAAGUACAAAGUAUUCAUAAAAAUAAGUUUUAAAUAAUUGAAUCAUAGACUCAGAGUACAGGCUCCAGGCCACUGUUGAAUUAAGCUAUAAAACAAUAGUAUAGAUAACUAGAAGAUCUCCAACUUUUGGAAAUUAAGCAAUGUGUUUUUCAGUAAUGCAUGAUUGGAAGAUAAAGCCACAAUGAAAAUUAGAAAAUCUUAGGAACUAAAUAACAACAAUACAGCAUAUGAAAACUUUUGGAAUGUAGCUGUAGGAAUGUUCCCUAGAGACAAUUUAUAGCUUUAAAAUCACAUAUUAGAAAAAGAAAAAGGGCUAAUCAUCUCUAUCUAAGUUUCCAUCUCAAGAAGCUAGAAAAGUAACAAAAAAGUAGAUUGAAGGAAAUAAUAAAGAUAAAAGCAGAAAUAAUUGAAAUAGAAAGCAAACACAGAACAGUGAAAUUCAACAAAGUGUGAAGUUGUUUUUUGUUUUUGAAUAGUAAAAUUGAUAACCCCCCUCAGGCCUGAUUAAGUUAAAAGAGAGAGAGAAUUAACUUACCAAUAUCAGGAACAGAGAUGGAGACAUCACAUUAGGACCUACUGAUAUUAAAAAAAAAUAGUCAUGGACAUUCUGAAUGACUUUAUACAAAUGUCUUUGACAAUUUAGAUAAACGGGACGAAUACCUUGAGAAACAAAACUUGUCAAAGUUGUCAGGCUAAUAAAUAGAAUAUUGAAUAAUUCUGUAUAUAUUUUAAAAAUUGAACCCAUUAUUUAAAAUUUACACAAAGUAACAUCCUAUCAAGUUGACUUCACAAGUGAAGUCUUCCAAAUAUUUAUGAAUAAAUAACACAAAUUUUACACACACACACACUUCUAAAGGAUUAAAACAAUAAUAAAAUAAAUAAAACAAAAUAAAUAAAAUAAAACAGAGGGAACAAUUCCCAUACAUUUUAUGAAGUCUACAUAGCUUUGAUACUAAAAUCUGAAAAUAGUACAAAAAUCAAAAUCAUACAAAAUCUCUUUAAUGAGCACAGAAGAAAAAAAUCCUGCAUCAAACAAUGCAAUAUAUUAAAAUAGGGCCAUUUUAUUCCAUGAAUUAUAAUGGUACUUUAGCAAUCAAAAAUGAAUCAAUAUAUUGAUGGACACUGGGCUACUUCCAUAUCUUGGCUAUUGAAAAUAAUGCUGUAAUAAAUAUAGGGGUUCAUAUAUCUUUUUGAAUUAGUGUUUUUGUUUUCUUUGGGUAAAUACCUAGUAGUGGAAUUAUUGGAUCAUGUGGUAUUUUUAUUUUUAAUUUUUGAGGAGUCUCUAUACUGUUUACUACAGUGGCUAUACCAGUUUGCAUUCCCACCAACAGUGCACAAGCAUCCUUUUUGUCCACAUCCCUGGCAACACUUGUCAUUUCCCACCAUUUUGAUUUUAGCCAUUCUGACAAAUUUAAGGUGAUAUCUCAUUAUGGUUUUGAUUUGAAUUUUGAAUUUCUCUGAUGAUUAGUAGAUAAAGAAGAUUUGGGGGAUAUUUAUAUAUUAUGUAGCCAUAAAAAAGGAUGACAUCUUGCUAUUUGUGACAACAUGGAUGGACCUACAGUGUAUUAUGAUAAGUGAAAUAUGUCAGAGAAAUACCACAUUAUUUCACUUAUAUGUAGAAUAUAAAAAAUAUUAAUAAACAUAAAGCAGAAUCAGACUUGUAUAUAUGGAGAGCAAACUGAUGCUUGCCAGAGGGAUAUAGGGGUUGCAGUGGGUAAAAUGGAUGAAGGGGAGUGGGAUAUACAGGCUUCCAGUUAUCGAAUGAAUAAGUCAUGGGAAUAAAAGAUACAGCAUAGCAAAUAUAGUCACUGGUAUUGUAAUACCUGUUGUAUGGUGACAAAUGGUAUCUAUACUUGUGCUGAGCAUAGCAUAACAUAUAGAGUUGUGGAAUCACUAUGUUGUACAUCUGAAACUAAUGUAACAUUGUGUGUCAAACAUACUCAAAAAGAAACAAAAAAUCAAUAUAAUUGACAUUAAUGGAAAAAAAGGAGAAAACAUGCAUCAUAUCAAUAGAUAAAGAAAAAUUAAAUACCAUUCAUGGAAGAAAACUAUUAGCAAACAAGGAACAGAUGGGAUUUUCUGUUCUUAGAUAGGAAAUUCUGGUACAGUAUCUACAAAUAUCAUAGUUAAUAGUGAAUUAUUAAAAGCUUCCCUCAAAGAUUAGGGGUAGGAACAAGCAUGUCUGGAGGUCCCAAUCAGUGCAAAAACACAUGAAGAAAUAAAUGAAAGGUAUAAGGAUAUUAUAGGAAGAAAGAAAACUGUCAUUUACAAGCAAUAUGAUUUUAUAUGUAGUAAAUCCAAAAGAAUAUGUAGACAAAUUAUUAAAUUUAUGAGUUAAUUUAGCAAGAUCACUAAAUGCAAGGUCAAUAUACCAAAAAUCAAUUAUAUAACUAUAUACAAGUAACAAAAAAGAUACAAAAUAAAAAUUUUAAAGAUAACUUUUAUAAUAGCAUAAAACAUAAACUAGUAAUAAAUCUAACAAAAUAUGUGUAAACUCUGUAUCUUGAAAACUGCAAAACUUUGUUGAGAGGAAGUAAAUAUCUAAAUAAAUGAAAGUAUAUAACAUGCUUAGGAAUUGGAAGAAAUAAUAAUGUAUAAUAUGGCCAUUCUCCCAAACUGACCUGUAGAUUCAAUACAUUCCCAGUCAAAAUCCCAGAAGAGUUUUCUGUUUUGUUUAGGUCUUGUUUUGUUUUGUUUGUUUGUUUUUGGUGGAAACUGAUUAGCUGAUUCUAAAGUCUGUAUGGUUAUACAAAGAUCCAAGAAAAAUUAACGCAAUCUUAUGGAAGAAUAAAAUGGAAGAACUUAAGUACCAGUUAUGUCUUGUUUUAAAGCUGCAGAAAUGAAGACAGGAUGGCCAAAUAAUAAAUAAAUACACCAAGGAAAAAUACGAGAAUCCAGAAACAGACCCACUGUAAUUGGCCAGUUAAUUAUACAUAGCAAAGAUGACACUGCAGGGCAGUGGGAGAUAAGGGAUACUGGUUGCAUUGGAUAUCCAUAUUGAAAAAGGAUAGGUACCUCACCCCCACCUAUAAUGAAUUAUAAUAGACACACAAUUCUGUGUAAGUUUAGGGGCACCUGGGUGGCUCAGUCAGUUAAGUGUCUUACGUCAGCUCAGGUCGUGAUCUCACGGUUCAUGAAUUUGAGCCCAGCAUCAGGCUCUGUGCUGACAGCUCAGAGCCUGGAGCCUGCUCCAGAUUCUGUCUCCCUCUCUCUGCUCCUCUUCCACUCACAUUCUGUUUCUCUCUCUCAAACUAAAUAAACAUUAACUUUUUUUUUAAUUCUGCGUAACUUGAAGGUAUGCAGUGUGUUGAUUUGAUAUACUUAUAUAUUGAAAGAUGAUUACCACCAUAGUGUUAGCUAAUGUUUCUAUCAUGUCACAUAAGUACCUUGUGUGUGUGUGUGUGAGAGAGAGAGAGAGAGAGAGAAAGAGAAAGAGAGAGAGAAUAUUUAUGAUCUUCUUUUAGCAAGUGAUCUCUCUUAAUUUUUGAGUAUAUAAUACAAUAUUAACUAUAGUCAUAAUGCUGUAUAUUAGACCCCCUUAACUCAUUCAUCUUAUAACUGGAGGUUUAUACCCUUUGACCAACAUCUCACCAUUUCUCCCACCUCCCACCCCUUGGUAACCACCACUCUACUCUCUGUUUUUAUGAGUUCAGCUUUUUUAGAGUCCACAUUUAAGUGAUAUCAUACAGUAUUUGGCUUUCUCUAUCUGACUUAUUUCAUUUAUCUCAUGCCUUUAAGGUCCAUUCAUGUCCAAAUGGCAGGAUUUUCUUCAUUCUUGUGGCUUAGUAAUAUCCCAUGGUGUGUGUGCAUGUGUAAGUGUGUGUGUGUGUGUUAUAUUCCAUUGUGUAUUAAUGUGUGUAUUCCACAUCUUUUUUUUUUUAUCAAUUUAUCUAUUUACAGACACUUAGGUUGUUUCCAUGUCUUGGCAUCUGUAAAUAAUGCUCUGAUGGACAUGAGAGUAUCGACCUAUAUCUCUUCAAGAACCUGUUUUCAUUUCCUUUGGAUAUAUACCCAGAAGUGUAAUUGCUGGAUCAUCUGGUAACUCUUAUUUUUAAUUUUUUGAAGAACAUCCAUACUUUUUUUUUCUGUUGUGGCCAUACCAGUUUAUACUCUCACCAACAGUGCACAGAGUUUUAAUUUCUCCACAUCCUUGACAACACUUAUGUCCUGUCUUUUCAAUGAUACCCAUUCUAACAGGUGUGAGGUGAUACCUCACUGUGUUUUUGAUUUGCAUUUCCCUGAUGAUUAGUGAUGUUGAGUACCUUUUCAUGUACCUGCUGGCCAUUUGUAUGUUCUCUUUGGAAAAAAAAUAUUCAGUUCCUAUGUCCAUUUAAAAAUUCAGAUUGUUUUUUGCUAUCUAAUUGUGUGAACUCUUUAUGUAUUUUGGAUAUUAACCUCUUAUCACAUAUAUGAUGUGCAAAUAUAUUGUCCCAUUCUGUAGGUUGUCUUUUCAUUUUGUAAUUCUGUCUUCUACUUUGCAGAAGCUUUUUGGUUUGAUGUACUACGACUCAUUAAUUUUUGCUUUGUUGCUUGUGGUUUGGGUAUCAUAUCCAUGAAAUCAUUGCCAAGGAUCAAUGCCAUGGAGCUUUUUUUUCUAUUUCGUUUUCAGUUUUCCAGUUUCAAGUCUUAUGUUUAAAUCUUAACCAUUUUGAGGUGUGUGUGUGUGUGUGUGUGUGUGUGUGUGUGUGUGUGUGUGGUGUAAGAUAGGGAUCCAGGUUCAUUAUUUUGCACGCAGUUAUCCAAUUUACCCAGCACCAUUUAUUGAAGAGACUAUCCUUUCUCUGCUGAGUAUUCUUUGUUCCCAUGUCCAGUAUUAGUCGACUGUAUAAGUAAGUGUUUAUUUCUGAGCUCUUGACUCCAUUCCCUUGACCUAUAAUAUGUUUAUUUUUAUGCCAGUACUAUACUGUCUUGAUUACUAUUGUCUUGCAGGAUAGUUUGAAAUCAGAGGUGUGAUGCCUUCAGCUUUGUUCUUCUUUCUUUGUUCUUCUUUUCCUUUGGCUAUUUGAAGUCUUUUGUGGUUCCAAACAAAUUUUAGAGUUGUUUUUUUCUUUUUCUGUGAAAAACACCAUUGUAUUUUGAUAGGGAUUGUGUAGAAUCUAUAGAUGGCUUUGGGUAGUAUGAACAUUUAACAAUAGUAAUUCUUCCAAUGCAUUAACAUGGGAUAUCUUUUCAAUUUUGUGUUUUCUUCAUUUUUUUUCAUGCAAGUCUUGUAGUUUUCACUGUACAUUAUCUUUCAACUCCUUGGUUAAAUUUUUCCCUAAGUAUUUUACUGGUUGAUGCUAUUGUGAAUGGGAGUGUUUUCUUUAUUUCUUUGUCACGUUUCACUGUUAGUAUAUAAAAACAACAACAACCUUAUAACAUACAGAAAAGUAAAUUUCAUAAGGAUUGUAGAUUAAAUUACUGAAGUUAAAAAAAUAAACAUUAAGAAAAAAUAUAUAACGGAUGCUUUGUUGGAAGAAACAAAGAUUUAUUAAUCAGGACACUGCAUUAAUUUAAUAAAGGGAAAAUGAUUAAUUGUAUAAUACUUGAGUUAAAUAUGUAAGUUUUACUACAGAGAAUUAAGAAUUUCCAUCGAUCAAAAAAAAACAUUAAUAAGAUCAAAACCAAGAUUCACUAGUAGAAGAUAUAUGACAAAAGAUUUUUAUCAAGAAUAUACUGACCACCUUCAAAUCAAUAAGAAAAAAGCAUACAGUCCAGUAGAAACACAGGCAAAAGACUUAAAUAGACAGUUCACAAAAGAGGACAUCCAAAUGGCCAAAGAAUAUGCUAAUGGUGUUCAAUUUCACUGAUUAUCAACUUCGUGAAAAUUAAAACAAGACUGAGAUACCACUAUUUACGUGCUAGAAUGAAUACAAUGAAAAAUACAGAUAAUGCUAGUAUUGUUGAGGAUGUGGUGCCCCACGGAAACUCAUGUGGUACUAGUGCAAAUAUAAGCUGAUACAACUACUUGGACAAUGGUCUGGCAGCAUAAAUUUAAGCUGCACAUAUGUGCCACCAGCAAUUCCACUUACAGGUAUACACCCAACAGAAAUUAGCAUAAAUAAAUUAAUAAAUUUGUGUACAUUACAUAUAUGUUAUAUAUUGCAUAUAUGGGUAUAAAUAUUUACAUAUUACAUUGUGUAAUGAUCACAGCAGCACUAUUCACUUUAGCCAAAACUAGGACACAACCCAAAUAUUCAUCAGUAGCAGAAUGGGUAAAUCGGUUAUGGUAUAUUUAUACAAUUCAUAUAAUUUAAAACUAUCCAUGCUUUUUGAAUGAUUCUUUACCGUCAGAUAUCCUACAUGGAGGAAAUGAUAACUCCUCAAGGCAAAAUUUGAUCCAAUCAUGUUGGUAUUAUAGAAGGAAAACACUGAUAUGGAUACUGGCUUGGGGGGAAGAAAGGCUAAGUGUGGAGACAAAUUUUAAUAUUAAAGACAAAAUGGGGGUGGCGAGGUGCCUCAGUUUGUUAAGCAUCUGACUCUUGUUUUAGGCUCAGGUCAUGAUCUCAUGUUCGUGAGAUGGAGCCCCUCAUCAGGCUGUGCACUGACAGCAUGGAGCCUGCUUGGGAUUUUCUCUCUCCUUUCUGUCUCUGUCCCUCCCCUGCCCUCUCCUCCACUCCUUCUCAAAAUAAAUAAAUAAACAUUUUUUAAAAAAAGACAAAAUGUGACUAAGAGUCGAGAUAAGACUGAAAGCUGCACUAAUAAAAAAGUAGUAAAGACCUGAGAGGUGUUCAUGAAGUAUAUAACUGGUGAUCAGCUAAAUAUAGGGACCAUGAAAGUAAGGAAAUAGUGAAGACUAGUUCUACCUUGGAAUAUUUGGUAUAUGGUAAUAUUAAAAGCUUCAGAUUUUAAGUAAAAAGAGGAAGAAGUUUGGACUCUAAGAUAACUUAGAAUUACUGGUAAGAUGCCCAAAUGGAAAUAUGAUGUGGAGUUCAGAGGAGAGGAUGAGGCUACCAGAAAAGAUCUGAGAGUUGUCAGGAUGUACAGAUUAGAAAAAUCAUUGGAAUGACUCUUUUUUUUCUUUUUUUUCACAAUAAGAGAAGAGGAAGAUAAGAAAAUCCUAAAAAAAAUAAAAUAAAAUUUAAGGGUUGGGUCAUGUUUGAAGGGCUGCUCCCUGUAGUGCUAAAGCAAAUUCUCCCAUCUCAGUGACUUUAGGAAUGCUCUCAAAAGCCUCUCCAUCUAGGGCAUAGGUUCCUAGUCUAUCGCCUUGGCACACCUUCAGCAUCUCAGCACAUUUUCCUCAAAUGGAGAUAUUAAUAGAGUGUUUUAGUGAAUCCCAGGCUUACCCUUUGUUCUUGACUUUCUAAUCUUCCUCUACUCCAUAAUCUACAAUCUGUAAGUGAUUUUCACCUUACCCCUAUGACAUGUCUCACAGAACCCAGGAAUUUCCCUCCUUAGCUGGAAAGGGAAUCUAUAAGAUGUCAGUGAAGCAGGCAGAAAACUAGUACACAGAGAAGAGAACCAUACUGAUUGCACGGCCACCAUUUUUUUUAAUUGCCCUAACACUUUUGAACCACCAACAUGUUUUUCCACAUUGGUGAAAAUUAAGUCUAGAGAUCCUAACUCUUGUUGCUUUCCUGGCAUCCUUCUGGACAUACAUUUAUUAUCAAUAUAAUUAACAUGUUUUAAGAUACUCUGCUUUGGUAGAACGUGUAGGUAGUUGAAGUCCCUCUUUAACAAACACUGUGCCUUGCCUUUAUGAUAGCCUUACAGCGUUUAUGAGAGUGUUGUGGAAAUUCUUUACAAAAUUUUCCAAUGGAUUUACUUCUUUUGUCCUCUUCUUUUAUUUUCUUAUUCUCUGUUCCUUCCAAAGCUUUAUUUCCAUAUCUAUGUGGAGUAUAUUCUUGUCAUAAAAUGCCAUUCCCAUCCCCUUUCCACUAAGCCUAUUUUAAAAUAUAUUUAUCGUUAUUUUCUCUAUUACAAUAUUGAGUAAUAUCCCCAAAACUUUCUUGGUUGAUAUUUCAAAGGAAUUUUUGUAUUAAAUAUAUACUCUAUACAGAGUCUAGAACAAUCAACUUUCUGUUUUGUUUUUACAUUUUUUUAAUGUUUACUUAUUUUUGAGAGAGAGAGAGAGAGAGACAGAAUGUGAGCAGGGAAGGGGCAGAGAGAGAGGGAGACACAGAAUCUAAAGCAGGCUCCAGGCUCUGAGCUGUCAGCACAGAGCCUGAUGCGGGGCUUGAACUCACAAACUGUGAGAUCAUGACCUGAGCCAAGUCAGACACUUAACCAACCAAGCCACCUGGGCACCCUGUUUUUACUUUUUUUUUUUUUACAGUGGCUUAACUUCAGAACCCUUUCAGAGUUUCAGGUACAAGUGUGAGAAACUUCAUUUUCUAAUUGACAUUUUGCUGCAUGAUAGACCACUCAUAAGUACAACCAAUUUUAGAAAUUAAACAACGAAUAUAUUCUGCAUUUACGAGAGGUUGAAAAUAUACUUUUAAUUUUAAAAGUAUUUAUUAAGGAGUAAAUGUCUAAAAAGAUUAAUCCCAUAAUGAGCAGGAAAUGUUUGAUAUCUGGUUAGUAGGAGGGGGGAUGAAAACAAGAAAAAAAAUAGAGAUAAUACAAUGUCUGAAUUCUUACAGGUUUUAAAUAUUCUAAACCUAGCAUAAUGCCAUUUUUUCUCCUCUCCGAACUUCUAUUACUUUCUCUCUGCAAUUUUUAUUCCUUAAAUCCGUUAAUUAUAACACUGGAACAGUGAAGCAGUGAGGACUAUAACUAUGAUCUGCUAAAAGUCUAUAAGUCUUUCAGUUUCCUACAAUUCACUACCUCCUAAACAGAUUGGACUUGCAUUUCAGCUUUCAGAGAAAAUGUAUGGUCACUUAUAUCAUAUGAGAUUGACUGCAAGCAGAUCCAAAUAUUGCAGAGAUGGACUAUACUGGGCUCAGUUUAUGCAUUACCUGAGUUCUGCAUAAAACCACCUAUGUCUUUGGGUCUCAGCUACUUGCCUUUCUGUGAUGGAGUUGAAGGAGAGAGGCUCUAGCAAAUACUCACACCUUCCACAGGUAGGAAGCCCUGGAUACCUCCACUUUCAUCACCACAAAUUUAGGAGCUUCCAUAACACUGUACCAACUGACAUAAAAACAUUGGCUGCAUUAGAAGCCUGGAGGCUCUGGCUUUACUGGCACAUACCUGGCGGGGCCAUCUAAUACAACUCAGAAAUCUGGGAAGUUAACUGUAUAGAGCAGACUAUAACCGAUAAAAGAUAGUAAUCAGAAGGAGUCAGCAAAAAAAUUGUUGGCCUUUUUUGUCCCUCCACAGACUAUUCCAAGUUGCAAUAUUUCCACAUAGCCUUCUGGAAAUUUCCUGCAACAAUUAACAGCCAACUGUAAUACAGGGCUGUGACCAGCUCAGGAUAUAGUCCUUAUUAGCCUCAUGUUUCCUUCACUCCUGUUUCUCUGGGACUGUACCCCCAAGAAAGUUAUAACACAUGAGCUUUUGCCUCAAGGUCUGUUUUCUAGGCAAGCAUAUUUAAGACAUGGACUACAUAUCAGCAAAAAAAAAAAUAUUUUAUUUUUUAUUUAAUUUUUUUAACAUUUAUUCAUUUUUGAGAGAGAGAACAGAGCCUGAGUGGAGGAGGGGCAGAGAGAGAGGGACACAGAAUCCAAAGCAGUCUCCAGGCUCUGAGCUGUCAGCACAGAGCCCGAUGCGGGGCUCAAACUCACUGAUCAUGAAAUCAUGACCUGAGCUGAAGUUGGACACUGAACCGACUGAGCCAUCAGGGACCCCAAGAAAGACCUUUUUAGAUCCCCUCCUCUCAGUGCCCACAAAUAUAACAUCAUGGGAAAAUUUAAAGAAGUAUAGAAAAAUAUAUAGCAGGCAAAUAUUAAUUUUAAAAAUCUAUUAAAAAUUGAUAAAAUAAACUUCAACGAAUAAAACAGCAUAAUUAGGAAAAAUGACAAAAUACAUAAUGACAAAAAAUAAAUUCAUCAGAAAAAUUUAAUAACUUUUAAGUUGUGUACACCAAAUAAACCAUUUUCAAAAUGCAUACAGCAAAAAUGAUUGAAACAAUAAAGUGACAAAUCCACAAUCAUAGUGAGAGACUUCCAUUCACCUCUUAAUUGUUGAUACAUUAAGUGGAAAGAAAUUUAAAAAUAGAAUUUGAACACAGAAGUAAGACAUUACUAAUAGCAAGUUUAAAAAACUGGAAGAAGCAAAAUAUUUUUUGAAAGUGACUGAAUUAAAACAUUAUUAGUCAUAUUACGUAGCCAUAAAAUUGAACAGAUUAUAGCUAUGUUCAACAUCAUGAAUCUAAGAAACAUAGCCUUGAGUGAGAAAACAAGUUGCAGACUAUACAAAGACAUAAUAUAAAGCUCCUAUUAUAUGAGUUCAAAAAUAUGAAGCUUAUAUUGUAAAGAUAGAUACAUUUAUGAUAGAAAUUAUUUGAAAAAGCAAAGUAUCAACGAACCCACAAUUCAGGGGACUGGUUACUUUUGGGGGUUGGCAAGGGUAUCUAGGAGUUAUAGGAAAGCAUAGAUACUGCUUCAGUGAAGGGUGUAAUGGUCUACUCCUAUGCUGGCUAGAGGUUUCAUGCUGCAUGAUUUUUAUGUAUCAAAUAUUGUUAUCGAUACAUAUAAAAUUUCAUAUAUCAAUUUUGUAUAUCAAAUAUUAUGUAACAAAAUAAUAGAUAAAAUUUUUAAAUUAGUUUCAUAGAUCAUGUCUAUUUGGUAGAGCAUUAGUUAUUGAUAAAAUUAUUCAGGAAAAUGAGUUGUAACAACUUCAUUACCUAAUUUUAUUUACUGUAGAUCUUGAAUUUUAGUCUACUCAAAAAAUGCCAUGCUUUAUUAUUCUGAGCCUUCUAUAUUCUCAAAAAAGACAAUAGUAAUUUUUAAAAUAUUAAAUUUGAUUGAUGGUUCAUUUUAAUUCAUUUUUUUCCCCAAUAUAGAAAGGCUAUAUAUAGUAUAUCCAGGGAAAUUUGGCAUGUUUUAUCUAAUUGUGUUGAAGUGGUGUGUCUAUAACUUUAAAACCACCAGUGAACAUGUAAAAUUUUCUUAAUGUAGAGGAGUAUCAGUCUUGCUCGAUGUCAUUUAAAUGUUCUUUUAGUCAGAGUGGCCAAAAUGAACAAAUCAGGAGACUAUAGAUGCUGGAGAGGAUGUGGAGAAACGGGAACCCUCUUGCACUGUUGGUGGGAAUGCAAAUUGGUGCAGCCGCUCUGGAAAGCAGUGUGGAGGUUCCUCAGAAAAUUAAAAAUAGACCUACCCUAUGACCCAGCAAUAGCUCUGCUAGGAAUUUACCCAAGGGAUACAGGAGUACUGAUGCAUAGGGGCACUUGUACCCCAAUGUUCAUAGCAGCACUGUCAACAAUAGCCAAAUUAUGGAAAGAGCCUAAAUGUCCAUCAACUGAUGAAUGGAUAAAGAAAUUGUGGUUUAUAUACACAAUGGAAUACUACGUGGCAAUGAGAAAAAAUGAAAUAUGGCCUUUUGUAGCAACGUGGAUGGAACUGGAGAGUGUNNNNNNNNNNNNNNNNNNNNNNNNNNNNNNNNNNNNNNNNNNNNNNNNNNNNNNNNNNNNNNNNNNNNNNNNNNNNNNNNNNNNNNNNNNNNNNNNNNNNNNNNNNNNNNNNNNNNNNNNNNNNNNNNNNNNNNNNNNNNNNNNNNNNNNNNNNNNNNNNNNNNNNNNNNNNNNNNNNNNNNNNNNNNNNNNNNNNNNNNNNNNNNNNNNNNNNNNNNNNNNNNNNNNNNNNNNNNNNNNNNNNNNNNNNNNNNNNNNNNNNNNNNNNNNNNNNNNNNNNNNNNNNNNNNNNNNNNNNNNNNNNNNNNNNNNNNNNNNNNNNNNNNNNNNNNNNNNNNNNNNNNNNNNNNNNNNNNNNNNNNNNNNNNNNNNNNNNNNNNNNNNNNNNNNNNNNNNNNNNNNNNNNNNNNNNNNNNNNNNNNNNNNNNNNNNNNNNNNNNNNNNNNNNNNNNNNNNNNNNNNNNNNNNNNNNNNNNNNNNNNNNNNNNNNNNNNNNNNNNNNNNNNNNNNNNNNNNNNNNNNNNNNNNNNNNNNNNNNNNNNNNNNNNNNNNNNNNNNNNNNNNNNNNNNNNNNNNNNNNNNNNNNNNNNNNNNNNNNNNNNNNNNNNNNNNNNNNNNNNNNNNNNNNNNNNNNNNNNNNNNNNNNNNNNNNNNNNNNNNNNNNNNNNNNNNNNNNNNNNNNNNNNNNNNNNNNNNNNNNNNNNNNNNNNNNNNNNNNNNNNNNNNNNNNNNNNNNNNNNNNNNNNNNNNNNNNNNNNNNNNNNNNNNNNNNNNNNNNNNNNNNNNNNNNNNNNNNNNNNNNNNNNNNNNNNNNNNNNNNNNNNNNNNNNNNNNNNNNNNNNNNNNNNNNNNNNNNNNNNNNNNNNNNNNNNNNNNNNNNNNNNNNNNNNNNNNNNNNNNNNNNNNNNNNNNNNNNNNNNNNNNNNNNNNNNNNNNNNNNNNNNNNNNNNNNNNNNNNNNNNNNNNNNNNNNNNNNNNNNNNNNNNNNNNNNNNNNNNNNNNNNNNNNNNNNNNNNNNNNNNNNNNNNNNNNNNNNNNNNNNNNNNNNNNNNNNNNNNNNNNNNNNNNNNNNNNNNNNNNNNNNNNNNNNNNNNNNNNNNNNNNNNNNNNNNNNNNNNNNNNNNNNNNNNNNNNNNNNNNNNNNNNNNNNNNNNNNNNNNNNNNNNNNNNNNNNNNNNNNNNNNNNNNNNNNNNNNNNNNNNNNNNNNNNNNNNNNNNNNNNNNNNNNNNNNNNNNNNNNNNNNNNNNNNNNNNNNNNNNNNNNNNNNNNNNNNNNNNNNNNNNNNNNNNNNNNNNNNNNNNNNNNNNNNNNNNNNNNNNNNNNNNNNNNNNNNNNNNNNNNNNNNNNNNNNNNNNNNNNNNNNNNNNNNNNNNNNNNNNNNNNNNNNNNNNNNNNNNNNNNNNNNNNNNNNNNNNNNNNNNNNNNNNNNNNNNNNNNNNNNNNNNNNNNNNNNNNNNNNNNNNNNNNNNNNNNNNNNNNNNNNNNNNNNNNNNNNNNNNNNNNNNNNNNNNNNNNNNNNNNNNNNNNNNNNNNNNNNNNNNNNNNNNNNNNNNNNNNNNNNNNNNNNNNNNNNNNNNNNNNNNNNNNNNNNNNNNNNNNNNNNNNNNNNNNNNNNNNNNNNNNNNNNNNNNNNNNNNNNNNNNNNNNNNNNNNNNNNNNNNNNNNNNNNNNNNNNNNNNNNNNNNNNNNNNNNNNNNNNNNNNNNNNNNNNNNNNNNNNNNNNNNNNNNNNNNNNNNNNNNNNNNNNNNNNNNNNNNNNNNNNNNNNNNNNNNNNNNNNNNNNNNNNNNNNNNNNNNGCUUUGGGAUGCAGCGAAGGCAGUCCUGAGAGGAAAAUACAUUGCAAUCCAGGCCUAUCUCAAGAAACAAGAAAAAUCCCAAAUACAAAAUCUAACAGCACACCUAAAGGAAAUAGAAGCAGAACAGCAAAGACACCCCAAACCCAGCAGAAGAAGAGAAAUAAUAAAGAUCAGAGCAGAAAUAAACAAUAUAGAAUCUAAAAAAACUGUAGAGCAGAUCAAUGAAACCAAGAGUUGGUUUUUUGAAAAAAUAAACAAAAUUGAUAAACCUCUAGCCAGGCUUCUCAAAAAGAAAAGGGAGAUGACCCAAAUAGAUAAAAUCAUGAAUGAAAAUGGAAUUAUUACAACCAAUCCCUCAGAAAUACAAGCAAUUAUCAGGGAAUACUAUGAAAAAUUAUAUGCCAACAAACUGGACAACCUGGAAGAAAUGGACAAAUUCCUAAGCACCCACACACUUCCAAAACUCAAACAGGAAGAAAUAGAAAAUUUGAACAGACCCAUAACCAGCAAAUAAAUUGAAUUAGUUAUCAAAAAUCUCCCAAAAAAUAAGAGUCCAGAAUCAGACGGCUUCCCUGGGGAAUUCUACCAGAUAUUUAAAGCAGAGAUAAUACCUAUCCUUCUCAAGCUGUUCCAAAAAAUAGAAAGGGAAGGAAAACUUCCAGACACAUUCUAUGAAGCCAGUAUUACUUUGAUUCCCAAACCAGACAGAGACCCAGCAAAAAAAGAGAACUACAGGCCAAUAUUCCUGAUGAAUAUGGAUGCAAAAAUUCUCAACAAGAUACUAGCAAAUCGAAUUCAACAGCAUAUAAAAAGAAUUAUUCACCAUGAUCAAGUGGGAUUCAUUCCUGGGCUGCAGGGCUGGGUCAACAUUCGCAAAUCAAUCCAUGUGAUACAUCACAUUAAUAAAAGAAAAGAUAGCCAUAUGAUCCCGUGAAUAGAUGCAGAAAAAGCAUUUGACAAAAUUCAGCAAUCUUUCUUAAUAAAAGCCCUUAAGAAAGUCAGGAUAGAAGGAACAUACUUAAAUAUCAUAAAAGCCAUUUAUUAAAAGCCCACUGCUAAUAUCAUCCUCAACGGGGAAAAACUGAGAGCUUCCCCCCUGAGCUCAGGAACACGACAGGGAUGCACACUCUCACCGCUGUUGUUUAACAUAGUGUUGGAAGUUCUAGCUUCAGCAAUCAGACAGCAAAAGGAAAUUAAAGGCAUCAAAAUUGGCAAAGUUGAAGUCAAGCUUUCACUUUUUGCAGAUGACAUCAUAUUAUACAUGGAAAACCCGAUAGACUCCACCGAAAGUCUGCUAGAACUGAUACAUGAAUUCAGCAAAGUCGCAGGAUACAAAAUUAAUGUACAGAAAUCAGUUGCAUUCUUAUACACUAACAAUGAAGCAACAGAAAGACAAAUAAAGAAACUGAUCCCAUUCACAAUCGCACCAAGAAUCAUAAAAUACCUAGGAAUAAACCUAACCAAAGAUGUAAAAGAUCUGUAUGCUGAAAACUAUAGAAAGCUUAUGAAGGAAAUUGAAGAAGAUACAAAGAAAUGGAAAAACAUUCUGCGCUCAUGGAUUGGAAGAAUACAUUGUUAAAAUGUCAAUGCUACCCAAAGCAAUCUACACAUUCAAUGCAAUCCCAAUCAAAAUUGCACCAGCAUUCUUCUCNNNNNNNNNNNNNNNNNNNNNNNNNNNNNNNNNNNNNNNNNNNNNNNNNNNNNNNNNNNNNNNNNNNNNNNNNNNNNNNNNNNNNNNNNNNNNNNNNNNNNNNNNNNNNNNNNNNNNNNNNNNNNNNNNNNNNNNNNNNNNNNNNNNNNNNNNNNNNNNNNNNNNNNNNNNNNNNNNNNNNNNNNNNNNNNNNNNNNNNNNNNNNNNNNNNNNNNNNNNNNNNNNNNNNNNNNNNNNNNNNNNNNNNNNNNNNNNNNNNNNNNNNNNNNNNNNNNNNNNNNNNNNNNNNNNNNNNNNNNNNNNNNNNNNNNNNNNNNNNNNNNNNNNNNNNNNNNNNNNNNNNNNNNNNNNNNNNNNNNNNNNNNNNNNNNNNNNNNNNNNNNNNNNNNNNNNNNNNNNNNNNNNNNNNNNNNNNNNNNNNNNNNNNNNNNNNNNNNNNNNNNNNNNNNNNNNNNNNNNNNNNNNNNNNNNNNNNNNNNNNNNNNNNNNNNNNNNNNNNNNNNNNNNNNNNNNNNNNNNNNNNNNNNNNNNNNNNNNNNNNNNNNNNNNNNNNNNNNNNNNNNNNNNNNNNNNNNNNNNNNNNNNNNNNNNNNNNNNNNNNNNNNNNNNNNNNNNNNNNNNNNNNNNNNNNNNNNNNNNNNNNNNNNNNNNNNNNNNNNNNNNNNNNNNNNNNNNNNNNNNNNNNNNNNNNNNNNNNNNNNNNNNNNNNNNNNNNNNNNNNNNNNNNNNNNNNNNNNNNNNNNNNNNNNNNNNNNNNNNNNNNNNNNNNNNNNNNNNNNNNNNNNNNNNNNNNNNNNNNNNNNNNNNNNNNNNNNNNNNNNNNNNNNNNNNNNNNNNNNNNNNNNNNNNNNNNNNNNNNNNNNNNNNNNNNNNNNNNNNNNNNNNNNNNNNNNNNNNNNNNNNNNNNNNNNNNNNNNNNNNNNNNNNNNNNNNNNNNNNNNNNNNNNNNNNNNNNNNNNNNNNNNNNNNNNNNNNNNNNNNNNNNNNNNNNNNNNNNNNNNNNNNNNNNNNNNNNNNNNNNNNNNNNNNNNNNNNNNNNNNNNNNNNNNNNNNNNNNNNNNNNNNNNNNNNNNNNNNNNNNNNNNNNNNNNNNNNNNNNNNNNNNNNNNNNNNNNNNNNNNNNNNNNNNNNNNNNNNNNNNNNNNNNNNNNNNNNNNNNNNNNNNNNNNNNNNNNNNNNNNNNNNNNNNNNNNNNNNNNNNNNNNNNNNNNNNNNNNNNNNNNNNNNNNNNNNNNNNNNNNNNNNNNNNNNNNNNNNNNNNNNNNNNNNNNNNNNNNNNNNNNNNNNNNNNNNNNNNNNNNNNNNNNNNNNNNNNNNNNNNNNNNNNNNNNNNNNNNNNNNNNNNNNNNNNNNNNNNNNNNNNNNNNNNNNNNNNNNNNNNNNNNNNNNNNNNNNNNNNNNNNNNNNNNNNNNNNNNNNNNNNNNNNNNNNNNNNNNNNNNNNNNNNNNNNNNNNNNNNNNNNNNNNNNNNNNNNNNNNNNNNNNNNNNNNNNNNNNNNNNNNNNNNNNNNNNNNNNNNNNNNNNNNNNNNNNNNNNNNNNNNNNNNNNNNNNNNNNNNNNNNNNNNNNNNNNNNNNNNNNNNNNNNNNNNNNNNNNNNNNNNNNNNNNNNNNNNNNNNNNNNNNNNNNNNNNNNNNGAUGGCCAACAGGCACAUGAAAAGAUGCUCAACGUCGCUCCUCAUCAGGGAAAUACAAAUCAAAACCACACUCAGGUAUCACCUCACGCCAGUCAGAGUGGCCAAAAUGAACAAAUCAGGAGACUAUAGAUGCUGGAGAGGAUGUGGAGAAACAGGAACCCUCUUGCACUGUUGGUGGGAAUGCAAACUGCUGCAGCCACUCUGGAAAACAGUGUGGAGGUUCCUCAGAAAAUUAAAAAUAGAUCUACCCUAUGACCCAGCAAUAGCACUGCUAGGAAUUUACCCAAGGGAUGCAGGAGUGCUGAUGCAUAGGGGCACUUGUACCCCAAUGUUUAUAGCAGCACUCUCAACAAUAGCCAAAUUAUGGAAAGAGCCUAAAUGUCCAUCAACUGAUGAAUGGAUAAAGAAAUUGUGGUUUAUAUACACAAUGGAGUACUACGUGGCAAUGAGAAAGAAUGAAAUAUGGCCUUUUAUAGCAACGUGGAUGGAACUGAAGAGUGUUAUGCUAAGUGAAAUAAGUCAUACAGAGAAAGACAGAUACCAUAUGUUUUCACUCUUAUGUGGAUCCUGAGAAAAUUAACAGAAGACCAUGGGGGAGGGAAGGGGGAAAAGUUACAGAGAGGGAAGGAGGCAAACCAUAAGAGAUUCUUAAAUACUGAGAAUAAACUGAGGGUUGAUGGGAGGUGGGAGGGAGGGGAGAGUGGGUGAUGGGCAUUGAGGAGGUCACCUGUUGGGAUGAGCACUGGGGGCUAUAUGGAAACCAAUUUGACAAUAAAUUAUAUUAAAAAAAAGAAAUAAACUGUGAGUGUAUAAGUUUCAGCUUCAAGAAACAGAAGACCCAAGUGAAAGUGGCUUAAAAAAUAAGGAAAAUUUAUCAUGUCACAUAUCAAGAAUUUUUUAUAGAGAUAGAAUAGUACAAGAUUGGUUCAGAGACUCUCUUUUCUGUCUUCCUUAGCAUGUCUGUUGCUCUCUCCAGCCUUAAAAUAUGACUACAACAGCUUCAAAUAGCUUCUCCUAAGACUGUUUAAAUGUUGGAUGAAAGGCAUCUCUUCCUUUUGUCUAAAGUGUAGAAAAUCUUUCUAGAAGAUGUUGCCUUGUGUCUCAUUGGCCACAGCUGCAUCACAUGCCGCUAUAAGUGGGGGUGGAAGGCUGUUAAGGAACAUGACAGUGUUUGUCACAUUGAGGAUGGGAAGGAGAUGCUGUACACUGCACUGGAAAGGUUAAUCAAUCAAGAAAUAUUUAUUGCACAACAUCUAGUACAGAGAACUACUGUAUGAAUAUUUAAGGAGUAUUAAUGGAAAAUACAAAAAAGAUGGCAUAUGUCACUAAGAAGAAAAAUAAAGGAUAAUUUUUUAUCAACAAAAGAAAAAUACUAGCAGGCACAUAGAAUUAAAUAAAACAAGAAAAAUGUACAGAAUUAUAAAGUAAUAUUAGCAUGUUAUUUAUGUAUAAGCAAAUGUGUAUCUAUCUAUCUAUCUAUCUAUCUAUCUAUCUAUCUAUCUCCUUUUUAUCUUUAAAAACAUUUUCCUCAAGGGAAAUAACUCAUUUUAUUUUCAGUAUUAGCAUACCACAGGGUUUGAAGAAGUUCCUUUUUUUGUUGUUACCUGGAUACUAAAUUUGUAAAAUAAAUGAGGGAAUCCCAGAGAAGUUAUGCAAUUUGCAAUUCAAGUGGGAAAUUAUAAUGAUAAACUAAGCACCUAGCAGGUAUAUAUAAUAUUGUACUUAGACUCGUGGGCUUACUGACAAAUGAUAAGCAUAAAAACACUUACACAAACAAGAAAGUAUAUUAUACUUUAGUUCAAAGCCAUCACAGAAGCUAAAAAAUUCCUUCCUGGACAUUUUUGAAUUUUGAAAAUAUCGAUGAUUUAUACAUACCAUGUAUUGAAUCAAAAUGGUCAUCAAGAGAGUAAGCAGUAAAUAUUUAAUGGAUCUGUGAACAUUAGGCCUAUUAUUUUUAACUUGUUUCCAUUAUAGAUAAAAGGGAAUAUUGAAAAAAAAAUUGCAGUGGUGUUUUUUGCUGAGGACACCAUGUUUUUAAAGGCUCUGAACUCAUAAAAAUUUUAGAGCUAAUAGCAACCUUAUAAAUUAUUUCAUACUACAUCCUAAUUUUACUAAUGAGAUCCAGGUAGAGGAGAGGUUAAAUGACUUUUCCCAGUCCAUGCUGCUGGCCAGCUGCUAGCUGGUACUGGCUCGCACCCUUCUCGGCCUGCAUUUGUACAUUUUUCACAAGCUCUUUCCAUUUUCUCCUCUAAUGUAUUAAUGUCCUUCUUUUUUUUCUCUCUCUUUAACUCUUGGAGUACACAGUACCCUAAAACCUGAGUUUUAAAGCAGGAAAAUAAUAUAUUUUACUUACAUUUUAAACAAUUGUGUCAGAAACAUAUCUGGAGAGAUGGAUUAUGUUUCAAGUCAGUUGGAUUCCCCACUCCAGUUUUCUUAAGGUAUAAUUUGACAAAUAAAUAUUUUAUAUAUUUAAGGUAUAUAAUGUGAUGAUUUGACAUACAUAUACCUUGAGAAAUGAUUACUAUAAUCAAGCUAAUUAACACAUCUAUCAUCUCACAUAGUUCUAGUUUAUGUUGUUGUUGUUGUUUGUGGUGAGAACAUUCAAGAUCUACCCUAUCAGCAAAUUUCAAGUAUACAAUAUGGUAUUAUUAACUAUAGUCACCAUGCUGUUGAUGAUAUCCCUAGAACUUACUCAACUUCUAACUUAAAUUUUGUACCUGUUGACCAACGUCCCCAUUUCCUCCACUGGGGACAACCACCUUGGGCAACCACCUUGGGCGACCACCAUUCUACUCUGUGUUUCAAUGAGUUUGACUUUUAUAGAUUCCAUAUUUCAGUUGUGCUUCUAUUUAGUCAAGUUUGGAUUCUAAUAUCUGGGACAUCACUUAUCUGAAAGUUGGGAAAUCGAAACACCAACUCCAUUUCUCACAAGCACACUAUCCUCAAUGUUAUCUAAAAGAAUAUUUAAUAAAUUAAAAGAAUAACCACAGUAAUUAUAGACGAAUAACAGAACAGAAAAUCAAAGUGCUUCAAGGUCUCUUCUACAAAGCUAUGUAUAGUCCUUGAAAGGGAUCGGUCUGAAUAAGGGUUUUUAUCUCCAGUCCUUGGCUUUGCACUAAAAUCUACUCCUUCCUCCAAAAUAGAAUGCCCUCAAGGAGAUAUAACCCAACAUUAUCUUCCGUUGAGUCUAUAUUGCUUAAGUCAUUAUCUGUUUGAUAUAAGCACAUUUUUAAGGCAAUUUUCACCUGGUCUCAUUACUGCUCAUGUCCAUUUCCUCUAUUGGUAAAAUCAACCAGCUAUUUUCCAUUCAGAGAUUUAGUUCCUUAAUAAAUAUUAGUUAAGUCUUGUGCAUAUUCUUGGCAUUCUAAUAAGCUGUGAGGAUACUCUUGUGAGCAAGAAAGAAACAAUUUCUUUCCUUAUAGAGCAUUUAAUCCAGCAGGGAAGACAUGUAAUUAGAUAACUAAACUUAAUAUGCUACUUCCCCUGAUCCAGAAAUUAUGGAGUAUGAUGAAAGCACUUAAUAUACAUUCCAAGAGAAGUUUAACUUUGAGAGUGGACACUGAACACUGAAUAGGAAGUUCAUAGGGAAAAUGGGCCACUUUCAUUUUUACUAUUGUAUUUGGUAAUUCUUCCUUAUUAGUUUUUCAAGAAAAUCAUUCAUAAAAUAUUUUAAAAUCUAGAAGCUUUUCUGUUGGAAACCUUGAUUUAACUCUUUUUUUCUAGAAUUUAUUUGCCACAUCUACAUAUCUGUAAUUCCUGGAACUGAGUCUUAACAUCUGAAUUUGAUUUCUGCUCUGGCUCUGGUUUCUCAAAGAGUAACUGACCCCCUGUCUUAGAAUCACUCAGGGUAGUAUAUAAAUAUGGAGAUGGUAGAUAUUCACCACUAAUCCUACUAUAACAUAAUCUCUGGGAGAAUGAAAGGAAGAGAGCUAAUUCAAAUCUGUAUGCUUAACAUGUUUCCCUCAUACACAUGAAAGCUUGAAACUUACCUCCUGCCAUCACUGGGUAUAUAUUUGGAAUGUAAUUAAAAUCUUCUUCCUCAAUUUUCUUCUAAUUGUCUCAAAAUGGAGUAUAGUGUCUUUUCAAGGGAAAACUGCCCUUAACUGUCCAAGUGCCAAAAACUCACCCUGAUUAUUUCCCAUUAGAUUACCUAAGGCACUAUGUUGGUAUAUAAGCAUUUCUUGGGACUAAAAUGACACAUGCCUAGGGCAAUCACCAGUUAUUGUGGCCCUCUUCCUUGGUAGAAGUAGAAAUUAGAAAGGUCAGUUUUCAAAACUCCUGCUUAGCCUAUCUGGAGUUGUAUAUUUUUAUCUAGGGAAACAAAAUCACAGUUACUAUAAGUGACUAGCCUCUGGCCAAUUCAGAAAAUUGGAGCAAAGUCUUUUAAAGUAUCCUAGAGUUUUUGACCCAAGAUCCACUGUUUACCAACUAAAUCAUUCUGGUGCCAAGUAUAUCAUAUAAGAGUAUUGUAUUAAGUAUCGUAUAAGAAUAUUUCAAUGGCUUAAGGAAUUUUCAAGUUUAUUUCUCUCUCAUGUUAAUAGUCUAAAAUGAGUGGUCCAAGUUGGAGGAUGGUUCUACUCCACAUGGUUUUUAAGUCACUAAGAUUCUUUUCAUUGUGCACUCCUCUAUUCUCUAGGACAUUCUACCUGUCUGCAUAAUAAAUUAGGUUGCUAUGAGUCCCAGUUAGUGGGAAGGAGAAUGAGAACAUAAAGAAAGCCCACAAAAUGCAUACGUCAUUUCCAUUCAUAGACUGCAAGAGAAAACCUCAGCCUGUGGUCACACAUAACUGACAAGGGAACUCAUAAGUGUAAUCUCUGACUGGGUGGCUACAUUCCCAGCUCCAAUUGUAUUAAUAUGAAGAAAAGGAAGAGCAGAUAUUGGUGUACAACUAGCAGACUUCAUAACUGUACUUUAGAAUGCAAACUGAAUGGUAUUUCUUUUGCCAUAAAAGAGAUUAUUAACCCCCCAAAAUUGCAUAUAUUUUUUCAUGAACAUAGAACUUUAUUAAUCUAAUAAGAAAUGAAGCAUAUCCCUUUUUUGAAAAUAAGUCUGUGCUCCUUUUCUAUUAUUACUUAACAAACCACCCCAAAACUUAGUGGCUUAAAACAAGGAUCAGCAAACUUUUUCUAUGAAGGGGAAGGUAGCAAAUAUUUUAGGCUUUGCCAGCCAUGCAGUUUCUAUUGCAACUACUCAACUUUGUCAUUAUACUAUGAAUGUAGCAGUAGACAAUACAUAAGCAAAUGAGUUUGGCCAUGUUCCAAUAGAACUUUAUUUUCAAAAACAUGUGAUGUACUGGAUUUGGCCCAUGGCUAUAGAUUGGUUGAACCCUCGCUUAAAACAACAACUAUUCUAAUUUUGCUUAUAAUUAUAUGGGAAGAUAAGUUGGUUGUCCAGUUAUCAGACAGGUCAUAUGAGGCUGAAUCCUCUAGAAUGGCCUUGCUCAUGUGUCUGAUAUUUGGUAGCUUAGUUGGUCUAGGUCACUUCAGCCAGUAUGGUUCAUCUCUACUCCAUGUGGUCUUUCAUUCUCUAGGAAGCUGGUUCAAGCUGCUUCCUAGUGGCCUCAGGGCAGCAGAGAUAGCAAGCUCUAAUGUGCAAGUGCUUUUCAAACAUCUGCUUUCAUCACCUUUGCUUUGACCAAAGGAAGCCACUUGGCACAGCCUAGACUGGAGGGGUAGAGAAACUGUAGUUCUUGGUGAGACGAACAACAAAGUCAUACUGCAAAGGUGUGUGUAUACAGAGAUAGGAGGAAUUAUUUUGUCAUCUUUGUAAACAAUUUACCACUACUAAGUAGUCAAGGACAUUAGAAUUGAAUUCAAUUUCAAUUGUUUCUUUUCCUACUACAAAAUUACUUAAAUGAAAUUUAAAAUAUUUUAAAUAACAUAAGCUUCAUGCUUUGUGAAGUUAGUUGAAAAUAUGUAUGUAUAACUUAUUUAAAAAUAUUUAGGGGCACCUGGCUGUCUCAGUCAGUAGAAUAUGUGACUCUUGAUCUCAGAGUUGUGAGUUCAAGUUCUACAUUGGGCAUGGAGCCUACUUAAUUAGUUAAUUAAUGUAAAUUAAAACAUUAUGAAUAAUUAUAUUCCAAGGCCAGAGAAAUGAAACCAAGUUCUUAAGAAUAAAUAAUCCACAUCCAAGACUGCCUAGAUGAGAGAAUUGUUUGCUAAGCAAAUAAGCAGGGUUAUCUGAAGACUGGUUAAUCCUUUCUUAAAUUCCCUUUUUCCUGCAGUGCCUACCUUUAAAGCUUCAAGGUAUACAUACUGCCUGUCAUCUUGAUAGAUAUAGUGGCCUCCUGCUAAGAAUUUUGUUUGAGCUUUCCAAACAGUGGGGUGUACAGCCAGAAACAGUCUUUGUAUUAACUUAACCAAGAAGUUUUGAAUAACUGAAGCCAUGCAUUUAAUCUCACUCAGGGGGCCGUGGGUUAAAACCCAAGAGAUGCCCUUUAGCUUCUAUAUAUGAGUCACUAUAAGAAACAUAAAUUUUCUAAACUAACCAUACAGAAGAAAUUACUCUGCAAAUAUUAGUGAUUGUUUAUCUUCUUUACAAAAAUCUUACAUAAGAGAAACCAUUUCAUCUGUAAAGUCAGUAAAAUAACUUUACACAUCCUUCUCUCCUAGAAUUUUAAUGAACUAAUUGAAAUGCUUUCUAGUGUGUUGGAAAAGCAAAAUUGUUUGAUAUUCUGGGUGAUAAGCUGAAUUAAAUUAUUCGAGCGCUACUGUUAUUGAUGUUUACUAGGUAUCAGGCACCAUAUGAAAUAUAUCAUCCAUUGGAAGGUCUGCAGAAUCCUAAGAAGACCUGUCAUAUCUAUUUUUUUUUCUUUUCAGAUGAAAAAAACCUAAAGCUCAGGAAGGUUAGGAAAUUUGCUCAAGGUCCAGUGCUGUGCUAGUAAGCUGGCACAUGGGGGAUAAAGCCUAGAUCUAUAGUGUUUGCCAAUUUUGAGGAUAUAAAUAAUUUCAACUUGGCUGAUUUUAAACUACCAGUGUGAUGUCACUGAACAUGAUGUUGGGAAGAGAUGCACAUCAUCAAUCAUGAGUCUAUAGGAGGUGACUCUCGUAUACCACUGCCAAGAUCGAAAUCAUAAUAAGUUAGAGAGCCAGGAUUUCAGCUCCUGGUCAUCUACAAAGUCCAUCCUCUAAACCCUCAUACAAUAAUGCCUUCCAAAGUAAUAAACUAUUCACCUGAUAAAUCACAAAAAUCAUGGAUGUCAGUAACAUCUUUAAUUCUAGAAAUAUAUAUUCUUCUCUAUUCUCUUUUAGAAAUGAACACAGGGAAUAUUCUCUCACAAUUAUUCAAUAAGCAUAUGUUAGAGGCCAGGAAAAACUAUGCUUGUUCUAUUACUAUGUCCAUUAUUCUUCCAUUUUAUGCUCAUCCUAAGCUUUCAUAAUGGUUCCUAGUGUUGCCUUUUAUUCGUAUUCCUUUGCUACUUUUUAUCUUAAAAUCUUUAUGCUUGGUUCCCAGCAAAUUCCUUUGCUGUUUCAGAGUACUUCUUUUUAUUUUAUAUAUAUAUUUUUAAUUUUCAUAGUUUUUUCUUCUUACCUUAUGGCAUAACUUUCACACUUCUGCUUUUUAUUUCUUCAACAUUCUGGCAUUCCUUAUUUGAGCAAGUAAGUAGAUGGAUAGAGGUCUAAUUACUAAAAUGAGGUGGGUUCACAUUGUAAAAAUUAUUUAACCUCUCUGUACCAGAGUAUCUUUAUCUCUAAACCAGAAGAAUGAUACUACUUACCUUGCGCUGUAUGAGCAGUUAAUCAAUUAAGAAAAAACUAUAGGAGAAACAAAUACAGAGAGUCUGAGAUGGGAGUGUGAAUGAUGCUUUGAGAAUGGGUGAGACCCAAUAUUUUGCUGAUGAAAAAUUUUCUGUUUGAUAGAAAUACAUCUUAAAAAUUUGGAAACAAUAGAGCUUUUAGAAAUAAAGCAAUUUGUUCACAACAUGAAAUGAAAUUGUACUGGGAUAUUUUACUCACAUAACAGAUUUUAUACUAAGAAUUUUCAUCCUUUGUUAAAAUAAUUAAGGCCAUGGAGUUUUCCUAACUCAUGAAUACCAUUUAUCAUUACCAUGGAUUGAAAAAAUGACAAAUGAGAAAAAAAUUAUUGUUCCCAAGUAAUCUUAUAUGUGUUGAGCUUUAAAAACAUAAAGAAAACAAUUUUGAAAAUUGGUAUGAAUUUAUAUUUGAUUGAUAUGAGGAAAUUAUGAAAGCAUACCUGUGAUGAUAGAUCAAUGCAUGUUUGUACUAUGAGUUUUAAAACUCAUCAGAAUUUUCAUAAUUUCUCCAAAUGGCUGAAUUGAAGUAAAUGUAUACCCAGCAAAAUUUUUCUCAUAUAUAUUUCUGUAGAAAAAUAAAAGUAAAAAUUAAGUUGAUUUUUCUUUUCAUAAAAUGAGCCCCAAUGUAUAUUUUCUUUCAUAUAUGCUGUGAAAGAACUAACUGAAAAUGGAUAAUUCUUACUGUGUCAAGAAGUAAAACAAAAAUCUUACCUUCUGUGUGAUGUAUUAUUCUUGUGGCUCUAUGGAAAAAUUCAGUGAUAUCUUGACUUUCUGUUGAAAUUAUUAUUCUUAUUGUGUAGUAUAUCCUAGAGUUUUGAAGAGUUAUGUAGAAUGGUAAAUAAGGAUUUUUUUUUGGCCUGAAUCAUUUUCUUUAAAUUUUUUUUUUUCAACGUUUAUUUAUUUUUGGGACAGAGAGAGACAGAGCAUGAACGGGGGAGGGGCAGAGAGAGAGGGAGACACAGAAUCGGAAACAGGCUCCAGGCUCUGAGCCAUCAGCCCAGAGCCUGACGCGGGGCUCGAACUCCCGGACCGCGAGAUCGUGACCUGGCUGAAGUCGGACGCUUAACCGACUGCGCCACCCAGGCGCCCCUGGCCUGAAUCAUUUUCAAGUGCAUCCAAGUAAAUGAGAGUAAAUAGAUAGUAAAAUGAGCUAACUUAGAAGAUUGAGGUUCAAGUGAAAUAAAACUGGAAAUUACAACAACAUUGAACUCAAUCAAGAAAUAAACCCAUUAAUGAAUUUGACUUUAAAUAAUGGUUAAUUGUAAUUAAACUUUAAACAUAAUUUGUAAAUCAUGCAUCAGACCAUUAAGUGGAACAGAUAAGAGUUUACACUUUGUAUCUUUUUAAAUUUACCUUUCCUUCCUCAACUCCUACUCUACCAAUGCUGUUACGCCACGGGAAGCCAAGUUUGAUAUUAGCAAUAGAAGAUAGUUUAAGGAGCGUGUUGGUGGCUCAGUUGGUUAAGCAUCUGACUCAGGUCAUGAUCUCAAGGGUUCAUGGGAUCAAGCUCUGCAUUGGGCUCUGUGCUGACAGUAUAGAGCCUUCUUGAGAUUCUCUCUCUCUCUUUGCCCCAACCCUUCUCUCUUGUUCUCUUUCUCUUUCUCUCUUAAAAUAAAUAAACAUUUUUUAAAAAGAUAGUUUAAGAUGUAAUGAUGUCCGGGACUAGAAGGGAAUUCUGGGGAGAAGAAUCAUUGAUUUAAACCGUAACCAAUAUCUUUUUAAUAAAUGGAACAUACUGCUGGCAUAAACACUGCUUCAACAUAAAGAAAAUAAAUCUAUUGAGCAUAAUACCUCUGUUAUUUCCAGAGCCAGAUGAGUCUCUUUCCUAUUCCAGUGGCUUUAUUUGUUAAAUUUCAUCACUUAGCAUACAGGAUGUGCAACUUGGCAAUAACAUAGUCAUAUUGGCAUUUUUCCUCCUACAAUGAAGGAACUUGAAUUUUUCCUCUGCAUAGCAUAUUAUACUGUAGACUUACAUGUUGUUUCUCUUCAAAUGUUGGUAUUGCCAUAAGGUGUGAGUUUUACUUACUAAAACAUGAUAAUUGAAAAACUUGAACUUUAUUCAGGGAAAAAUAUGGGAGGGGGUCAGUUUUUGCAUAAAGCUUUAAUGAAUCUGAUUUUAUUCAUAAUUCUGGGUUAGGCUUUUACUGGCCAGUAAAAUAACAUUUAAAAAGUUUAUGACUAUGAUUAAAAAGUUAUAAUUAUUUUAUCUGUAAAAAAGUAUCACUGAUGAAUGUUAAAUAUAAACAUAAUCUAGUUUAAACAGAUUGUAAAGCAGAAGUAGUGAGAAAGCUAAGUAAAUAAUAAAUAAAUUAAGAGGAGUCAGGAUUAGUCACAAAGUGAAAAUGAAAGCUCUAAUAAUGACAAGGUUGUGAACAAACAUUUAAAGAAAAUGCAAGAUAUAUAUUAGAUUUCUAAAUUUCUAUUUCCUUAUAAUUUUUCUGGGCUUCAUUUUAUUAUUAGAUUAUGAAAUCUAACCUAAUGAAUAUAAAGCAUGCUGAAUUUUCAAGGAAUGCUACCAAAAUUAUCUGGCAAAUUAAACAUUGAUUUUGUAGGUCCUUAAUAUAAUUGCUACAUUGUGAAGAUGUUAUAUUUAAUGGUUUUAAUCCUUCAAUGCAGACUACUAUAAUUCUUCAAACCUUUACUUAUUUAUAUAAACAAAUCAUUUCAUUAUUAGAUCUUGCUUUUUGUCUUGAACAUUUUAUUUUUAUAUUAAUUCUAAUUUCUAGUGAACAGUGGAGAAUGUUUUAAUUGACCAUUUUUUUUUGUAUUACAUGAUUUGUCAUGAGCAAUAUAAAUAAAUACAUUAAUUGCUUAUCAUACUUAUAUCUGACAGAUGGGUCCCCAGGCACAGAGCCUAACCUUUUAUUUUGACACCUGCCACAUUUUGCCAGCCCUGACCCUUUUUCUUUGCCAGAGUGUUGCUGUGCUUGCUGUUCACCAUGGUUGCACUAAUCUCCAGCUUUUAAAAGGCAUAAUAUUGGAACCCUUCUGAGAAUCGCUGCUAUCAAUCAGCUGAUACUACAACAUAAAGUACUUCACAGAACUAUCCAACAUCUCUUCUCUCCUGUGAUUCAAACACAUUUUCUCUUAUUUUUGUGACCUACUGGCUAAAUAAGAUUACAUGGGGCUUGUUUUAAUCUAAGACCCCAUAUUGUUAACCUCUGACAUAAACCAUUUAAUUUAGCAGUCAUUUAAAAUUUGGAAUAUACUGGAGAGUAAUAAAAGAAGUUAUGCUUUCAUUUUUAUACUAAAAGAUACUUCUUUACUACAAAGCAAGUAGUAUAUUUUGAUAUAGCUAAGUUAAAAAUAAUCUUAACAUGUUCACCAAACAAACAAACAAGAAAAACCCCAAGCAUCGGGGCAAUAAAACAUGUUUUGAGAAUCACUAUGCACUCAAUCUCAAACCUGCACCUUUGAUUUCUGGGAUGAUUCCAGAAACCACUAACACAUAAUGUUUGUCUGGAUUCAUACACACUAAAAGCACAUGUCUGGUCCAUUAGACCAUUGGUCUGGUUCUAAAGAGCUCUGUAAGCUGGAGUACACACAGAGGGCAGGUAAGCUGUGGAGCUUCAUUACUGAAAUAAUUUGAUAUAAAUUUGAAGGGAUUCCCUUCCUGAGCAAAAUCAGGCGAUAAUUAACUAUGGAAAAUGUUGUAAUUGAUAUUUUUCAAGAGUAGGUUGGAAACAAAGAAAUUGAAAAGUAGAUGUAUAGGUAGGAAGGGACAGUUAUUUGGUACCAGAGUUCCACCAGGUCAACCCAGUUUUGCUCACAGUCUCAUUGCAGACUGAAACUCAGAGAUGUAUACACCAACAACUUGUCUUUCAAAUAUGGCAUUUAUUUUCCUGACAUAAGCUUAUUUGGUAUAAUGGAAAAAGCCUUGGACUAUGUCUUAGAUAAACUAAGUUUAUUGAAUAAUUCAGAGACCCAUUUAUGCCAGUUAGGAUAUAUAUGUACAUUGCAAGAAGUAUGGGAUAUGUAUCUUAGGACAUUCAAAGAAAAUGCUAUUUAAAGCCUGGGGCUAAAGGAUAUUGGAGUUGAAAGGUAAUUCUAGAGUUAUAGCAGCUUUUUGUGCCUCGGCAUCAGCAGUUUUUGAACCUUUAGUGAGCCGCUAUUAAUAUGACUCAGCUGUAAUUCAUAUCUUUCUCUUUCUUCUCUGCCCCAAUCCACCCUGCACAGCUUACUCAGAGUUUCUACUAGCUCAUAUUUUUAGCAUGUAGAAAAUUUUGGACUGUCACAGAAAAUCCUUUCUUUACUUAUUAGGCCUAAAUACAGAGACCAAAAAACAAACAAACAAACAAACAAACAAAACUCAUGGGUCCAGCUCAUCUUUGCAAGCCUGGCCACAGUUCAUAGUUUUCUGGCCAGCCAUUCUUUGCUCUCAGUCCAAUCAGCUGUAAAAUGGUGAAUGGCAGAGAUCACUUCUGAGUAAACAUGGCCGCUUAGGUGGCAGAUGUUCUGGAUGGGGAUGAUUCUUUUAGAAGGGAUAUGUCAUGUUGGACACAGACAAUCCUCGAAGUGUGGUUCAGAGACUGGAGAUGGUCCAUGUGCUGUUUGUUAACCAUCCAAAACGAUAAGCACAUUCAGGAUAACCAUUUCACAACUUAAAGCUAUUUGUUUUAAGUCUUUUGAUGGUUGUUGGAUCUAAAAAAAUUGGAUUUGUGUUUUGUAUAUCUUUGCUUUCUGAUAAUUCAUCUUAUAUUAAAAAAAUAAUAGUGACUUAUUGGGAGUGAAUGGGAAACUGAUCUUUCACUAAACAUAUUUUUAGUGGCCUUGGAUUAGAAGUUUAGAUCCUACUUGUGGUGCCUCUCCCUAACUAAUUUUAAGUAAUAAUGAUCAAAUCUUCACAGUAGAGUUAUAAUCCUCCUGAACAAACAAGGACUAUAAUGUCAGUCACUUACCUCCUAAGUUAUUAAAAGUCAUGAGACAAUACAGGAGAAUGAAUUUUGAAAAGUUGUAAUACGCUAAUCAGAACUAAGUUAUUAUAUUUCAUGAUUAAAGUAUCUAUAUAAAAUCAUAUAUAUAUACAAUUGUAUAUACAUAUGCAUACAUACACGUAUGUGAUAUAUAUAUACUUUCCCAUAUGAAAUGUAAGAUAUGACAGUGUAGAUUUUAUUGCUUGUCUAUGUUGUAUAUAUUUUUUAUGUCAUAUUUGCUAGUUUUUGCAAGAGACAAUUAGAGGUCAAAUUGAUAAAGAUUUACUCAGGAAGCACCCUGUCCUUAAUAAUUUUACAAUUUAGAGAUACCUGGCUGGCUCAGUUGGUACAACAUGCAACUCUUGAUCUCGGGGUUGUGAGUUCGAGCCCCAUGUUGGGUGUGGAGAUACUUAAAAAUAAAAUAUUUUAAAAAUAAUAAUAAUUUUACAAUUCAGUUGAUUGUAUAUAGAAGUUAAAUAAAAAUAUUUACGCAGUGUAACAUUGUAAGAACUAUGAAGAGGAAGCACAUAUUUAAUAAAAAAAUAAUACAAAUGUUAAAGACAAGAUAUUCAAAGGAAGGGUGGAGGAUUUCGUGCUGUGAUUAUCAGAGAAAAUUUAUAGAAUAGGUAGGAUUUGGACAGUAUCUGUAAUUUGAAUGAGAUUUGGAAAUGUAAAAAGGGAGGCUUUGGCUAUUCUAGACAGAACAAAACUUUCAAGCAGAUGUAUGGAGUCAAAAUAUCUAUGUAUAUGUUUGUACAUAUGUGUGGGUAUUGCGAUAGGUAGAUAGAUAGAUAGAUAGAUAGAUAGAUAGAUAGAUACAUACAUAUGAAAAUAAAUGAAAAUAGAAAUAGAAAGUAAAUAAAAGACCCUGAAAAUUAAAUUGUACUAUUCAAUCUUAAUUUUUUGUAGUCUCCCCUAUCUAAUACAUGACAUUAAUUAUUAAAAGGGGACUCUUGAGGGGCACAUGGGUGGCUCAGUUGGUUUCUUGAUUUCUGCUCAGGCCCUGAUUUCGGCUCUUGAUUUCGGCUCAGGUCCUAAUCUCAUGGUUUCUGUGCUACCAGCACAGAGCCUGCUUGGAAUUCUCUCUUUCUCUCUCUAUCUGCCCCCCAUUCACACACACAGGCCUGCAUGCUCUUUCUCUCUUUCUCUCAAACUAAAUAAAUAAACAUUAAAAAAGGGGGAACUCUUGGAAUAGAUUUGCUUUUACAUUUAUGUCAUUUACUGUCAUGUUAAAUGCAAAUGUUGCAAAUGCAAAAUAACAAAUCAUUUUCUCCAAGUAAAAUAAUACUUUAAAUUGUAAUUUAUUUUAAAUCUCAUAAUCAAUUCAAAGAAUAAAAACACAAUUAUUAAAAUAUUAGUACACUUUCCUGUGGACAUCUGGCAUCUCAGUCUAAUGCCAAGAACAAAAACAAAACAAAACAAUCUAAAUGGCAAGAGAAUCUCUUCUAAAGAGCAACUUUAUAACCUUAGCAAUUUUAUUACUUUACAGGAGGGUCAUAAUAAUUAAAUUACAGAAUAUUGCAGAGCAUUAUGUCAGUUUGAACCACUUUGCAUAUAGUGCCUCACUUACAAAAGCUGACCUUGUUGGAUGCCAUUAUUUUAAGAUCUAAGAACUAUGAUAUUGUUAGAAAUGGAAUUUAGUGAUUUCAACACGAGUUUUUGAUGUUUCAGAAUUCAACUCUAUGACACCAAUUUAAAGUACCAAGGUACUGGUAAUUUUGUUUGUAUAAGAUUUUUAUUUUAAGUUUACUUAUUUUGAGAGAGAGAGAGAGAGAAGCAUCAGCCAGGGAAAGGCAGAGAGAGAGGGAGAGAGAAAGAAUCCUAAGCUGGCUCCAUGCUCUGCACUGAGCCUGAUGUGGGGCUGGAUCUCAUGACCAUGAGAUCAUGACCUGACCCGAAAUCAAGAGUUGGACGCUUAACCGACUGAGUCACCCAGGUGCCCCAAUAUUAUUUUAUUUUUUAUCCUCAAAUUUCUUACACUGUAAGACUAAAACUAAUAAUUUAAUUGUUCAAGUUAUACAAAAAGGAUUAAGCAAAAAAGUAGUCUACAAUUUUCACAUGGUCAGUGCCUAACAUAAUAAGCAAACACAUCAUGGUCUUGCAAAUUUGUACUGCAAAAAUAAUCCUACACUGGUAUCUUAUAAAUGAGACACUAUUGAAAGUGAGAGAGGUAACUGUAUAAAAAUCUCCAGGUACAUAAAAUAAAAUUAAAGGUCAUAAAGAUAAACUAGAAAUGUUUAAACAAAAGAAAAAGAAACUACAGCUCUAAUUUAGUUUUCAAAACAGCAAUUACUGAAAGAAAAGUAAUAAAGGUUUUUAAAUUAUCAAGCAAGAAGUAGAAUUAUUUAAAGAUGAAUCACAGGAAAACGUGUAGAAAUGGUUUGUAACUUCUUUUGCAGCAUAGCCCUGACCAUGCAAAUGUAGAAAGAGCUUAUCAAUUAGAAAAUUUAAAACAAAAUGGAUUGAAGGAAGCUUUGUCUCUUAAGGUUACAAAUUUAUAAAACCAAAUAAUAUUGUUUUGCUUUCAAUUUGUCUUUGAAAAUUAAAUUUUCUUCCUUUUUUCUAAUAUUUUGUUUAUUUUAAUAAUAUUUUACUUUUAAUUGAGUCUAUAGUAAUGUUAAAAUGACAUUUAAUAUUUAUACAUUCUAAAUUUACAUUUUUUUUGCAUUUUGCUUUGUAAUGUGCUCAUAAAUAUCAAUAUUCAAAAUGCAUUGAGUAUUUAAUUUUGAUUUUUUUCAUUACUUUUUAACAAUGUGCAACCUGCAGGCAGCAGCCUUAUCAUUUUAUCUUACUAUUAAUCACCUGUCCAAUUGAACUUCAAUAUUAAUUAAGCCAUACCAGUUGAUUUCACCCAAGGACUCUUGUAAGAAAAAGAUGUGGUGAGAAGAUCAUGGUUCUUUGUCUUUCUUUGUUCUUGAAAAAUUUUAUUUAUUUAUUUUUUAUGAAUGUAAUUUAUUGGCAAAUUGGCUUACAUACAACACCCAGUGCUCAUCCCAGCAAGUGCCCUUCUCAAUGCCCAUCACCCAUUUCCCCCUCUCCCGCACUGCCCAUUCACCCUCAGUUUGGUCUCUGUAUUUAAGAGUCUCUUCGGCUUGCCUCCCUCCCUCUCUUGAGAAACUUAACAGAAGGCAAUGGGGGAAGGGAAGGGGGAAAUAAAUGGUUCUCAAAUGAGUUUUUAGUCAGCUAGCUAGCUUUUCCUACUUUUAUUCUUUUCACUUAUAGUCUCUCCUAUCAACUCCUCUGCAGAGAAACAAUUAGACUUAUUCCUACAAUUAAAAAAUAUAUAUUAUAUCCUUAUAAUAAGUAAUAUAAAGGAAAGGUCAUAUUUUUCUUUUAAAGAUUAGGUUUCUUCAAAGGAUAAUCAGUGUUCCUUGCUUUGCCACACAUGUACUGCUCAGUGACUUUCAGGUUGGCUUCCUGUGUCCAAACUUUUUUGUUAGCAAGACUUUGGUUAUCAAACUUACAGCCUUUUGUCAGAAUAAAUUCUGAAUCACCUUUUGAUUUGCUAUCAAUCAUCCUCAUCUUAACAAUUAUUUCUCUUGGCCUCCUUCACUUCUCUUACUUAGCUCAGUGUCCUGACUUCAACCCUUUCUUGUCCUGGAAUCCAGGUAUUCCUAAGGAGCAGCUUUCUUUCUUCCCUAUACUUUCCCAACCUUCUCUCAAAUGCAGCUCUUACCUCCCCCUACUUUAAUCUCUGUGAGGCUUUCCCCCAAACCAUUAUCUCUUAUUCCAUGUUGCCUGCUGGACAUCAACAUAACAUCCCACUAGCUCUUCAAAUCUAACAUUUUAAAAAAGCAUCUCUCUCCUCCCUCCACAUACCUGCCCAUUUCUUGGGUAGCAGGACCAUCAUCCUAGAAAAUCGGGCUUGAAUAUUGGACUCAGGUCUGAUUUUCCCCAACCCCACCCUCCUCACCACAUGUCUUGAGCCUACGAAUUGUGUGGAUUUUGCCUCCAUAAUGUUCCAAACAUCUGUUCCCUCUUCUGGAUUCUCAUUUUUGCCAUUAAUCUCUCAUUUAACUUUGAUCUAAAAUAUCAAAUUAAUUGUAUGACUCAACUCUCUGUAUCUGCUUUCUUCUUGCAAAACAUAACUCCAAUCAUGUUCAGAGUCCUCCAAUGAUUUUUUUGGAUUUUUUAAAAUGUUUAUUUAAUUUUGAAAGAGAGAGAGAGAGAGAGAGAGAGAAGGAGUGGAGGAGGGGCAGAGAGAGAGGGAGACACAGAAUCUGAAGCAGGCUCCAGGCUCUGAACUGUCAGCACAGAGCCCGGCGCAGGGCUCAAACCCACGAACUGUGAGAUCAUGACCUGAGUCAAAGUCGGCCACUCAACCAACUGAGCCACACAGGCACCCCAAUCCUCCAAUGAUUUUUUUAAUGAGAAUUCUAAAUUACUUUUUCUUUUUCUUUUAAUAACCUCCACUAUUAGACAAAACAUACUUGUCUAGCCUUAUUUUUUUAUUCUGUAUCUUUUAAGAUCCACCCUCCAAUUCCCAUCUUCUCUUCUUAUAAUAGACCAUAAGUUGCUUGAGAACUAGGACUUUGUGUUAUUUGUAUUUGUGUUCCCCAGACCUUCACAUAAUAAUUUAUUCCAAAAUCUCAAUAUGUAUUUUCAUGGUGAAUGAAUAAACAUAUGAAGUAACUUUUGCCCACCAUUUCCUCAUCCCAGAAAAUCUAACAUUCCAGACAAGCAAUAGAAUUCUCUUAAAAUUAAAGCUAAUAAAAAAGACUAGAGUGGUAGCUUUUCAGCCUUGGAUGCACACGGGAAUCACUGAGAAGAUUUUGAGAAACACUAAUGCUCCACCUCCAGAGAUUCUGAUUUAAUUUUCCUGGGUGGGAUUGAGUAAAUGGUAUUUUUAAACAUUCCCCAGGCAAUUUGAAGUACACCCAAAGUUAAAAACUUUUGAGCUAGAGAGUAAGUGUAGGCUGGGGAAAAUUGAAUUUUGAAUAUAGUUUCAGAUUAAUUUUCACAUACUAUAUUUACCCCAACAAUCAAAUCCACCUAAAUGAAUCCUUUCACUGUCUCUAGCAUCAGAAUUUGAUACUUAAAAGCUAAUGGGAAAUACACAUUUAAAAAAAACACUCAUUUUAACAGAAAAUUAGUCUUUUAAAAUCUAUAUGUAAUCAUCUGAGAUUAAACUAUUCAAAAAGAGUAUAAGACCAGAAAGCAAACCAUCAUGAUUUAUGCUGGACCUUUUAUUCUAUUCAUGCACUUAUCUAUUCAUUUAACCAAUUUUAAUAUUCAAUUAUGUUUUGGUUGUUUAUAAAUGCAAUCUUAGUUCAUAUAUAAGUGAUUCCACCUCAGGCUAUUUUAAAUUAUAGAGUUUAUUGAUCCUUAAUGUACCUUAUGUGAUCAUUAAUAGUAUCGAUUAUCUUUGGAGUCAUUGGGGCUCUGGUAAGACCUUCAAGCUCAUUAGGGGUUUUGAAUCAUUUAAUCCUUAAAGAGAGAAAGGGUGUAAGUGACAUAAUGACUUCUGAGUUUUCAAUGUGCCCAUUAUUUCAUCUUGCUCUAUUUUUAAAUACAGAUAUAACACUAUUUGGAAAUUUUUUUUAAGUUUUAUAUAUCACCAAACAGCAAGCCAAUAUUAUUUAACAAACAUUUCUUAUUUUAGAAAGUAAUUGUUUUUAAUUACCAACAUUGAUGAUUCAGUAAUUCAUUAACUAGUUUUGAAGUACUAACCAAUUUUUUUCUUAAUAAGUUCCUCCUUUACCCUUCCUCCUCCCUUCCUUCUCCCUUCCUCCUUUACCCUAAAUCUGCUCCAAAACUGUCAAUAUUUCAGGAUAAUAUUAUUAUAAAAGGUAAAAGCAGAAAAAAUAUUUAAUUUGUUUUUCUUUUCUCUUCUUUUCUUUUCUUUUCUUUUCUUUUCUUUUUUCUGUAACUGGUUGCAAAAAAAGCAUGAAGCCCUCAGGGAAAUGGAGAGGACUCAGAGUAUAGAUAUAUAUAUUUAAGAAAAAAGUUCCUCAAAAACUAAAACUGUGCCACUCCUCUACCCCUAUCCAGACUUGUUUGGCAUGGAAGAGGUGGAGGGAAAAUGAUAUAAAGAGGAUGUCUCUCUUCAAAAACAUAGAAGGGAUGUAAAAAAGUGAGUCUCCUGAAAUAGUAAAGCAGAUGGGAAUAAGGGGGAGGUGCCUGACUGGCUCAGUUGGUAGAGCGUGAGACUCUUGGUCUUGGGGUCAUGAGCUCAGUCCCCAAGUUGGGUGCAGAGACUUCUUAAAAAACAACAACAACAACAACAACAACAACAACAACAACAACAACAACAAAAUGGAAACCAGAUGGAAAUAAGGAAUGUGUAACAGAUGAUUGCAAGCAUGGACUUGAGCCAGACUGCCUGGGUUCAAAAGCCAGCUCUGGCAUUCACACUAGCUAUGUGACCCUAGACAAAGGUAUUGGUAAUUGUUGUUGCCUAAUUUUUCUAAACUAUAAAAAAAUGGGGAUAAAUAGAGUACCUCCCUCAUAAAACUGUUGCAGGGAUUAUUUGAGUUGGGGAUGCUAGAGAGAAUGCAGUCUCACGCAAACCUCCCAGUUCCCCAUGUACUUAAUAAUAUCUUUGUCCUCUCUUGGUUCUGUGAUGCUGCCUCAUCCUCAUUUCUUCCUACUAUCUUGGCUAUUCUCUCCAAACACAGCUCAAGAAAGCCUCCUAACUUUUAGAGCUGUCUUCUGGCCAACCAUCCAGGUCAUAGGCAUCCUAGAAAGCCCCAGCCACCUGCUUAAGAAACUUCUCAAAACUUUACCUCCUAACCAUCUAAACUGACUCUUCAUUUUUCUUUGCUCAAUCCCUCUACAUGGACCUUAUACUUGGAUAGAAUGCCAGCCUUUUCAUUUCACAUCUCUCUUCCCAUUUUGUCCUCUUAGCACCAGGCAGUGCUUUCUGUGGAGAAGUGUAACACACACCCAUACCCACACCCACCCUGGGUUAGGCUUCCAGAUUCUGCCCAGGCCCAAGUCUGGAAGACUUACUUUUUUUCCUUGGGAUGAUCACACAGCCUCAGACUUCUCUCUAUGUAACCACCCCUUAAAGGACCAAAGGUCUUUUUGUUUUCCCAUUCUCCACAUCCAUGUAGGCAAUCUCCUUUUCCUCCAUAGUGUCAACAUUCAUUGACAGGCUAAUAAAAAUAAUGACUUAGCAUUCACUAAAUGCUACUAUAAACUAAGUGCUCUCUGGAGACAGCUAGUAUUGUUAUCUCUCAUUGUGCAAAUAAGGAAACUAGGGCAGAGGAUGGGUAGGUAACAUAACCAUAGUCACACAGGUCAUAGAUGGGAAAGCACAGACUGCAAGUCUCGGUGCCUGUAUUGUUUUAUACUGAAUGUUGGUUUAGAAGCAGACUAUCUGGGUUUGAAUCCUGUCAGCUAGGGGCCAUUUGACCUGAGGCAAACCAUUUCUAAACUGAGGUUUAGAAACCUCAGUUUCUAAUUUAUAAAAUGGAGAUAAUUAUGCCUGCCUCCCAGGGUUUAUAUGGGUUUUACAUGGGAUAGUAUAUGUAGGACACUUGGAACAAUACCAGCACUUUGAAAAUGCUUUAAUGGUUUAUUAUUAUUAUUAUUAUUAUUAUUAUUAUUAUUACUACUACUACUACUACCACUCUAUAUUUCCUGUCCUGACAGUUAAAUCUCUGUCUCUGUUCCCAAUUUCUGGAGCUCCAGACCAACUCUACUAGAUGUCUGGGUGUUCCAUAGAUGGCUCAACUCAUUAGUAUAUCCUCAACCUAUUAUUCUCAAAUAUUUUACCUUGGUGAAGACUGUCAUCACACCAGACACAGGAGUAACUCUGAACUCCUCUUUUUUAAUCAGUUAAUACUAACAAUUAGUUUCCCCUCACUUUAUAUAUUGUUCCAUCUGCCUUCUCUCACUCCUACUUAUAAGACUUAUUUCCAGUAUAUUGAAAUACUUAAUGUUAGUUCGUUAUAAAAAACAAACAAACCAGGAACUGUAUUAUGUGCCUGUUAAAGAUGAACAGAAUCUCAUCUCUGUCUUCUUCUGUGAAAGCAAAUGUAAUUUAUUUUUUAAACUUGAUUAUUUGCAUAGUAAUCUUUCUCUCAACCUAUUAUCAAGUGAGACAUCUAGCUAUGUGAGGAGUUUGCCACCAUAAAGACCUCAAUUUUCUUAUAGUAAUCCACUGAAUCAUCAAAUACUCUUUCCAGUUAAUAGCAAAUUGUACUUGGUGACUUCAGAAAUUUACCAUGAUUGAAAAUUAGAGUUAAGUAUAAAACUUACAUUUAACCAAGGUGUUCAUUAAUACAAAUAGUACAAAUGGGCAUAAAUUAUCUUCAGGGCAUUACUUUACUAUAUUAUCAAAGCAGUCAUAUUCCACUUAAGACUCUUUUUUUUCUAUUCAGGCUAAUAAAAAUAAUGACUUAACAUUAUGCUACUAUUACCAAGCAUUUUUUUGGAGAUAGGUAGUACUAUUAGCCUUCAUUGUGUAAAUGAGGAAUACUUGUAAUAUUAUACAUACUCAGCGAAGUCUAGUUAUCAUUGUUGUUAAAUCCCUUGUUACUCAAGUUAUCUGCAUUGAACAUGAGUUUUUCCCCACUGUUUUCUAUGUUCCAGGCACUGGACAAUCUGACCUAACAGUCCUGCCAGCCACUAAUUGAUAUAGCAUUAUUGUGCAAUUUGAAAAAGGAGCCCUUCCCCAAGAUACUUCAUGUCCAUCUAUAGGCAAUUUUGUCACAAUAAGCUAAUUUUAUUAGAACAUGGCACUAAACUGCCUGCAGAAAAUUGUAAUACUUAAAUCGGCAAAGUCUACAAUGUGAAUGGUUCCUCUAGAGUUGUGGAGUGAGCAACCUGCACAAUCAUUCAGUGUGGUCCAGCUUAGUCUAUUCUUGUCCUCAAUAGAUAAUUUUACAUAUGAUAAGAAGAAUGAAUGGUUCAAUAAUACACUAAAUCAGAAAUCAGAAUUUAUCUAACUAGACAAUUUACUACAAAAUUAUCACAAAAAAAGACCAUAUUAAUAGGUAAUGAAUAUCAUGUAUGCUGAUUAUGAGACUUAGAAGUUAGGCUAUAAAGAGCGAUGCACUUUUGUGAGUUUGACUACUGUCAUUCUUUAGAAAAUCGGUUAUUUAUUUAUUGAAAAUCUGUUAUUUAAUAAAAGCAUCUGAGAACCUGUCAGAUGCAGAAUUAUUAUGUUGAGAUUAACCUGAAUAAACUCACAUACUCAAAAUCCUGUUUUCAGAAGGACUAUCCUUAAAUCACCUAAAAUAAAUAAAUAUCUAUCUCUUUAAAAUAAAGAUUAACAAUUCAGAUAAGAAACUCUUCCUUAUCAUUAAAUCCAUAGUGCUUAAGAUUUAAUCUCUUUUCUCUUGUUCUCUCAAUAUGAGAGUAAGUAAUACAACAAAUGUAAAGUGCUUAGGUGUGGAAAGCACUCUAUAGGCAGUAAAAUCCUGAAAUUCAUGCAGAGUCCUUCUUAUUAAUGCAUUUAGAAUACUUUUCAGGGUUUCUUUAUAAUGCCAAGUUACACUAUUAAUUUCUUGCAAGCAAAUAUGAGUGAAUAGUCAACUAGUUGAUUAUAGUAUCUGAAAUUUUCUUUGUAAAAUAUGGAUAUGGCAGUCCAUGAUCUUAAGUUCAUAUUUUAACAUAUGAUGCACAAGUACAUGAUUUAACAAGGAGAUAUAUCAUCGUACGCAACAUUGCAAAUCUGAAGAAAAUGACUUUUUAAGAUUUAUGCCAAUUAUUAUUUUUUAAAAAUUGUGAAUUCUGGGGUACCUGGGUGGCUCAGGUUGUUAGGCUAAAUCCAACUCUUGAUUUCAGCUCAGGUCAUGAUCUCAUGGUUCAUGAGAUUGAGCCCCACUUCAGACUCUGUGCUGACAGCCCCGAGCCUGCUUGGGAUUAUCUCUCUCCCUCUCUCACUGCCCCUCCCCCACUCACAUGGACAUUGUCUCACUCUCUCUCUCUCAAAUAAUAAAUAAAUUUUUUUUAAAUUAAAAAAAUGUGAAAGCCUAGGUUUGAUAAAUUGACACAAUACAAAGAUGAUAGAUAGAUGAUAGAUAGACAAAACUGAACUGUGCAUAUUCAUCACCACGAAUUCCCUUUACCAAUUCUCUUUUUGUUAACUAUUUCUUCUUGUUCUCUUUCUUCUAACAUUUAUCAAUUCUUUUUUCAUUCAGCUUCUUACUUCCACAUAAAACUAUAACACAUUAAAAUCUCACACAAUUUAUUUUCUUUCUUUAGAUUCUUUCUUUUAUCAUUGAUCAUCUUAGAUAUGUUAGAGUACUUAAUGUGUUUGGAUUACUGCAAGAGUGAUUCCAUUUGGUCCUAAUAUCUAUAUUGACCUGUUUUCUUCAGAUUUAUGUAUUAAAAGCAGAUUUUUUAUUCUGUUUUUGAACAUUUAUGUGUAGAAUGUUUGUACUUGUCAUAGUAGUUUUUCUUUUCCUUGUGUUGGCACUUUUGGUGUAUUUCUAUCCUUCUAAUUGUACAGAAAAAAAAUCCUCAAAUGCUGCAGCAUGAGAGAUAAAAAGGACACUUCUAUCUUCAUGUUUCAUAAUUACAACCUGCACUCAGGAAUGGAAGUCAUGGUUGCACCACCAGAGAGCUGUUCAUAAGGCACACAAGAUUAGGAAGUCUGAGAGAAGAAUGUACCCAUUAAUUGUAGAGAAAGAAAUAAUAGAUCAUUUUCUUAAUUAUAUGGAAAUGUAGUAAGGACAAAAAACUAGAAAAAAAAGACUAAAAAUUGUGUUUCUGUAGCAAUUAGCAGAAAAAAAGAAAACUUUAACCAAUCAAUAGUUUAUUUUCAUGCCUCCUAUACAAAAAGAUUCAAAGAAUAUUAUCUACACCAUGAUUUGAUUAAUUAUUUCUUUCAGUGAAUUGAGUAACUAUUUUCUUCCCUGACUGAGCAAAUUGAUUAAAUGAUUGAUAACUUCUCAUGCACAUUGACAAUAUGUGAUGUCAGUAAUGCUAAUAAUUUUUUUUAUUAAAUACUGGACUUAGAGCAUCCUUUGAUUUUCUCAUUAAAUAUGAAAGUUCAUAUUUAUUUCCUGAGUAUGCUCUUGAAGAUACUCUUGUAAACAAAGACAAACAUCUCUUAAAGAGGAAAAAAACAAUUUACUUCUUUGACUUCACCAAGAACUGUUAUUCAAAAUUUUAUUUUCAUUAUUAUUGUUUUUAAUUUAGGGGAAAACUCUGCAUUACUAAGUAGUGAAAAAAUUGAAAUAUAUAUAUAUGUACAUAUAUAUAUAUUUUUAAGUGUAACUACAGUAUAAAUGAGAGCACACCAAUCUAGCUCCGUAAGAAAUCACCUAAAUUAUAUAAUAAGCAAGUUGCUUUUUUUCUGCCACAAAUGGUCACUUCUCUUUGUCCAGGCAGGCACACCUUAUAGAUACUGAUGGUUUGGUUUCAGAUCAACUCAAUAGAGUGAAUGUCACAAUAAAGGAAAGUCAAGUGAAAUUUUUGGUUUCCCAAUGCACACAAAAGGUAUGGGUUUUUUUUUAAAUGUUUAUUUAUUUAUUUUGAGAGAGAGAGAAGGAGUGAAGAGGGGCAGAGAAUGAGGGAGAGAAUCCCAAGCAGAUUCCAUGCUCAGCACUGAGCCCAAUGUGGGUUUCCAUCUCACGAACUGUGAAAUCAUGACCUGAGCCAAAAUCAAGAGUCAGAUGCUUAACCAACUGAGCCACACUGGUGCCCCACAAAAGUUAUGUGUUUUUUUUUUUUAUGUGUAUACUCUACUGUGGUCUAUUAAGUAUGCAGUAGCAUUCUAUCUUAAAAAAUAAUGUAUGCACCUUAAUUAAAAAAUACUUUCUUGCUAAAAAGUGUUAACCAUCAUCUGCACUUUCAGUGAGUCAUAAUCUUUUUGCUGGUGGAGGGUCUUGCCUCGAUGUUGACUGCUGCUGACUGAUCAGGGGUGGUGGUUGCGGAAGACUGGGUUGUCUGUGGCAAUUUCUUAAAACAAAACAAUGAAGUUUGAUGCACCAAUUGACUAUUCCUUUCACAAACAAUUUCUCUGUAGCAUGUGAUGCUGUUUGAUAGUAUUUUACCCACAGCAGAAAUUCUUUUAAAAUUUGAGUCAGUCCUCUCAAACUCUGCUGCUGCUUUAGCAACUAAGUUGAUGUCAUAUGCUCAAUCCUUUGUCAUCAUUUCAGCAAUCUUCACAGCAUCUUCACCAGAAGUAGAUUCCGUCUCAAGAAACCACUCUCUUUGCUCAUCCAUAAAAAGCAACUCUUCAUCUGUGAAAGUUUUACCAUGAGAUUGCAGCCAUUCAGUCACAUGUUCAGGCUCCACUUCUAGUUUUCUUGCUGUUUCCACCACAUCUGCAGUUACUUCCUCCACUGAAGACUUGAACCCUUCCAUGUCAUUCAUGGUUUAAAAUCAGCUUCUUCCAAACUCUUGGUAAUGUUGGUAUUGUGACCUUUUCCCGUGAAUCAUGAAUGUUCUUGAAUGACAUCCAGAAUGGUGAACCCUUUCCAGAAGGUUUUCAGUUGACUUUGCCACCAGAUCCAUCAAAGGAAUCACUAUAUAUGGCAGUGGUAGCCUUACAAAAUAUGUUUCUUAAAUAAGCAGACUUGAAAGUAGAAAUUAUUCCUUGAUCCAUGGGCUGCAGAAUAAAUGUUGUGUUAGGAAGCAUGAAAAUGAUAUUAAUCCCAUUGUACAUCUCCAUCAGAGCUCUUGGAUGAUCAGGUGCCAAAUAUGAAUAUUUUGGAAGGAAUCUUUUUUUUUUCUGAGCAGGAGGUCUCAACAGUGGACUUAAAAUAUUCAGUAAACCAUGUUGUAAACAGAUGUGCUGCUAUCCAGGCUUCAUUGUUCUAUUUACAGAGCACAGGCAGAAUGGAUUUAGCAUAAUUCUUGAGGGCCCUAGGAUUUUUGGAGUAGUCAAUGAGCAUCGGUUUUAGUUUAAAGUUACCAGCUGCAUUAGCCCUGAACAAGACAAUCAGCCUGUCCUUUGAAGCUUUGAAGCCAGACAUUGACUUCUCUCUAGCAAUUACAAUCCUAACUGGCAUCUUCUUCCACCAGAAGGCUGUUUUAUCUACAUUGAAAAUCUGUUGUUGAGUGUAGCCACCUUCAUGAAUUAUCUUAACUACAUCUUCUGAAUAACUUGCUGCAAUUUAUUCAUCAGCACUUGCUGUUUCACCUUGCACUUUUAUUUGAUGGAGACUGCUUCUUCCUUUAAAUCUCACAAACCAACCUUGGCUGGCUUCAAACUUUUCUUCUGCAGCUUCCUCACCUCUCUCAGCCUUCACAGAACUAUAGAGAGUUAGGGCCUUGCUGUGGAUUAGGCUUUGGCUUAAGGGAAUAUUGUGGGUGGUUGGAUCUUCUAUCCAGAUCACUAAAACUUUCUCCAUAUCAGCAAUAGGACUGUUUUGCUUUCUUAGCAUGUGAGUGUUCACCAAAGUAACACUUUUAAUUUCCUUCAAGAACUUUUCUUUUGCAUUCACAACUUGACUAACUGACAUGAGAAGCUUAUCUCUUGGUCUAGCUCAGAUUUCAAUAUGCUUUCCUCACUAAGCUUAAUCAUUUCUAGCUUUUGAUUUGAGAUACAUGCAAUUCUUCCUCUCAUUUGAAUGCUUAGAGGCAUUCAUUGUAGGGUUAUCAUCUGGCCUAAUUUCAAUAUUGUGUGUCUCAGGGAAUAGGGAGGCCCAAGCUAAAAGAGAUAGGGGGCCAGCUGGUCAGGUGGAGUAGUCAGAGCACACACGACGAUUUUUGAGUAAAUUCUGCCUUAUAUGGGCACAGUUAGUGGUGCCCCCAAACAAUGACAAUGGUAACAUCAAAGAUCACUGACCAACUAUCACCAUAAUGAAUAUGAACAAAAGUUUUUUUUUAUUUUUAAAAAAUUUUUUAGUCUUUAUUCAUUUUUGAGAGACAGAGAGACAGAGUGCAAGCAGGGAAGGGGAAGAGAGAGAGGGAAGACACAGAAUCCCAAGCAGGCUCCAGGAUCUGAGCUGUCAGCAUAGAGCACAACAUGGAGCUCAAAUCCACAAACUGUGAGAUAAUGACCUGAGCCAAAGUCGGACACGUAACUACCUGAGCCACUCAGGCACCUUAAGGAAAGUUUGAAAUACUGCAAGAAUUACAAAAUUGUGACCUAGAAAUGCAAAGUGAACAAAUGUUUUUAGGAAAAUGGUGCCAAUAAGCUUGCUCAUCACAGAGUUGCCACAGACCUUCAAAUUGUAAAAACUGUGAUACCUGCAAAGCACAAUAAAGCAAGGUAUUCCUGUAAUACUAUGACAGUAGCUGAUGUGUAUAACCUAGAAAAAUAAACUCUCUAUGGUAAGUACUUUUUUAAACAUGGGACUUCAUUUUUUGUAAAGAGUUAAUCAUUUUUCAAUCACAUGUUUGACAUAUUUCACAUAUUCAAAACUAUAUAACAAAAUUGACUAUUGCUUAAAACAAAACAAUCCAUUUAGGGGAAACCAUUUUAAAAAGAAUAGAGUUUAAGUUGCUAUGAAAUUGAUAAUAUAAAAGAAAAUAAACUGAUUUUAAUUACACAUUUAGUUAAUUCAAGUGUCUCUUGAUAUCUCCUCAUAUUAAUUUAAGCUAUAAAAUUGCCUGUUGACAAUCCAUUUUUAUAAACCUCUUGUCAAGAGAGAUUUGCAUUAUCCAUCAUUUAGUUCUAGUUCUUUUUUUAAACAAUAAAAAAUUGUAUUUAUAAUAUGAUUGUCAUUUCUUAUUAGACUUAGCAGUAUAUAUUAGUGAAUUGUUUGCACACUGUUUCUUCCUCAAUCAUACUCCUUUAUGGAUUUACUUAUUUAUUAAUGAAGUAUGUCUUUCAGUAUUUCUUCCACGUGAGGGUCAGAAACUAUGUGUCAUCGUAUUCUUUUUUUAUUCCACCCUCUCUCUUAAAUGUUUCACUUUACUAAUUGAAUGUUAUUUGCUUAGCACUUGAUGUUUUAGCCUAUUCUCUUCCAGCCUCUACUAAUUCUGAUGAGGUUAGUCUGACCGUUCCUUUGUAAACAAAUAGCUUAUUUCUCUCUUAUCUCUAUUCAAUUCCAAGAUUUCUCUUUAGUCCCCUGAUGUUCUGCAAUCCCACCGCAAAACAACUAGGUAUAAUUUAUUUUUAUCUAAAUUUUUUAUAUGAGGACUCAUCACUGCCUUCAGUCCAAGAAAAUUUUCAGCCAUCAUUUCAAAUAUUUCUCCUUCCCUAUGAACACUAUUAUUUGUUACUAAAAGUCUUAUUCAACAUAUGUCAGAGCUUCUUGAUUUUGUUUUCUCCAUGUCUCUUAAAUGAUCUUUUAUAUUUUUAUUCUCUCUCUCUCUCUCUCUCUCUCUCUCUCUCUGUGCUGCAUUUGCAUGCUUCAAUCUUCCUAUUCACUCAUUUUUUUUUCUUCUAUGUGUAGUCUGCUUUACAUACUUUCUGUUAUUUUAUCUCAAUGAUUACAUUAUUUUAUUUAAAAGCCCAUUUUGGCUUAUACUCAUGGAACUCAAGAUUCUAUACUAAAUCUUAAAGAAAUAAUGCUAUAAUAUUGAGAUUGUAAUUCCCCAAGGGAAAAUCCUAUGAUUAGGCUACAAGAUGCAUGAGAGAAAACAUGUGUCAUUAUCUUGGUAGCCCUACUACCUAGCAAACAUCCUGGAAAAUUGCAUUUUUUCAAUAAAUGUUUUCAGUAAUGAAUUAAAUGUAAAGCAACUGAGUGUUCAACUUAAUAGUAGUAUAUCUUAGUAUGAAUGGGUUGUCUUUACUGAUUGUCAAUAGUUCAAAUACAGUGAUUUGCAGUCCAGAGAUAUGUAUAAACACCUCAGGUGAACAUGAAAAUGCAUAUUCAUAGGCCUCACCACAGAGUUUCUGAUCCAGUAGGUCUUGGAAAAUAUCCUGCAAUCAGAUUUAGAAGUGGUACUGAUAGGUGAACCAAAGAUUCCUUUAUGUGAUUUAGUCAGCAGAGGGGACAGUGGAGACUGAGAGGAAACACCUUGGAAUGAAGAAGCAAAAGCCAAAUAAUAGGAGAAAAGUUUGAGAAAAGCUGAUUCUGGCUUCAUCAAGAAUCAUAUCAAAGCUUGAUCAUUUAAAAAAUAUGUACAUGAUGAAUGCUUUGUCUUUUGCUCUGGGAAGAAGCAUCAUUUGAUAGCAUACCUGUUUUUUGUUUUAAUUCUUCACAUGGGUUCCUUUAUUAAAACAAUUUUGAAUAGGUAGGAAAGGUUAAUAUUGGGUCUGUUUUCUUGUGGAUUUAUUUUUUUAAAGGCUUUGCAUUGAAUUUUGUUGCAUGAUAGAAUGAUAAUGUAAUGUAAUUUAGCUUAAUAUCUAUUUUGUGUUAUAUGACAGUUUUAUUAAGCAGAACCAAUAAUCAUCAUUAUUCAGAGUCAUAAUGACCCAUUAUAAAUGGUCUCAUUUUUUAACUUUAAUUUUACCUCUUAGAGUAUGCCUUUGUAGAAUUGCUAAAAUGGUUACACUUAGUUUCUUUUAUAAAUAUAAUUUUAACAAUCACUAUGGAAACAUUAAGUCAUCUAGUAGUUAAGUACCACUAUUCUAUAUAUUUGAUACAAAACUAUUUUAGUGGCUUGGUUUCUGUUAAUUAAACUUUCAGGCAAGCACAUUUCAGGAAAUUAAAUUACCAUCCUUCAUGUUUUGGAGGCUUAAAUUGAGAUGAAUAGCCUUUUCUUUCUGGGAUGCCACCUUUCUGACCCCCGUGUUUAUUAGGGUAGGAAUUAGUAGUCAGAUUAGACAAAAAAGGACUCAUCUCCAACAGCCUCUAGAUUAACUGAAUUUAGAAUACCCUCUUUAAAAAUAUCAACAAACUAAGGUAGUUUCAUGUCUAUUACACAUUUUAUCUUAAAGCAAAUAAAUUUAGGCAACUCUCAGAUUGUUUUCUGUCCCAAAAAUUGUACCAAGAGAUUGGAAUUUGGAGAGAAGAGAGAAUGAAGUUAUUUAGGUCAUGGAUGCUUCAGAGCAAAGAGGACAUUAGAAAUUCUUCAAUUUGAAGGAUGUUUUGUAUAACAUUAAACAUCUACUUAAUGUUUUAUAGUUUGCAGAGCAUUCUCACUUGCAUCUUUUCACAUAGGCCUAAACCCUUUCUCUCAGAGGAAGAGCAUUAUUAGUCUGAAUUUACACUGCGGGUACUAAGUGUCAGAAAAAUUAACUCACACCCAAGCCAGUUACCUAGUUCGACUGAAGGCGAAGCUUAUGCUUUUUUCCACAACAUCAGAGUCUUGAUAGUCAGAGCACAUCCCAAAGGCUCUGGAUGUCUGGGAACAGAGGCAAAAGGUCAAAAAAGUUCAAAAAAUGAAGGGUGAAGGUCAUCUUAAAUACAAACUUUACUAGCUUUAUAUUAUUGUCCAGGGACCAGCAUGCAACAAUUGCUUAGAAUUCAAGGAAAGUCAACCUCUUUCAGUUUCUGUCAUGGGCACUAUAGGUGGCUCCUGUUGCUUUUGAGUAAUAAUUCUAUUUCAUCUAUACAUGAUUAAAUAUAACUUUCUUCUAUAAAAUUUGUGCCUGGAUGAACUAAAGAUGUAUUUUCAAGCAUUCAAGAAUGUGUAGGAAGAAAUCAGAUCCAUUCAUGGAGACAAACAUGGAUGAUAACUUAUGAUGCCGUUAUGCAAUUUAAUAUUUUACUUUAUAUUAUUCAUUUAUUUAUUCAGUAAGUAAUCGGCGAAUGCCAGAACCACAUUUAUACACUGAGCUCAUAGAGAAAAAGACACAGCCUCUGACCUUACAAAGCUCACACUCUGGUUGGGGGAAAAGGCAUUAACAAUACAACAUGGUAAGUAAUAUAAUAGAAUUCAUUGCAGGUCAUGGCAAUACAGAAGAAACUUUAAACCAACCUUCCAGUAAUUUUUUUAAAUGUUUGUUCCACCGUAAUUCAUUACACACAUGCAUACCAAUGACUGAAGUUUGCAUGUAUGCAUAUAUGUAUGUAGUAUAUAGCUUUACUCUUGCUAAGUUGCCACUUAAUUUGUAAAUAAAAUAAUGUUCUCAAAUUUGUUGAAACAGAAAACCUUACAUAGAAUAGUAAAUUAGAAUUGCUUUGAUUGAGCUUGGAGCAUGUGGUUUAAUAUAAGAGAUACUGGGCUGUCUAUAUUAAUCGGGGUCUUGAUAAGCCACACUGAUAGUAGCAUUUUAGAAAGCCUUGGAUAAAUUAAUGAAAGAAAUGCUGUUAUUUUUAUCCUCACAGAUGUUUAGUUUCUGGGUUAUAAUCAUCUCUUAAAAUAUUAGAAUCACUGGAAUCCUGUAACUACCCAGGAAUUCUGCCAGUCUAGCAAAGUCUUUAAGAUAAAGCUAAAAAAAGAAAAGAAAAAGAAAAAAGAAAACCCCCCCACAAAAUCUUGAGAAAAUAGGGCAUUUCUGUCAAUAUGUCUUGUGUCUAUGAAGCUCUUGGUCAUAAAUUAUAGUCUUCUGAAGUCGAUGUUUUCUCUGCUUGAGUCUUUAGGUCAAUUAGUUAUAUCCAUUGAAUAGUAUAAAUAAUGCAGAUUACAUGAGUCCUAUCAAGUUGGUUGGUCAAAUUUGUAUUACCUUUAAGUGAAAACAAUCAUGGAGUUUGGAGUAAGUCUUUAUAGCCCAAUUCUGAAGCCUUUACUGUUGUUGUUGUUGUUGUUGUUUUUAACAUUUAUUCAUUUUUGGGAGACAGAGACAGAGCGUAGUCGGGGAGGGGCUGAGAGAGAGAGGGAGACACAGAAUCCGAAGCAGGCUCCAGGCUCUGAGCUGUCAGCACAGAGCCCUACAUGGGGUUCAAAUCCACGAAUGGUGAGAUCAUGACCUGAACUGAAGUCGGAUGCUUAACCAACUGAGACACCCAGAUCCCCCAAGCCUUCACUAUUUUUGACCCUGGACAAGUUUUUUACCCAAGGUUUAGUUUCUUAUCUAGAAAAUGAGGAUAAUACCUACCACAUAAUUCUGUUAUUCGGAUCAAACACAAUAUAUUACAUAAAGAAAUGAUAUAGCACCUGGCACAAGGUAGUUUUUGAGUCAUCAAUGCUUGUCUGUCUUCAUGCUUGGCUACAAAACCUGUCCUGGAUUAUGCUUUUAUUGUUUACACACACCUUCUUACAACAUUCUGCUUUUUUUUUUCUUUUUAAUUUUGUUGGGCCUUCAAACUCACCAGCAAGUAAUUGGCGUCGCCCAUAUGAGCCAACCAAUCAAAAUAUUACUUGAGUUGCAUUUUCCCACCAAAAAAGAUUGACACAUUACCAAUAUUUUUCCUCUUAUUUUCUCGUAGUUCUAAUGUUAAGUGAUGCCUGGAACUCUACUAUAAUACCCAUACUGAAGUAUGUACAGUAAAGAAUUCGGGAUACUUUCUGAAAUUCAUCAGGGUUUAACAAUACCAUUUUAUUUUAAAGACCAGAUUAAAUAUAGAUGCAUUAUUUGACACCCUACGGAUAAUUAAGCUUAGCUGAUCAGAACUUGGUGCUAAUAUGUCAGGUUAGGGUUUUCAGUCUCCUCCAUGCACUAAUUAUAAUCUGAUUGAUUUUUCACUCACUGGGUUUUUGUUUUGUUUUGUUUUGUUCUGGGCUCACUGACUGCAGCUGUAACUUCAACUUGCCAAUAUACACCAUUGCUCACAAGAGGACCAGAUGAGAGAGUGUGAAUGAAUUUAUUGCCAACCCUUUCCUACUCCAAAAAACAAAACAAUUUUGUAGAUUUGUUGCUGAUGGGUCAUAGCACCAUCUUCAUAUACAAAUAACAGCAUUUCAUAUGGCACUAUUUUCAGUGUAUACGAUAAUAGAGAUCAUGAGGAGACAGUACAAAUUAUCUUGGGCCAUUGUCUUAUUUAUAGAUUAAAGCACAAUUAUGUUUUCCACUGAUUUACAUUCUGACAUCUCAGUCAAUUAUGUUAUUUGCUUCUUCCAUGCUCAUUCUCCCCUUAGAUCUGGUUUGACUAUUCUUUUCUUUAGUAUUCGUUCCCUUGUUAGAUUGUUUAUAUUCUCUGAGUGGCAGGAUACCUUUUUUUUUAAUUAUUAUUAUGAAAAUGCUAAGUAUUUACCUAAUUACCCUUUAGAGAACAUUGGAAGACAAGGCAUUUGAACAAAUGGAUGAAUACUGAAAGGAGAAUAAUUGUAUUAUUUCUGGAAGUCUCAGUGACUGUUAUUUUUCUUACCUUCAAUAUUUUUCCUCUAGGUUACUAUUUUUUUUUCAUGAUAGUUUUCAAGCUUAUAGUUGGUAACUUUUUUCCUGUUUGAAGAAAUAUCUCAGGAACAUGAAAGUGCUCAGAUAAAUAUUAUCUAUUUAAAAAUGCAAUAAUUUGAGGACCUAUAUGUUCAUUUAUUUAGAAUAGAAAAUCAUCUAAUGCAGUAUUUAAUUUUAUAUUAUGGAUUUCAGUUCAUAUAGAAGUUUAAAGAAUUUCAAAUAAAAAUCUUACAUCAACCCAAAUGUUGAAUAACUGAUAUAAAAAAGAAAGCAUAGGCCCAACACAAAUAAUCAGAGAAGAAUCUAAUUAAUUCAUUUAGGGAAUCAACUAGCCAUCCAUUAUACAGUUAUUGAGAGCCUAACUUUGUGCCAGGGAUUUCUGUGGACACAAAGGUGAAAACAUAUAGCAAAUCUCAACCAAACACACACACUUUUUUUAUCAGUAAGGUAGAUAAUGUGAAUGUGUAUACAAAUUAACAUCAAUAUAAUGUAGUCAGAUCUCACAGAGAUAUAAAAAGUCACUGAGAGACCACCUAGCCCAGUGGAUAAUCCAGUCUGGCAGACAAUGUAUGUUAUUUCUGCUUCAAUUUGGAAUGCAUUCUGAUUGUUGCCAAGGAAUUUUUAAAUUAUUAUUAUUAACUUUUGUAUUGGAUUGGUAAUCUUUAAAUUGGUUUAAUUCCUUAUGUACACAUCAUCCAGAAGUAGGAUGAAUAAGAGAAUUUGAUGAAUGAUAAAGGGUCACGUGGGAUUAAACAUUUGUGAAAAAAUAAUUUGAAAUGUGGAAUUCAUUCCUAAAAUGGAGAAGUGACUGCAAAAUUCGGAACAUGUUCGUGGAAACUCAAUAGCACAAGCCCAGCAUUGACAAUCAGAUUCACGGCUCUCUUCCUAUCUAUUCACAUUGUUCCUUUAGGGGAAAUUUGACAAUGAUGUCUCACAAAUGUGUUGCCACUUUUCAAAGCUUCUUGCUAGCAUUUUAGCAAAGUGGAAAGCAGUUCUGGCGUUUUGGAUAAAUGUUCCCCAAAUCUUCCCUGCCAGACAUCUCAUUAAGUAGAAAGUCUCAAUAGAGUAAUAUGGAAAAGCAAUUUUAAAUAGAAGUUUGAUUCACAACAUGGUGAUUUUUGUAAAUAAUAUUCUGGGAAGACUUCUGUGCUUUUUAUGGAUUUAAUUUUACCUUUGGAGGUAUAUGCCUCUUCUUGUCAUUGUGACCAGUAAUAUUACCCAGCCACCUAUCAUUCCUUUGCAAAGAGAAUGGACUGUAAGUAAGUGUUUAAAACUAUUCCAUAAUUGACAAAAGACUAUGCAAGAAAUGACUAUUUCUGAAAGGAGUAUUUACUUAUUAUGUUCUCACAUACAUAUUCACUGAAACAUCAAAUGCACCCCCUGCUCCCUAAUGUGAUGAUGCUUUUUUGUAGUAUCAUUAUAGUCCUUCUUUUAAAUACUAUGUUAUUUGUAACUAAAAUUCUUUAACUAAAAGUUGAUACCGGAGAGCAGGGAUUUUAUUGUAUUCAUUGUAUACACCUUUGUAACUCCAGCCUGGCCACAAACAUAUAUAAGUACUUAACAUUUUGGAAGGAUGAAUGACAUCAUUUAUCAAAGUUUGAUACUUGCUAAUAUCUACUAAUUUUUUAAAUAAAUAUGGCUUAGGUCACGAUCUCGCGGUCCGUGAGUUCGAGCCCCGCGUCGGGCUCUGGGCUGAUGGCUCAGAGCCUGGAGCCUGUUUCCGAUUCUGUGUCUCCCUCUCUCUCUGCCCCUCCCCUGUUCAUGCUCUGUCUCUCUCUGUCCCAAAAAUAAAUAAACGUUGAAAAAAAAAUUUUAAAAAAAUAAAUAAAUAUGGCUUUAAAUGUGAUUGUCUUAGUCUAAUAUUUUUGUUUGCUAAAAUUGGAUGAAACAAUGCUGUGCAAUCAUUCUCUCUUAUCUGGAUUGCCUUUGUCCUAGUGUGUAUUCUCAUCCUCUCUAGAUUGGCUACAGAAAUAGCCUUCCUACUACUUACUUGACAUAAGUCAAAUGUCACCAUGCCUUUCUAUGUCUAACUUCACUCCCAGAGUGAUAUUUUCAGCACUUAAAUCUGAUUAUGUCACACUCAUGCUUCAGAACCCUUCAGUCCCUGCCCUUCACUCCACACUGACUCUAGAUUCUGAUGUUAUUUUACCUAGACUUAGUUCCAGGGCUAUAGGUAAAGUCCUGCCUUUUCUUUUUUUCUCCCUCAAGUGCCUCACAUAUGACAUUCACUAAAUAUUGUUGAAUAAACACUGCAUGAUUGAAUAAAUGAAGAUGGCUUUUAUAGUCCACUUGUGCUAAAAUUAGGCAGGUUAGUUCAUACAAGAUCUAACAGAGCUGUCUGAAAAUGGAGAUGGAUGCUUUAAACAAGCAUUUCAUACACUUGCCUAUUCAUAAAAGUUAUCUGAGGUGUAUUUUAAAGAUAAAUAUUUCUGGAGUCUGAAUUUCCAAAGGAAACUUGAGAAUCUUUAUUAUUAUUUUUUUAAGUAACUGCUCUAAAUGAUUCUCAUGUUCAGAUAGGUUUGGGAGAGAUCUCUUAGAGUAGCAGUUAAUAGCUGGAGACUCGAUGGCUACUCAAUGUGGAAAGCUGGACUAUGUGACCCUAAUUCAUUCACUUCCACAAAGUUUGGGGUACUGUGAUUCUAGUGGAGGUCACAGUUUAUACAUGUGUAGAUGUAGGUGAUUGACUUGGGAUUUACCUGAAUGCAGAUAGGAGGCAUUUGGGGACAAAAGACUACAUCCAAGUGUUACCAGAUCUAGAGAGUUUUGACCACUUUUCAAGGACUCCAAGGGAAAUUCUUCCCUAAUCUCCAAGUUUAUUGAUUCAUUUAACAACUAUUAAUUGAAUAGUUACCUACACACCCAAUAUGUAUGAGUUCCAGUCCCAGGUGUUGGCAAUAUAGCAGUAACAACACACACUAUCUCAGUGUUCUUUCAGCUGACAUGUCACAACUCACCAUGCUUGUCUCUAGAACUCUCCAGUCAAGUAUUAAUUUUACAGCCACUUGGUUCUUAGGCAAAUUGAAAAUGAUCAUCCCCAAAGAUCAAUCAUUAUCCUUGUUAAAAAUAAGUGUCCAGGUGUUUUGGUAUGACUGAAAACUCCAAAUGGGUUCCCAUGUCCUCUGAAGGUAUAACAGUUGAGCUGAGAUUAUAGGGCACCACUUCUCCCCUUUUGGGACCCGUUUAUAACCUGUUGAGGAGUUUAUUCUAGGCCUACUUCUGAGUCUAUAGGACAUAGAUAUUUACAUUUUAUAUAUGUUACAGGAAGCACAAAAAAUUCUUUUAUCUAAGGCUAUCAUAUUUUACUAGAAAAUAGUUGGUAAAGGAUUAAACUAAAUACUCAAUUUUCUACCUCUGGGACUCUUACAGGAUGACAAGAACUAUUGGGAUUGUGUGGGAAAUGAUGAAUCAGCUUACAAUGUAUUCCACAAACACUGAUUAUAGCAGUCAUGUUAGAUCUAUUUUCACAUACUGCAAUCUCCAUGCCAGGUGUAAUGUACAGAAUGUAGAUAGUAUAUGGAAUAAUUAUGAAUAUUUUGCUUAAAACCCAGUACUUUAACCAUGGGUAUUCAUCACUCUGGAUUUUAAAACUUGACAUUUACAUCUACUAUAAUAAUGUCUAUGGUGAUAGAGUUGGGACCCUUGAGAUCUCAAUAAUUAGGAUUUUCCCUUUCCUCUGAGAGAAAUCUUUUAAGAAAGUUGAAUUUUAUGAACAUUCUCUUGAAAGAACAUUGGCUCUUGUCUCUUUAGAUUUCAGCCACUUGCCAAGACACUCAUUUUAAUUAGGGAUAGAACACAAGCAGAAAUAGAAUUGUAACUAGCCCUCUUCUACAUAGAAAACUAUGUUACUUAUAUUAAGAAUAUAAUUCAAUAUACCGACUCUAUUGUCUUUGGGGCAAUGGAUUAUUCCAUUGUUUCUUAACUCAUUUUAUUUUUUUUAAUCUUUAAAAAUAUUUAUUUAUUUAUUUAUUUAUUUAUUUAUUUAUUUUAGAAAAAGAGAGAAAGGUUGCAUGUGUGAGCAAGGGAGAGGGGCAGAAAGAGAGAGAGAGAGAGAGAGAGAGAGAGAGAGAGAGAAUCUCAAGCAGGCUCCAUGCUCAGCACAGAGCCUGACUCAGGCCUGAUCCCAUGACACUGGGAUCAGAUACUUAACCAACUGAGCCACCCAGGUGCCCCUUAACUAAUUUUAUUUAUUUUAUUUUUAUUUAUCUUAUUUAUUUUUGAGAGAGAGACAGAGAGUGAGUAAUUUAAUCACACAUUAAAAUUACUGUGUGAUUUAUCUGCAUUUUAUGGGAUGUUAAAAAAUUGAGGUUUGAAAUAGCUAUGACUUGUAAAUUUAUACUUGUUCUAAUAGAAGUGUUUUCAAACACUCUUGGCUUGUCAUACCUAAUGUUUAUAUGAAAUGUGGUGGGUUAAAAUGAUGGACCUGAGACACGUGAUGUUUUCUACCCUAUAGUUUUGGGUCUCUUUCUUUCUUUUUCUUUUCCUUUUUUUUUAAAGUUUAUUUAUUUAUUUCGAGAGAGACAAAGAAAGAGUGUGUGGAUGUGCAUGAGGAGGGACAGAGAGAGGGAGAGAGAGAAUCUCAAGCAGACUACAAGAUGUCAGUGCAGAGCCCAAUGCCAGACUUGAUCUCACAGAAUGUGAGAUCAUGACCUGAGCGAAAAGCAACAGUUGGACACUUAACUGAGCCACCCACGUGCCCCUACAUUUUUGUUUUUAAUUCUAUGUGGUAGUCAAGGCUUAGAUUUUUUUGGUAUUUCAUUUCUCUAUGUAUUAUUUCCAUUUCAAAAAAAAACCAGAUUGCAGCACAUACAUACAAUCAAAUUGCUACAUUUUCACAAGGAAAUUCUUCUAAAGGCAAAGUCUGCUAAGGGCAAUAAAAGACCAUAUUGAAACAAAUUCAAUUGAAAAUAGAACUCUGCACCCACAGAAACUAAAAAUAAUAAGCAUCAGUUUUGUUUGUUUGAUUGUUGUGUUUGAGUGAAACAGUUGUAUAGGUGUGGAUGCUUUGGAAAAUGGAAGAAUUUUUCAAGAGCCAGGAAUGUUAUGCUGAUUUCUGUGGGUGUAUUUCCAAAGAUCAGAAGAAAAUGUACAGGUCACUAAAUGGGGAUUAAGAAACAUAAACUCUUAAUAGCUGACAGACCCACAGAAAAGCAAAUGAACUACUUUGUCUUUGAGAUUUUCCUAAAAUUUCAUUUAUAGUUGUAAAAAUAAGAUAUGGAAAAAAUGGGCUUUCUCAGCAGUGGUCUAUAUGUCCAUGGAGUGGUGCAAUUGACUUAUGAAAAUAGAAAGCCAGGAUAUCAAAAUAAAUACCCUUUUUUGUUUUAUUUAUCAGAAUGAAGGAGAUUUUUACUAAUCCCUAUGCUGUAAAUAUAAGAGAGUUAAACCUUUUCAUAGUUUCCUUUACUGUUCAUAUUUCCCUGGGAUCUUUUGAAGGCAACUGCAUCAAACACAAAAACAGAAACAUAUUUUUAAAACUGGUAAAUUAAAAAAAAGAAGAAGAAGAAGAAGGUAUCUCUCUUCCUUCCAUUGGUUUUACAAGCCCACAUUUAUGUAUUUAUCAUUGUAAUUACAGUAGUUCCCAAUACUACUACUGACAUCACUAUCUACCAUGUAUAAUGUACAGCAGAUUUCUUAAAUUUUUCUACAUUAUGGCACUCAUUGAAAAUAGCAUUUGUAUAGCACACUGGGGUGGGGGAAAAAAAAGGCUUCUUCCAGCAGAGACUGAAGGCUAGGGAAGGUCUGGGCCCCAAGCCCAACCCAGAAGCCCUGAGGGUUGUAAGCAUCCGCUAUCCUGGCACACCCACAGCCCAUUUGCACACAUCAGGGUGUAUCGGCAUACCAGUUGGGAAGCUCUGUGUUUGAUCUGAAAGAAGUGAUAACAUUUUAAACAACUGCAUGCUCCUUUGUUUGUGUGUUUGCUUGAGCCUAAAUUUUAGCAAGAGAUAUUUCUCUAUAUUGUAUCUCAGCUUUCUACUGGAAUAGAUUGCUUCCAGUGUCCCCAGUGAUGAAGAUGAUGAUAACCAAAGAUUUGAGCUUUAUGUCUCAAGUAAAUGCAAUUAGCAAAUGUGACUCUUUUUUUUUCAUAGUGACUUGGUUUGUUUUUUUUUUUUUUUUUUUCUUUUUCUCCUGAAACUUUUAACAAAACAUUGGGGGUUCAAAGUAGUAAAUUGAAUUUCUGAGCAGUUGUUCCUGAGGUAAUUAUUAAUGGUUUGGGGAAAACAGUAAGGUGACAUACCUAAGUAACUCAAUUUAUUUUAUUUUAAACCUCUUUUAUUUCUUAGUUUAAUAUAUAAUGUUUCUCAUCUAACUUGGGUAUAAUAAUCACAGUCUCUAAAACAGAAUGAAGCAUGCCAAGCUUUUUAGCAUUAGAGAGAAAUGUCUAAAAUGAUUAGAGAGGUAAGAGGGAGAGAUGGGAGGAAAAGAGAGAGGGUUGGGGGAGAGGGGGACAUAGACUUAUCAGUUUCUCUUACUGUGUUCAAAAUUUAACAAUUCUUUCUGUCUAGAAAUUGUUAUAUGUAGCUUUAAUCUCUUCUACUACAAAGCGACUUCAUUUUCUUUUUAUGUCUUGGAGGGCAGGGGUUCCCAAGAGUGUAAGAGAAGUUAAAGAAUAACCAGCUGUACAACCACGAUUGGGUAAUGUUGACACAACUAUAAAAUAAAAGCUAUUCCACUUGUUCUAUAGCCCUUAAACUUUGGAAGAGUGUCCAAUAGUGGAAAAUUAAAAAAAAAAAAAAAGUCUGUCUUGUUUUGCAGAGGAAAAGGAUCAUGAGUCUGUCUAUCCAUGAUAGAUUAGGUCAAUUGUAUUUCUUUCCAAAGCUUUUAAAAACACAAGUGAAGGCUGAAAGAAGUUGUAUGUCAUCAUUAUGAUGUCAGUAACCUGUGACACUUAAGUAAUUGAUUCCUAUGUUCAUUGCGCUUUAUUAAUAAUCCUUUGUAUAUUUCCUGACAUAUUAUCCUGCCCCUACUUCCAUAACAAUCUCUUCAAUUUUGAAGAUAGUCUCAUUGCAACAUGUACUCAUGAAGGCUGGUCUCAUCUGUUGUAGAUUGAGAUCAUGUAUCAGGAAUACCCUUUGAGCUUUUGUGACCUUAAAGCCAGUGUGAAAUUGGAUCACAAUUACAGAAAAAUACCCAAUCUGUAACUAUUUGUCUCAGACUUCUUAAUGGAAGCUCUUGUACUUGAAAUGACUUAAGAAGACUGUUCAACAUCAAAUCCUUUUCGAGGAACUUACUGAAGUACAUUUGAAGUUUAUCAUACUGCUAGGAAGUUUUGGAGAACCUGUUGGUUUCAACAUAUGUGUCCCAUGAUUUUACCUUUUGUGCUUCAAAUGGACUAACAAUGGAUUUUUCUCAUCAUUAUAGGACAUGACAGAUCCAUUUUCUCGUUUUGAAGUUCAGAUCACAUGAAACUAUACCAACUAUCUCUAAUAUAAGAUUUCUGAUGUUCCUUAAUGCAUAAUGCAUUAAAUUUACCCAAUAUAUACACUGUUUAUUAGCUUUAUUACAAAUAUUGAAUUGAUACAUAGUAAAAAUGUCUAGAAAUUAUUAAACACAUAAGAAAUGUACAUUAUCAUUAUAGCAUUGAGAGAAACAAAUGAGGUGAGUUUGUGCUAUGUCACUUAUUAUCUAGAAAUAGUUCUUCCUCUCAGAUUUUUUCCAAAUCGAUAAUUAAAUAAGUCCUGAGUACUAGUAGUUCAGAGAAAAGAUUUCCAGAUGACCACACAAGAAAACUUUCACUUGUGAAUAAAUUUCUAUGAUAGCUAAAUUUAUUUCUGGAACACUAUCAACUAAUGGUUCCUAUGAAGCCAUUUUACAACUUUGAGUUUCUAUAAAUUAUGCCAUUUGUGAGUUAUGAUUCUUAUAACAGUCUCUUACCAAGUACUAAUUGAACAUAUUUUCUGUCAAAUAAACUUUACUAUUUUUUUUAGAUUCUUGAUUGAACUAUUAGCUAAUUAGAAUACUACUUUUCCAAUGAAAUUGGCAGGUCUAAGGUUUUCUCAAUAGUUCAAUGACUAAUUUGAGUGAAUUUGUUUGGCAUCCUAUGGAAUUAGUCUAAAUGAUCUUUUGUUAAGGGAAAUUCAGUUUAAAUAACAAAAUUUAAUUUGAGAAAUGUAGCUCCAUUCACCCAUUUAAUUGAUUCUGCUACCCCAAAAUAUAGACUAAAUAUAAUUAGUGAACUAUAUUUAUUAGGAAGUAGAAAAGUAAAAAUAAUUUCCUGAUUUGAUUGUCAGUGAUACUGUUACAUGCUCUUGCCAGUUUUGGUAUAUAAAGCUAUAUAAAACAACAUAAGGUUAUAGAUAAAGCAUUGUUUUUAGACAAUCACAUGAGAUUCCUUCUAAAUCAUUCAGCAGCUACUGAGAAAAUGGCUAUUUUGAUUGAAUACCAUUUUGCAAAGAUAAUUAACACUAUUACAUUUAAAAAUUAUUGCUACAGUAUGAAUGGAUAGAUUAUGUCUCUAGUUGCCUACUGAAGAAUUUUCUUCAUCUAUAAAUUUAUGAGAAUAUUUUAACACGAAGCCCAUAUUUUAAAAGUAUAAAGACAAAGAGGGUGCUAUCCUGAUUUAUGGUUUUAGGAAAGUCUUUUCUUUCUGCCCCAAGAGAGGUUAUUUGUUUACAAGUCAAGUACAAAGGCUGCCCUGUGUAAAAUUUCCAUAGUGGUCUUAUUUGUGAGAAAUUCUAGCCAGGGAAGAUCACCUGCAGGACCCCACUAUUGCUGUGAGCCCAUAUCUUUAACGCAGUCUGGCUUCCUCUUUAGCUGAUAGACGACACACACAACAUGUGACACCACUUCCAAUUGCCAAAUUAGUAACGUUUUACUGAGAUGAAAAACACAAAUGAUAUAAAUACAAUGAGAUCACCACUUUAAGCACAUAGCGAGUGGGAAUGACAUGAUAACCCCUCUAAAAAUCAAUUUUGCAAAAUGCAUCAAUAACCUUAAAAUAUUGCUAUCAUUUAAGGCAGUGAAUUCUAUUUCUGGAAAUCUGUCAUAAGGAAAAACUAGAAUACCUACCGAAAGUUGUAUUGAAAGGUGUUUAUUAAAGUGACAUUUGUAACACCAAAAUACAUGUUUCAUUGAAAUUAAACAUCCAUCCAAAUUGAAUUGGGUAAAUAAAUUAUAAUACACUAUAUGAGAAAGAGAGAUUACAAAUAAUUAAAUUAUUUAAGAUUGUCCACAAUAUGGAAAAUGCCUUUAAAUAAUGAAAACUGACAUUGGAAAAACAACUGUAAAACAGGAUUACAUAAAUUUAUGAGUAAUCCUAUGUGCAUGUGUGUGCAUAUCUGUAUUUGUACCUAUUUCUGCAUCCUUCUAUCAAAAUACAUUUAAAGUGCAUAACAACCUUCAGAAAAAAUGAAAUUACUCCUCUGUUCUUUUAAUUUUCUUUACACUUUUAUGCAUUCUCAAAAUUUCAUAAAAUUAAGGGGCACCUGGUUGGCUCAGUUGGUUAAGCAUCUGACUUUGGCUCAGGUCAUGAUCUCACAGCUCAUGGGUUCAAGCCCCAUGUCGGGUUCCGUGCUGACAGCUCGGAGCCUGGAGCCUGCUUCAGAUUCUGUGUCUCCCUCUCUCUCUGCCCCUCACCCACUUGUGCUGUCUCUGUCUCUCAAAAAUAAAUAAAAUGUUUUUAAAAAUUCAUAAAAUUAGAUGAAAUUAUUUUUAUAAUCACAAACAUUUUUAGUUAAAAAAAUGGACUCAGCCCUUGGUAGUGGAGAAAAAGAAUGCCCUUCAUCAGCUGACAUGUCCCUGUUUGACCACAAAAAAAUGCUAUCAGAUCAUCCCCAUAUAUUGAAAAGUUCCAUAACUUAUCAUGGGUGACAAAAUGGCACACAUUUGAUAACUUGGUCUGUAUACUUAUUAUCAAUAAUUGAAGCACUUGGCUUAAUGUAUGCUAAAAUAUCCAAUACUUCCCUUUUGUCAAGUGUAAGACAAUAAAACUAAAUUGGAUAAAGAAGGGGUGGUAUAUNNNNNNNNNNNNNNNNNNNNNNNNNNNNNNNNNNNNNNNNNNNNNNNNNNNNNNNNNNNNNNNNNNNNNNNNNNNNNNNNNNNNNNNNNNNNNNNNNNNNNNNNNNNNNNNNNNNNNNNNNNNNNNNNNNNNNNNNNNNNNNNNNNNNNNNNNNNNNNNNNNNNNNNNNNNNNNNNNNNNNNNNNNNNNNNNNNNNNNNNNNNNNNNNNNNNNNNNNNNNNNNNNNNNNNNNNNNNNNNNNNNNNNNNNNNNNNNNNNNNNNNNNNNNNNNNNNNNNNNNNNNNNNNNNNNNNNNNNNNNNNNNNNNNNNNNNNNNNNNNNNNNNNNNNNNNNNNNNNNNNNNNNNNNNNNNNNNNNNNNNNNNNNNNNNNNNNNNNNNNNNNNNNNNNNNNNNNNNNNNNNNNNNNNNNNNNNNNNNNNNNNNNNNNNNNNNNNNNNNNNNNNNNNNNNNNNNNNNNNNNNNNNNNNNNNNNNNNNNNNNNNNNNNNNNNNNNNNNNNNNNNNNNNNNNNNNNNNNNNNNNNNNNNNNNNNNNNNNNNNNNNNNNNNNNNNNNNNNNNNNNNNNNNNNNNNNNNNNNNNNNNNNNNNNNNNNNNNNNNNNNNNNCAGCUCAGAGCCUGACGCUGGGCUCGAACCCACGGACCGUGAGAUCGUGACCUGGCUGAAGUCGGACACUUAACCGACUGCGCCACCCAGGCGCCCCAAAUAUAUAUAUUUUUUUUAAUGUGAGAUCCAAACUGUGAUGCGGGGCUCACUUUUAUUUAUUUAUUUAUUUAAAAUUUUUUUUUAAUGUUUAUUUAUUUUUGAGACAGAGACAGAGCAUGAACGAGGGAGGGUCAGAGAGAGAGGGAGACACAGAAUCCAAAGCAAGCUCCAGGCUCUGCGAGCCGUCAGCACAGAGCCCGACGCAGGGCUCGAACUCACAGACUGUGAGAUCAUGACCUGAGCCGAAGUCAGUAGCUUAACCGACUGAGCCACCCAGGCACCCCUAAAUAAAUAAAUUUAAAAAAAAAAAGAGUAAAUUUUUCUAAAAUCCCAAAGAAAGUGUGAAAAUAGUGUCUAAGAAAUAAUUAUAAAACCAUACAGAAUGAGACUUUUAUAACUCACCAAAUAUACUAUAAAAUUAACUUUUUUCCAGUGAAGAUUACUUUAAUGUAUACCUUAAGUGCCGUUUUUGCAAAUAACAUUGACUUUGGAGAACCUGAAGCUGUAAUAUUUAGCAACUAAUCAGAGUUUAUUCAUUUCACUUAGGGUAUUUCAAAGCCAAAUCUUAAAGUUACUAAAGGAUCUUUGCCUUAGUAUUAACAACUACUAUGUUUUUUUUUUUAAUAUUGUCCCUAAGCUGGUAACUACAGAUAUGAAAGAAUGAUCUUAGGAAAAGAAUAACUUGGAUAUAAUGCAUAACUUCUCAUUCUCAAGUUUAAUGGAAGAACAAUGAUGCUGUCAGCUGAUUUUUAUUCAGGGGAAACACCACAAGUAACCUUUGUUUUAGCACUUUUUUACUGAAUAAAUAUAGGUAUGGAAAAUGUUUAUGAAUGAAUUGCAUUGAGGUAAUGUGUAUGAAGUUUGCUCAGUACCAGGCCCGCAGAAGCACAGUGUUCCGUGCAUAAUAGGAGCAAGUUGAAAAGCCUGUUGAAUGAAUGAUAGGCAUUUAAUGAACCCUGAUUUCCUCCCGCUUCAUCCCAAUUUCUUCCUUAACUGACAGCUAUGUCAAAAAUUCAAAUCUGCAAGGUGGACUGGAAGAUUUCACAUUAAAAACAAUACAAACAAAACUGUAUUUUCAGUAUACAACCCAAUAAUAUUAAGUUUAUUUUGACUGACAUAAUUUAAAAUUUCCAGAGUAAAGUUCAAAUAGUUAGCAAAAUGCUAUGGUUUUCGUCAAAUUCAAGCCUUAGAAAUGUGAAAAUUGUUACAUGUGCCUAAAAUAUAAUGUUAUAAUAUAUUUUUCCAUGAUUACAAUAAAAUUACUGAUAGGCCCCUACAGUUGUAUUACUGUAUUGAAAGCUACAAUCAUAGUGAAUUUGCAUGAAAAAUGCGAAUUUUGUUUUUGCCAUAGUGAUGUGACUUUCAUCACAUGUGGCUAUUACAUUUUUAAUGGAUGCUUAGCAACUGAGUCUAUAGCUUUUGUUUGAUAAUGUCUAUUUUAGGAAAAGAAUCACAUUCAAUAGAAGUUAGAAAAAAAUCUGGUUUUUAUAUUGAUUGAUGCUCAUUAAUUGUUUACCAAGAUAUUUAAACAUUCCCUAAACUCAUCUUCUGAACAAAUCAUUUGCACAAUCAUAGGGAAAUAAAGCAUAAUUGAUGGGACUAGCGUUCAACAAAUGCCUUGUGACUUGAAUUUUAUGUGUACUUUAUAUACAUGGUUUUAUGGAUAGCAGGAACCGAAUGAUCUAUUUAUCUCUGGGUGGAAUUUUCACCAGUGAGCUAAGAACUUUCAUAUCUUGCUUGGGCUAAUUUGAAGAUGAUUUGUAUUUGUUUGAAAAUAAUUUUAAAGUAUUGAACUACCCAGUAAUACAGAGUUUUUUAAAAACUACAAAUGCAAAACAAUUGCAGUGAUGAUAUUUAAAAAAAAGAGAGCAAGGGGAAAAAGGAAGGAAAUGAGAAAUGGUUUUAUUUUUCAGUCAAUAUGCCAUUGCUGAUUAAAGAAAAAGAUGAGAUUUCAUUGUAUGCUACAAAGGAGUAUGACAUCAAAGUGUCCUCUUAGUAGCAAGCUAGCUAUAUAAACCACAAAAAGAGAGCUGCAUUAAAAAUACAAUAUGUUGAAACAGUAAUUUUUCAAUGCUAUGCAAAUACUAUGGACGUUUUAAAUUCAAAGAUAAGCAGAAUCAGCAGAUAGUGACAGUUUUAAAUUUGCUAAAAAUCAAUAGAAGAGCAGUAAAAUGCAAUUUUCCUAAACCAGGCUGUAACUUCAAGUGAGCUGAACCAUUCUUGAUUCAACUGAGAGAUUUUUUAAUAGGACUUAAGAAAGUGGAUUUAACAUUGUUUCAUUUUAUUAGCAAUUGAGCAAUACAAAUGUGAAAUGCUUUGAAGUAAUCUACAUUAUAUUUUUAUUAGCUUUAGAGCUUCUCUAUACAUAUUUUAUGUUCUUUCAGAAGCUUAAAUAAUAUUACAUUCUAAUUAUUAUUUGCAGAUGGUAUUUGUUUUUCUCAUAAUGACCAGUCAGAAAUCAGUGCUCUGAGUUCCAUGAAAAAGAAUCAUUUCAUGUUGAGUGGUUACUCAGUAUGCAUUCUAGCUCUUGCUGUCUCCGAGGGAAAGAUUUAAAUAAUGUAUGGCGGGUUCCUUUGUAAUGAGGCGUUCUUUUUUUAUGUUUUGUUGUGAUUUUGUCACUUUAGAGGAAAUGUCGUUAGUUAAAGGGUCACAAAUCAUAUCAAGGAUUUCAUCAAUGCCAUAUCAUUGAUCUAUACACCUUUUAAUGGGGAGGGGGAGUGAGUGUCAUUCAAGGCCCUUGGUAUUUAAUUCAAAUGCUAAAUUUAAGAACCAUGAGCAUAUUGAUGAGUUAGAAAAAAGAUAUAGAAUUGUGUGCAUAAAACAGGACUGGUGUGAAUUUCUUUUUCUUUUCUUUUUUCUUUCUUUCUCAUUAAAGAUUGAUCUAAAGAUUUUUUUGAGGGAGAGUUAUUUGAUAGCCUAUGUCACUUUUUUUGGUUCCCAGAGUGGUAAUAAAAAAAUCGUCCAAUAAAACACAAUUUCCCUUUUCUCUUGGGUCCGGUAUUCCCUUCCUCUUCAAAUGCAGCUGUUUUCUUAAAGCUUCCUUCAAAAGUGAAGACUAUGAAAAAAAAAAAAAAAGAAUUUCUAAAGAGCCAAGAAGCUUUUUAAACAUCAGAUUGAAGUCUUACUUCUAAGUGUGGCUUCUAAAACAGGCUAUCUGGAAAUAAUAAAAAUAACAAAUCUCAGUAAAUUUUGUUUUAACAAAAGGGUAGUCUUCCUAAAAAGGUAUCCUUCAUUAUCCUGUCAUCUCUUUUCAUAAAUGUUUCCUGCAUGUGAAGUCACUUGUAUCCUCUAGCACACUUGACUUGUUCAGGUAUGGAUAUUUAUUUUGUGCAUUUCUUUUUAUUGCCUACACAUUUCACUAUUACACCAUGUCAGGCCCUUUGUCAACUGACAGUCUGUGCGGGCCUGCAUUUGGGAUACAUAUCUAGGAGGCAUAAUAAGUAACAACAACAUAUAGAACACAAAUCAACAACCUCAUAUGUGAGAGAAAAUUACUUUUUUUUUACCAAAGUUCUGUAAUAUUCUCUCAACUUAAAACACUAGUAUGUUAAUUUUACCUGUUUUCCAAAGAGCAUGUCAUUAUUAUUGACACGCUGCUGGCUUUAUGGUCCCAGGAUGCAUGAAUUAUUAGUGUUGCUUGACAUUUUUAAUUCCCUAACUCUGUUGCCUAUAGCUAUACUUCCCGUUAGCUAUUACGGGUUUUAAGAGGCCAUGCUAGUUCUUGAUCAAUGAUUGCUCGGUAACUCAGAGGUGUCAGAUUCUCUUGUGGGCUUAAAAACAAACAAACAAAAAAACAUGGUUGUUAUUUUUGAACUUUAUAAGACAUUAUCUAAAUAAAAUUGUAAAGCACUGUUAUGUAUACAAAGCUUAGAGGGCAUCUAUCCUGAUUUUUGUAAAGAAACUACACUUGCUUUUCCUUUCUUACAUUAUUUUAAUGACAAAACAGUACUAUUCAAUGCAAUUAUUAUUCAAUUUUAGUGUCAUUAGUGUCCAAAUGCUCUAGUCUCAAGUAUUCAAUGAAAUAUUAUAACAGCAGUAUAUCAUAUAAUCGAAUAUAUCUGAAUAUUUAUUAUCCAAAAAGUCCAGGAAGUACAGUGAAAAUAUUUGAGUCACAAAAAUGUGUAGCAUAUUUAUGAGUCAUUAAUUUUCCAGGAACAACAUACUGAUUCUUACUAGACUGAGUUUUUAAGUGGCUAUUUGCUUGUUAGGUAAAGAUGUAAACACUGAAAGCAUGAAACAGAAAAACAGAAAUAUCAAAGACAUCUGCUUUUUUCCCCCCAAAGAAUUGUCAUCCCUUUAUUCAUUUAUAUUUUCAUUCUCAUUGUGUUUUUCAGUAUGAGAAGAUGUUAACUGACUCCCAAAUUUUUAAAUCUGUAAGCAAAUUAAUGCAUUAUUGGGAGGAUUUUUAAUUGUUUAAGAAUCACAGUGGAGAUAUAUUUUAUUUUAUUUUUUCCCUUUAAUAUACACUUAGCUUCCCCUAUCAGUAGGAAACACUUUAAAUUGGGACACUGUAAUGAAACUCAGUACAAUUAAUUGUCUGGCUAGUCUUUUACACUAGAUCUAUACUACCAGUUAUGUUGCUAAAUUGUGGGUUUGGAAACUUGCCUUAUACAGAUUGACUCCCAACUCAUGAAAGGAUAUAUUCCAAAAUCCAGUGAUUAGUUCCAGUGAUAAGUUUAGAAUAGGCAACACAUUUCCCAGUGUUCUCCUAUUCCCAAACCCAAUGUCCUAUUUUAAGUCCUUGUCCCAACUGAUCACUUUGAAGCAUUUCAAAAUCUGGGACAAAUCUAUGUGUUUGUUGUUGUUGUUGUUGUUGUUGUUGUUGUUUUUACAAGCAGUGUAUUACACAGAACUUAAAUGUAAAAUUUAAUAUGUUUUCUAUUAUUAAUUUAUUGUCGAAAUGGUUUCCAUACAACACCCAGUGCUCAUCCCAACAGGUGCCCUCCUUGAUGCCCAUCACCCACUUUCCCCUCUUCCCUACAACCCCACUGUGUUUUGAAAUACUCUUCUCAUUUGGCUUGCAUUCUUCUCUUUUCAUCCUAUCACCUAACCAAUCUUUCUCAACUUCCUUUCUGGGCCCCUUCCUUUUCCCCAUUCUUUAGGUUCUAUUUUUUGAUGCUCUUUUCAUAUAUUUACUCAAAGAAACUUCAUGAACUAUUUACUAUGUGUACUGUAGUGUAAAAAAUAUCCGAGGGAUUCAAAAGUGCAGGCACGAAGACACUGUCCUGAAUAUCUCGACCUUUAAUUAGUGCAGAAAGCCUCUAAACCUGUCAUUCCAACUGGAUAUCAGUGCUUCCUUUCUCCUCCCCACAUUCCAUCUGAGUGAUCUCCAUCAUCCCCAGGAUUUCAACCACAGUAUGUACUGGCCAGUCCUGACACUUAUCUACAGCUCUAUUUUCAACUCCUUAUGGACCCCUCUCUUUGGAUGUCCUAUAGGCACCUAAAAUCCCAUGGGCCACACUUUAAAUUUUCUCUGUACCAAUGCUCCUUUAUAUUACACACACACACACACACACACACACACACAUCAUUGCUCAUCUACUAGAUUCUUAGUCUUGAGUGUUUCCAGUUGUGUUAAUGCUUUCCCAUCUCAUAAUGUCUAAACUAGCCUUGACUGGUACUUUGUUUCCUCUUUUUUUUAAUUUAAUUAUUUAUUUUGAGAGAGAGAGAGAGAGAGAGAGAGAGAGAGAGAGAGAGAGAGCCCAAGUAGGGGAGGGCAGAGAGAGGGACAGAAUCCCAAGCAGGCUCUGAGCUGCCAGCACAGAGCCCAGUGCGGGGCUCAAACUCAUUAACUGUAAGAUUAUGACCUGAGUGAAUUCAAACGCUUAACCAAUUUAGCCACCCAGGCACCCCUCUGUUUCCUCUUUUCAUAUUGAUUUUUUUUCUUAUGUCGCCUUGCUUUCUUCAGAAAUAGCUUCUGAAUAUCAAUCCUUAUUGCCACUUUCUUAUAUGAGUCCUAUAUCACCUCUCAUCUAGAUGAAUGGCAAUAGUUUCAUAUCCUAUUUCCCAACCACACAGACCAGUGGAAAUAUAAGGGGCUUUGUAAUCUUUCAAAAUGAUUAAAAGCACAGCUGCAUAAUUGACUAGUUAUGUGCUCUUGGAUUGCUAACCAUUUGAAGUUUCAGUUUUGUCACAUAUGACAUGAAGUGAUAAUCUGAACAUUUUAGGUUCACUGAGAAAAUUAUUGUUGUUUGUUUUAUAACCAUCCCUGGCAUGCAUUAAAUGCAUACAAAUGUUAGUUACCUUUUUACUUGAAUUUAUCCUGGACAACACCGUAAGAAUUAUCUUCCUUUAAAAAUUUGAUCAUAUUCUCAUUGAAAAUCUUCAUUGACUUCAUAAUGCUUACAAAUCAAACUCACCAGAAUAUUUUAAUUCCAAUUUACUUCUCCAACCCCAUUUCCUGCCUCUCCACUCCUGGCUUCUAUUGAGUAAGUUGCACAACCUUCUCACCACUCACUAAACUUUCCAAUUCCUGCAAAUACUCUAUGUCUUAGCCAUACUGUUCCUGCCCCCACUUUGGAAAGGUUUUCUCCCACUUUGUCUCUUGGUAAAACUCCUACUUAUCUUCAAGACCCAUGUCAAAUGGCCCAUCUUCUGGAAGUCUACACUGACUCAUCCAAGGAGAAAUAAUUAUUCAGUCCCCUCUGUUGUUUACAAAUAGUAUAUUAAUUUCUUGUGACUUUCCCUAUGUGUUUGAGUUUGUUAAACAACAGUAACAAGGACAACAAUAGGAAUAAUUGACAUUUAUGGAGUGCAUACUAUAAGACAUUGUGCUGUGUCCUUUAUAUUUGCUUAUCUCAUUUAGACUUCACUACAACACAAUGAGGUAGACGCUAUUCUAUUCCUAUUUUACAGAUGAACAAACUGAAGCUUAAAAAGUUUGCAUUUAGUCCCAGAUGAAUCACUUACGUAACUCUAACUUCAGAAUCCAUACUUUUAUUUAUUUUUUCAUAAAUAUUUAAACAUUUAUUUAUUUUUGAGAGAGAGACAGAGCAUGAGUGGGGAAGUGGCACAGAGAAAGGGAGACACAGAAUCCAAAGCAAGCUCCAGGCUCCAAGAUGACAGAGCCUGACGUGGUGCUGGAACUCACAGACCACAAGAUCAUGACAUGAGCCAAAGUCAGACACUUAACCUACUGAACCGCCCAGGCACCACAAGAAUCCAUACUUUUAAAUAUUAGUUAUUUAUUGUAAAUAUCAUAUGUUGGUUCACAAACUCUUUUGAGAAUAUAAUAAAAGUAAUACAAAUGACAUUUGUGGUCCAUUUGCAUGUCAGGUAGCUCAUGGAUUCUCUAAAAGACUUCUGUGGAUCACAAGGAAUCCUCUGAUCUGAAGAUAAGACCCCUUUCAUGGGAAGCCUGGUGACUCAGUCGGUUGAGCAGCUGACUCUUGAUUUCAGCUCAGGUCAUGAUCUCAUGGUUUGUGGGACUGAGCCCUUUGUCAGGCUCCACGCUGACAGCACGGAGCUUGCUUGGGAUUUUGUCUUUCCCUUUCUGCUCUUCCCUUGUUUGCAGUCUUUCUCAAAAUAAAUAAAAUAAACUUUACAAAAAGACCCCUUCAGAUCAAAUUUGAAAUUCUUUAAUCUGAUGAGCAAAUAUUCUCAAACUUUUUGUUUUCAAGUAAAAUCCACAUUUCCAAUGACAGCCUUCAGUUACCUCUAUAACAUGCUUCUUAGCAACUCCAAACUCUUCAGGUUCCAUGGAACAAAGUUUGAAAAACACUAGGUUAAGGUAAUGACAUGUACAAUUCCUCAGAUGUUUAUUUCUCUGGCUCCUGGGUGGCUCAGUCGGUUAAGCAUCCAAUUUUGGCUCAGGCAUGAUCUCAUGGUUCGUAAGUUUGAGCCCCGCCUCGGGCUCUGUGCUGACAGCUGAGCCCGGAGUCUGUUUUGGAUUCUGUGUCUCCACUCUCUCUGACCUACCCACUCACACUCUGUUUCUCUCUCUCUCUCUCUCACUCUCUCAAAAUAAAUAUUAAAAAUUAAAAUAAAAAGAAAAUGUUUAUUUCUCUUUAUGUUGGAGAGCAAGCUUCUUAUGAACCAUACCUAACUUAUCAUUGUAUCCCAUCAUCAGCUUCUUGAGGGGUUAUUUACACAAUUAAGAUUUUAUGUGAAUAUUUCAAUGAGUUAGGAUUUAAAAGAAAAGUAAAACAUGUUUCCACAACCAAGGUAAGUGGGGCAAAUUGCUUUUUAUCCUGGAAACAGAGCAACAUUGGCAAAUGGCUGACAAAAAUGGAAAUGUGUUGAUCCAGAUUAUUGAGACCCCCCCCCCAGACACAUUUGGAUUAAUGCUCAAACAUGUGAAUUAUAAAUUAAUCAGUGGAUAAAAAGAACAAAGUGGUGAUUAUAUAUGGGUGGCAGAGAUUGCUAAUUGACUGCCAAUGGACUGACUUUGGCCCACAAAUGUUUGUCCUGCAUAAUAUUUUUUAAAAAUUAAGCCAGUAUUUAAACACUAGGGUAUUUGUUUUUUUUACAUGAAUCUCUGGGUUUUCAGCUUCUCUUGAAUAUUUGGAAGCUCUGACAAUACUGGGCCCAGAUUCUCACAUGGUGACGAUUGGCUAGAACUGAACAGCAGCUGUUCCCUCUACACAGGACUUGUACUUUCCAGGGCAGCACAGCCCCAUUUCACACAUUUACUAUACCUGCCUGUCCCCUGUUGGCAGUUGUAACCCUAGAACACUGGCUUGGAAAUUUGAAGAGUUUACCACAAAACUGUUAUUUUUAAUAAUGCAUCAUAUGUUGCAAUGCAAGACAAAAGUUACCUCUUCUAAAGUAUAUAUCUUAAAGAUAUAUGCUAUGAAAUAGUCACUGAGCCUGCUAAGACUCCCAAAAAAUGGUGUAAAUAGAAAUGUCCCACAUUUAGUUUGAAUCCAUACCAGUUUGACUAUGGAGAAACAAAAGACUUGAAUUCUAGCCUACUGGUCAAAGACAAAUCAUUUCCACAGGUAGUAAUGAAGCAGCAUGGAAUCCAGGUACUCUCUGGUGAGUAUGAAAUCAAAUCCAGGAGCCCAAUAUUAUUUCAGUGGAUAAGGCAUCCACAAUUAAAUGUAUUUUUUAGUAUUCAUUGUCUAUAAGGAAAACCAGAGGGAAGGGGAAGUGGUUGAGAUAGAGAUUGAUGUUCUUUUUAUUCUCUAUAUAUUGGUUUUAAAUUUGUAUAUCAUCUUGUAAUUAAAAACAAUAAUAAAAACCAAACAUAAAUGAACAUUCUAGUUCAUCACAUUUUAUAAUUCUUUGUUUCCUAGUCUUUUCUAUGUAGUGAUGAUGAUGAUAGUAUUAUUAAAAUUGUCUAGUAGGUUAUAGUAGUUCCAGUUAUUCUAAGUCCUUACAGUUCUAUAGGGCUUUGAAGGAAGUUUUCUCUUGAGAAAAAAAGUAACCUAUCAAGGUUCAAUUGUUUGUGUUGGCUAAUAAAUAUAACACUAAAUUUCUAUUCCUAGUGCUUUGUUGAAGCUUAGACCAGAGUAUAUAUAUUAGAGAACUGAUUUGAUUUAGGAGGACUUUGAGUCCCUUAAGUUAUCAUGGAAAAACCAGCUCAAAUCUCUUUGAUGUGUCACUCAUCUUUCAGCAGCCCUGCUAAUAUUGGAGCACUUCAUUUUUUUUUCCAAAGCACUUUCACAUACUGCAAACUUGCCUUCAGGUAUUGCAAUUAAGUCAAUUUUAGGAUAUUUAGCUUAAUGGAGGUACGGACAAGGGUAGCUCAGAAAGGAGGACAACUGACUGAUUCAGGAGUUUUCUUUCUGCUUCAGCAGUCCUUAAGUCUGAGAGACUUAAUAAUUCCGAUAAGUAGGUAAGAGAAACAACACCUAGGAAGACUCUGGAAAUGUGAGAGUUGGUAUUUAUAUUAGAUCCAUACCAUUUAUUUACCAUUUGAAAUUUGACUAUUCACAAACUACCCCAAAGUUUAUGACAUUUAGAAACUGUGAUCAUUUUUGAAGCUCAGAAUUUGAAUUAUUUUGUCAGCUCUGGUAAUUUGGAGAGAACCACUCAGCUAGAAUGUGAGUCUAGUUGCUCACUGGGUAUCAGUGCUAUUUGUUAGUUCUUUAACCAUCUCUGUAUACAAAGUGUUUCUCUUGGUAUUGUUAAAACACAUUGGGGCACCCAGGUGGCUCAGUCCAUUGAGCAUACAAUUUCAGCUCAAGUCAUGAUCUCACAGUUUGUGGGUUAGAGUCCCACACCAGGCUCUCUCCUGUCAGCACAGAUCCUGCUUCAGAUCUUCUGUCCCCCUCUCUCUUCCUGUCCCCCACUUGUGCUCACUCUUUCUCUCUCUCUCUCUCUCUCUCUCUCUCUCAAAAAUAAACAUUUAAAAUACACAUAUGCAUGCACACACGCGCGUGUGCACACACACCCCCCCCCCACACACACACAGCUUUUUGUGCAAAUAAAAUGGUCUUCAAAGGAGAGUGGCAGUUCUGGUGAAAGGGGCUUCUCCACUGAAAUAGGCUAACAUUCUAUCAGUAUUUCUAUGUAUGUUUGCAUACUUGGAAACUUCAGAUUUUAAAAGUUGAAAAUCUCAACGGUCUACUACCCUUUUGGUAUAUCCUGUAACACUGAGUCUCUCAUUUGUAACAGUGCACAGCCUUGAGUUUGCCAAACAUUUGCCAAUUUAAUCUUCAUUUAGUCAAAUAAAAACUCAUUGAAUGCCUAUUUGCACAGAUAUGGGAUUAGCAGAGAUUAAAACAAAACAUUGUUUCAAAUGAGGUUCCUUCCAGAGAUACUCCUUACCCUCAAGAUUUAAAGACUUCUGUUUCUGGUCAUAUGGUCCACUAAUUAUUCACAGUCCUUUCCACUUUGCUGUAUCUUUGCACAUGUCUUUUCUUCUCCUUUAAAUGAUCUCUAUGCCUAAAUGCUAUUUUCAGUCCAUAUUCAGCUCAGGUGGUAAUUUCUCCAGGAAACCUUGCCAAGGAGAGUUGUGCAUCUUUCCCUGAGUCUACCUAGCAUUCUAUACAGAUUUCCCAUGAUGUUUUUUAUUGUAUUGACAUUAUCCAUUUGUGUGCUUGUCCCCACUCUGAUAUCUCCCAUCAUCCCUAGAUCCUUAGCUUGUUGGGGGUUAAGCCAGAUUUGUUUGUUUGUUUUUCAUUAGUGGGUAUCCCUUGUGCAUAUCAAAGUGCCUAGAAGAGUAAACAUUCACAUAAUUUCUGAUAAAGUUCAAAGAACUGGAUGGAGGAAAAUGCCCAUCAGGGGAGAAUGGAAUGAGGAGGUGAGGUGGACAUUGUUCAGGAUGAAAAAAAGCUGAGUCAGCAGUAUUCAGUAUAUACAGAGCAAAAAGGUGCAGUUAAUUGAGAGCUGACAGGACACUGCCAUAUGAGAAAAGAGCAACUACACUGGAGAAUAAACUAGCAACAAAUCCAAGAAAUACGGUGGCCAUUUGUUCAAUGACCAUAUGAUUGGGUUUGAUUCUGGGCCUAUCAGGCAGUACUUUGUCAAAAUGAUCCAACCAGAUGUGUUUUAUAUCCAGAGGAAAUAAAACAUUUAGGAUAACCAAAUAAUGUUUCAAACUUUUUAAAAAUGCAAAUGAACUAUCUUUAUAAGAAAUGCAUAAAUUAACAAAAUUCAACCAUAUAUGCAAUUUUAACUAUGUCUAGGCAGUCAGAAAGAGAAAUUAUAACUGUGUGCCACUGAUUUAUCUUUGUAAUGAGCUUAAUGCUCUUAACAUGUUUUCUUAUUAUUACAUUAAACAAUAUAAAUACAAGUUCCAGGUAAAUUAUUUCACAGUUUGAUAAUCACUCUAAUUAUGAAAAUCUGAUGAAGCAAGAAUUCAACCUGGAAUAGCUCUAGUGUUUUGAUUCUCCUUUAAAACUUUACAUUUAUGCUUCCCUUACUUCAAGAAAAAAUAUGUAUAUUUAUGCCAUUUAGUAUCAUUUGCUGUUAAUUGAUAUAAAACAAUUACUAUUUAAUAUAUUAUUUUAUUUACAAAAGUUACUUAAAUUUGUGUAAGGUCUUUCAGAAUUUUUACAAAUCAUAUUCACAGAAAAGUGCUGAUUUUUAAUUUUAGGAAUCUUUUGUAAUGACAUCUCCACAAAAUGGGCCUAGUUAUUUGUUUUUGCCUGAAGAUGUGACUUAAAUCAAGAUUUUCCAAUUAUAAUCUGAGGAAAGGAAAACAGGUUAUGUAAAAUUAUUUUAUAACCAAAUAUUUCCAUCUCUUUUCAUUGAGUUCUGUGAUAUCCUGAACAGUACUAGGCCCUGGGACAAUCAAAAUUGAUUAGAAAAAGCCCCUGCCUUUGAGGCACUAAUGGUCAAGUAGGGCAGAUAAAUAUAAGAAGAGAAAAAGGCAAUGUUUGAAAAAUAAUUAGCUAGAGGUUUGGGUAAGUGCUAUGGCAGCAGUGAAGGAAAGCAUUCCAAGCCAGGGAAAAAGCAAGUAUCAGGACAUAGGUUCAAAAAAUAAAAUACAUGAUGCAUCGAAUCCUUGAACAAAGCAAGCAUGUUCCUAUCAAAGGGCCUUUGCACUUUCUAGUUUCCUUUCUGGAACACUUGUCUGCAGAAAGUCAAGUGGCUUAUUCUCUCAUUUCAGUCAGUUCUCUGAUCAAAUGUCAUGUAGCACUCCUUAAUCUAUAAUUUCUAUCUCCUGACUGCUUUAUUUUUUCCAGAGGAGCUAUUACUAUGUGCUUAUUUUUUAUUGACCACAUUAAAGCCUGCAUGAGGGCAUGAACUUUGUAUGUGGUUGGGUCCAAAGUUCCUAGAACAGGGAAUGGUCCCAGUAAGAACUUGUGAAAUGAAUGAGAUAAUGCACCUAUAAGCUUUGAUAUCAAGCGAGUAUACCUGAGAUUCAACUUUGCUUCUGCUACUAUUUCAACACGUACGUGUCUUGGGGGGGGUAAACAUGUUAAACAACCAUGAACUUGAGGAUAGAAGCAUAGGCUAGAGAGAUGAAUAAAACAUACUCCAUUCCUGGUCCUAAAACUGUCCCAUCAGUUUCUUAAAGCUUUUCUGAGUAAGCCAGAAGCCUCAUAUAUUUGUAGGAUUAAGAAUUAAUCAUACAUGUUGAGGGGCGCCUGGGUGGCUCAGUCGGUUAAGCGUCCGACUUCAGCCCGGGUCACGAUCUCGCGGUCCGUGAGUUCGAGCCCCGCGUCAGGCUCUGGGCUGAUGGCUCAGAGCCUGGAGCCUGCUUCCGAUUCUGUGUCUCCCUCUCUCUCUGCCCCUCCCCCAUUCAUGCUCUGUCUCUCUCUGUCUCAAAAAUAAAUAAACGUUAAAAAAAAAUUUAUAAAAAAAAAAAAUCAUACAUGUUGAAAGUUAACUUUCAACCCCAGAUGAACAAUAUUACAGAAUCUAGAUAAAAAUAUUUUUGAAGGAGUUUGUGUCAUAAAUUAUCCUUGCAAUAUAGUCAUGACUAUAAUCUCCUUAGCAAGAUUUUCUGGACUAGAAGCCCAACUCUUAUAAAAGUUCACAUUUUUCCAGGACUUCUCAGUUCUGAGAUAAAUGAAAAUACAAACCUCAAUGUCACAAACCAAAACAUUCAUAAUUAUUUCUAACUUGGUGCAAUUCUGCUUGAAAUUGCCAAGAAAUGCACAUUUCUUUACCAAUAUAAUGAUAUUGUAUGACUUAUAUUUGCACAUGACAAAAUGCUUUAAAUAUGCUUAACUCAGAAUGUGGGGAAACAUUUGAAUUAUAUUAAUAGGAAAAGGGAUCUGGUUGUUAUAACUAGGCUGAUAAUUACUAAUAUCACAUACUAUAUAUUAAUAUUUGUAGUUUCUCCAGGUUAAUAAAAAAGGUAGCUAUUUUAUUUGAUUAUAAAAUAACUGAAAAGAUCUAUUUUCCCAAUUCUAGCAAUAUAAGUCAUGCACUUUUAAAAUAUUUGAGAAUAUAAUUUUAUUUAUUAAAAAAUUUUUUUAAAUCUUUAUUUAUUUUGAGAGAGAGGGGCAGAGAGAGAGGAAGCCAAAGAAUCAGAAGCAGGCUCCAGGCCCUGAGCUGUCAGCACAGAGCCCCACACAGGGCUCGAACUCACGAACCAUGAGAUUAUGACCUGAGCCGAAGUCACACACUUAACCAACUGAGCCACCCAGGCACCCUUAAUUUUAUAUUAUUUUAGAUGCUUGCCAAACAUCAAGCAUGAAUACAGUACUGAUGUUCUAUAACUCUAAGUUAAAUUAUAUUUAAAAAAUAUAAUUAGGAAUAUAUAUUUAAAAAUAUAUUAGGAAUAUAUAAAUAUAUGUUAAGAAUAUAUAUGUGUGGGGGCGCCUGGACGGUUCAGCGGGUUAAGCAUCUGGCUUCAGUUCAGGUCAUGAUCGCACAGUUCGUAGGUUCGAGCCCUGCAUCAGACUCUGUGCUGACAACUCAGAGCCUGGAGUCUGCUUCAGAUUCUGUGUCUCCCUCUCUCUCUCCCUGCCCCUCCCCCACUAGUGCUCUCUCUUUCUCUCUCUGUCUUUCAAAAAUAAAUACAUUUUUAAAAAUUAAAGAAAAGUAUAUGUGUGUGUGUAUAUACACAUAUAUGAAGAAUAUACACAUAUACUUUGAUAUAGUCUAUUUUUUUCUUUUGUUGCCUGUGCUUUGGUGUCAAAUCAUGAAAUCAUUGCUAAGAACAACGUCAUGAAGUUUUUCCUUGAAAUUUUCUUGUAGUUUUACAGUUAGAGGUCUUACAUUUAAGUGUGUAGUGCAUUUUGAGUUGAUUUUUGUGUACAAUGUAAGGUAAGGAUACAAUUUCCUUCUUGUGGAUAUGGAUAACCAUUUUUCCCAGCACUAUUGUUAAAGACGAUCCUUUUUCCAUUAUGUGUUCUUAGUACCCUUGUCAAAGAUUAGUUGACUGUGUAUGUGUGGAUUUAUUUCUGAGCUCUCUAUUCUGUAUCUUAUGCAAGUACCAUACUGUUUUAAUAUGCCAAUACCAUUCUGUAGCUUUAUAAUAUGCUUUGAAAUCAGGAAGCAUGAUGUGUCUGCCUUUGUUAAUAAUUCUCCAGAUUGUUUUGUUUUCUUGGGUCCUUUUGGUUCCUUAGGAAUUUUAUAAUUGUUUUCUCUAUUUCUGUAAAAAAAAAAAUACCAUUCGGAUUUUGAUAGGGAUUGCAUUGACUCUACAGAUAGCUUUGGGUAGUGUGAACAUUUUAACAAUAUUAAGUCUUGCAAUUCAUGGACACAGGAUAUUUUUCCAUCUGUUCGUGUUUCCAUUCUUUAAUUUCUUCCAUCUAUGUUUAUAGUUUUCAGUUUACAUGUCUUCGAUCUCCUUAGUUAUGUUUAUUCUUAAAUAUUUUAUUUUUAUGCUAUCAUAAAGGGACUCUUUCCUUAAUAUCAUUUACAAAUAGUUUAUUGUUAUAGAAACACAAAUGAUUUUUUUUAAAUUUUUUAACGUUUAUUUAUUUUUGAGAGAGAGACAGAGUGUGAGUGGGGGAGGGGCAGAGAGAGGGAGACACAGAAUCUGAGGCAGGCUCCAGGCUCUGAGCUGUCAGCACAGAGCCCAACAAGGGCUCAAACCCACAAACUACAAGAGCAUGACCUGAGAGGAAGUCGGACGCUUAACCUGCUAAGCCACCCAGGUGCCCCAAAACACAACUGAUUUGUAUAUGUUGAUUUUUGUAUCUUGAAACUUUACUAAAUUUAUUAGUGUUAAUGGUUUUGAUUAUGUGUGUGUGUGUUUGUGUGUAAGUUAACAGAAUGAACAAGCAACCUAUGUAAUGGAAAAAAUAUUUGUAAAUCAUACAUCUGAUUAGGGAUUAAUUUCCAAAAUAUGUAGGAAAUGCCUAUAAUUCCAUAGCCAAAAAAAAUCUAAUGACUCAAUUUUUUUUUUUUUUUUUUUUUUAAAUUUUUUUUUUCAACGUUUAUUUAUUUUUGGGACAGAGAGAGACAGAGCAUGAACGGCGGAGGGGCAGAGAGAGAGAGAGACACAGAAUUGGAAACAGGCUCCAGGCUCCGAGCCAUCAGCCCAGAGCCUGACGCGGGGCUCGAACUCACGGACCGCGAGAUCGUGACCUGGCUGAAGUCGGACGCUUAACCGACUGCGCCACCCAGGCGCCCCUAAUGACUCAAUUUUUAAAAGAAAAAAGAGUUGGGGACUUGAACAAACAAUUCUCCGACAAAGACAUAUAGAUAGCCAACAGGGAUAUGAAAAGAGGUUCAACAUCAGUAAUCAUCAGAGAAAUACAAAUCAAAACCACCAAUCACCUAUUAGAAUGACUUUAUCCAAAACAAAAACAAAAACAAAAACAGAAAAAACAAACCAUGAGUGUGGGUGAGAAUAUGGAGAAAUUGAAACACUUGUGCCCUGAUAGUGGGAAUGCAAGCUGCUGCAGCUGCUAUGGAAAACAGUAUGGAGAUUCCUCAAAAAAUCAAAAAUAGAACUACCAUAGGACCCAGUAAUCCCACUUCUGGGUAUUUACACAAAGAACUGAAAUCAAGAUCUCAAAAUCAAGAUCUUAACACAUCCAUGCUUAUUCCAGCAAUAUUCACAAUAGCAGUAUGUGGAAUAAAACCUAAAUGUCCAUGGAUGGAUGGGUGGAUAAAGAAAAUGCGAUACACACACAUACACACACACACACACACACACACACACACACUGGAAUAUUAUUUAGUCUUUAAAAAGAAGGAACUCUUGCAAUAUGUAACAACAUGAAUAUUAUGUUAAGCAAAAUAAUCCAGGCAUAGUCACACAAGUACUGCAUGAUUCCACUUAUAUGAAUUAUCUAAAAUAGUGGAACUCACAUAGUAGAGAGUAGAAUGGUGGCUUCCAGGAACUGGGGAUAGGGAGCAAUAAGGAGUUAUUAUUCAAUGGCUAUAAAGUGUCAGUUAUGUAAGAUAAGUAAGUUCUAACAAUCUGCUUUACAACAUCCAAUAGUUAACAGUAUUGUAUUUCACAUUUACAAAUCUGUUACUGUAGGUUCGUGCCAAGUGUUCUUGCCACAAUUUUUAAAAGGAUAUAUAUGUAUAUACACAUAAUUUUAAAAUCUUUAAGUUGCUUAAAAAUACUGAAACUGUGUUUUCUUUUUGUUUUGAAAAAAUAAGUUCCAUUACUAGAAGUUAUUGGUCAUUUAGUUAAAAUUAACAUUAUAGCAAAAUGAGGGAUUUUUUUAAACCAGAAAGCUGAAAUAGUUACUGAAUUUGAAUUACUGAAACUAGGAAAUAUGAACUUAUGAAAAUUUGAGAAUCCUUCAAAACGUGAAUAUAUGUUUCAGAGUUUUUCAUGAAGCCAGCACAUGUUGCCUGUGUAUAUUCAUGAUCUUUGUAAGUAGUAGCAAAUAUUUAGCAUUUAUAUCCACCUGACAGAGCAAACACCACAAAGACAUUUAUUGGUUAAUCAUAAAGAAAAUAGGCAUUAAGAAUAAUUUAGAGCAUACUAUUUAUGUCCCCAACAGGCUAAUCUUUACCUUACAAUAGAGGAAUGAAAGAAAAAAUGCUCACAGGAAAGCAGUCUUUAUUUUUCAGAGGUUAGAGAAAUUGGACUUUUACUUACAAUAGACACAGAACAUGUUAAGAAUUUUCUCCCCUAUGUGAUCUUGGGAAAUAGUUUUCCAUGCAUAGUGGAAGCUUGAAAGAAGACACAAAGAGAGGGGAAGAAGAGGAAGGGAGGGAGGGUGGGAAGAAAGUAAGAAGGGAGAGAGAGGCAGAGAGGAAGAGAGAACGUGAGAGAGAGGGAGGCAGCAAGUACAUAGACACAUCCGUUAUGUAACUUUACAUGCUGCAAAUGAGUUGGCUGCAAGGUUACAAGGUAGGUAGGGUCUAACACCUGUGCCUUAGUUGCUUUCAUGAAUGACAACUGCAGAUAUACACACAGUCACAAGUUGAGAAGUAGAGUGAGUGUAUCAGACUUUUUACAUCUCCAUAUAAAAUAUUUAGAUAUGACACUAAUGGUCUCCUAUUUUUCAGUGUUUCAACUUAAGAUAGAUUCCAUAUGAAAAAAAAGUAUAUUCCUUCAUGGUGUAGCUUAUAAAUUGAUUUUUCAGUUCAUCAGUGUAAUGAUAUCUCACUAGCAAAAAAAAAUCAAUUUUACCAGAUCCCGUCUAUUUCUGCCUUUUUCAUUCAUAGCUGAGAUUUAGCUGUCCGGGUGAAAGGGAAGAGUUACUAUUUGAAUAAGUGAUGUUGCCCAUUUAAACAUAGAGCAGUCAAGUGUUAAUUUUUACAUAUUCAUGAUUGCCAGUAUUUUGAUUAAUUCUCAUGACAUCAACUGGCGUCAUGCUUGAAUUAAGAUUUCACGAUUUUAUGAGUUAUUCAUAUAUGUUAUUCACAUUGACCUAGGCAUUAUCAAUAUUUUCCCUACAAAUAAAGACUAUAUAUAUAUAUAUAUAUAUAUAUAUAUAUAUAUAUAUAUGAAGGAUAAAAUACCUUAGGAGUGUAUUGAUCAGUUUGUAAGUAAAAAUAACAUUAAAGUUAAUUUUUAUUGAAUUGGCAAAAUGAUUUACAUAUAUCAAGAAUUCUUGGAAUAUUAAUUUUUACCAAACCCUAGGGAAAAAAUCACCAGUAUCAAAUUUCAUCUAGAAGCAACUAAAUCUUAAUGUUGCUUAUGAAAUAGAAAUAAGAUUCCUUUUAAGUGUUGUAAGUUUUCUUCAUCUCUGAAAAUAAUAAAUUUAUGACAACAUGGAUGGACCUUGAGGGUAUCAUGCUAAAUGAAAUAAGUCAGACAGGGAAAGGAAAAUAUAUGAUUUUACUUAUAUGUGUAAUCUAAAAAAUUAAAGCAAAAAAACCCAGACAAAACAGCCACAAACUCAUAAAUACGGAAAACAAACCGAUGUUUGCCAGAGGGAAGGGGCAUGAGAAGAUGGACAAAAUAGAGGAAGGGGAUAAAAGGGUAAAACUGCCAGGUGUAAAAAUAAAAAUAAAAAGACAUGGGGUACAAUGUACAGUAUAGAGAAUAUAGUUAAUAAUAUGUAACAACUUUGUAAGGUUGACAGAUGGUAGCUGGAUUUAUCCUGGUGAUCACUUCUCAAUGUAUAUAAAUGUUGAAUCACUAUGUUGUACACCUGAAACUCACAUAAUAUUGUAUGCCAAAUACACUUCAAUAAAGAAUGAAUGAAUGAAUGAAUGAAUAAAUGAAUGAAUGAAUGAAUAUUAAAAAUAAUGUUUUAGGUAGAUUAUUCCAAGGCAAGCAGCAUAGCAUGAUGAUUAAGUUCAGAAAUGGCUUUUCACGGGGCGCCUGGGUGGCGCAGUCGGUUAAGCGUCCGACUUCAGCCAGGUCACGAUCUCGCGGUCCGUGAGUUCGAGCCCCGCGUCAGGCUCCGGGCUGAUGGCUCGGAGCCUGGAGCCUGCUUCCGAUUCUGUGUCUCCCUCUCACUCUGCCCCUCCCCCGUUCAUGCUCUGUCUCUCUCUGUCCCAAAAAUAAAUAAACAUUGAAAAAAAAAAUUUUAAAAGAAAUGGCUUUUCAGGGGCGCCUGGGUGGCUCAGUCGGUUAAGUGUCCAGACUCUUGAUUUCCACCCACGUCAUGAUAUCACUCUCACAGUUCAUGAGAUAGAGAUGACAAAACAGAGCCUGCUUGGGAUUCUCCCCCUCUCCCUCUCAAAAUAAAUUAAUAAACUUAAAAAAAUAAAUGGCUGUUCACUUGUAUUGCUUUAUUUUUUAUUUUGUUUUUAAGUUUAUUUUGAAAGAGAGAGAGCAAGUGCGAGCAGAGGGAGGGGCAGAGAGAGACAGGAAGAGAGAGAGAGAACCCCAAGCAGGCUCCAUGCAUCAGCACAGAGCCCACCUUGGGGCUCCGUCUCAUGAACCAUGAGAUCAUGACCUGAGCCACAAUCAAGAGUCCCAUGCUCAACCAACUGAGCCACCCAGGCGCCCCACGUGUUGCUUUUUUUAAAGCCUGCCCUGACAUUGCUAAUGUUUUGUCUUGGGCAAAUUGCUUAACCUAUCUGUAUCCAUUUUCUACCCAUAAAAUGGGGGAAAAUGUCUAUCACACAGGGUGCUUGUGAGAAUUAAAUAAGACAUUCCAUUCAAACUAAGCACUGUGUGUGGGGCACAGAGAAAAUGCUCCGUUUUCGAUAUAAUAAUAAUAAUAAUAAUAAUAAUAAUAAUAAUAAUAAAGUCAUUAAAAUUGAGGUAGCCUCUGUUUAAAAAUAAAUUAGUAAAUUUUAUGACUAUGGCAUUUGAAAUGUUUACUUACAAUCAGUUUGGGAGUGUGGGUUUUAAGAAUUUUGACAAUUAAGUUUGUGGGAGAACAUAUUCUGAGUUCUUUCUUCCCUACAAACUUAGAUGUGGAACUUCAGUUGUUUGCAUAUUAUUUGAACUACCAUUUAUACAAGUUUCUAAGAUACUAUCUCUAAAAUUACCUUUAGAAGCCUCCUAUCUGUUUCCUUGGCUUGUAUUCUACAAGUGUAGAUGAGAUAAGUAUAGCAUUGCGUGCUAAAAUAUUCUGCAAAAGUCAGCAUGGGUUUAAACAGUUUCAUUGGUUCAGUUAUCAAUGGAGUUAUCUGUAUUCAUGUAUCAUUUACAGCAAACAUCCAAGCAGCUUCAUAAUAAAAUUCUUAGUUGGAAACAGUAACUAACAUAAAAUAAAAUCAAAACAUAUAUCUUCUCUUUAUGGAUACCUUUAUUUCAUACUUCAGGAUUCUGUUUUUUGGCUGAACUUUCUGAUAUUUAUGCUGGGUGUACAAUUAGUGAACUUGGCAUUGACACAUGUUUAGAGGUCAAAACCAGCAAGAAUAUAGUCUCUUGCUUUGUCUGAGAUUGCCCAAGACCUUCUGUGAUAAGUAGCAAGUAAAUCGUCUGCUAUAUUUUACAUAAAGAAAGAAAAAAAAAGCUUCAUUAUAGGCUUCUAUUAGAUUAAAUAUUUUUCAAUGACAGGAGUGUGUGCAACCUAGUAUUAUAACCUAAAUAAAUUCUAAAUAUUAGGCCUUUAAAUACUUUUUUUUGUUUUAGGUUACUUUAUUUCAUUGAAAUUUAAAAAUUUUUUAAAAACUAUGACCUCGGGGCGCCUGGGUGGCGCAGUCGGUUAAGCGUCCGACUUCAGCCAGGUCACGAUCUCGCGGUCCGUGAGUUCGAGCCCUGCGUCAGGCUCUGGGCUGAUGGCUCAGAGCCUGGAGCCUGUUUCCGAUUCUGUGUCUCCCUCUCUCUCUGCCCCUCCCCCGUUCAUGCUCUGUCUCUCUCUGUCCCAAAAAUAAAUAAACGUUGAAAAAAAAUUAAAAAAAAAAACUAUGACCUCAAAUAUUAUUAAUUGUGCAAUUCAUAUCAUAAAGAAAUAAUAAAUAACACCUAAGAUUUGGAGUGUUUGCAUUUUUAUUAACUUUGAUCUAAAAAAAAUUCAGUUGAAAUUAACUCAGUGUAUUUCAACAUAUUCUCUAAAGUAUUUUUAUUCUGUUAUUUCAUAAAUGCUACUUUGUGAAGUUCUAGGGCAUUGUUAUGAUUAUAAUAUCCCAGAGUAAAUUAUUUUAGAUAGCGCAAAAUUUAAGUCAGCAACUUCCUGUCAGUUAACACAGUAGUAGCUUUUAGUACCCUAAUUUAUCCUUUUUCCUCUUAAGAAAUAGGUGUCCCUCAAAUAUCUACAUCUAUCUUUCUGUGUCCAUAUGGUUUUGAACAAGUGGUGAAAGUAUUCACUAUUUGCUGUGUACCCACACUUGUAUAGUUCAGCUGGAGUACCAUCUGGUAUGGUACUCUUCCCAUUUUCCUCAUUUUGAUUGCUUUCUCAAUCUGGAAAAUGGUAGCUCGAUUGUCCAUCGGGUCUCCAUAUGGCUGCUGGAUCAUUCUAUGUAGUAUCUAUCCAUCAGCAAUAUUUGAUGGGUUAUUUAAAGUUCAUCCAGGGUGUUCACAAGUUAGUACAUUUUGUCAGAAAUAUCAGAAAUUUUCUUUGGAGAAAUAUCAUAAUCUUAGAUUUUAGGAAGAAAAUCUUUUGGAUUGGUUAGAGGAAAGAAACAAGAAAACACAUCCAUAUCUUUCUGAGAAGCAGAUGGCUACUCUUAUAGUGUUAGUUAUCCAAAAUUGUUUCUAUUUUUACCCUUCUAUACUGUCUAAGAUGACAUUUUAGAGGAAACAGCAUCCUUACAUGCAGAUCAUCUUUGUUGCUUGAAGGACAACUAUUGAAAUAAGAAAGCAUAUGAGAUUAAAUGUCUGUAGAACGAUGAGGCAGCCCAAAAGAGCUAUAAAGAUCUGGCCAUGAAAAUGGAAUCAUAUCCUAAUGAUAGAUGCCAUGAAGAUGUGAUAGAAGGCAAGAGUGUGAAGAUGUGAAGAAAUUGUGGUGUAUAUCCUUGUGUGAAUAUAAACUUUCCUGAAGGAGAUCAUAGUUUAGCAACCCCCUUUCUUCCCUCCUACCAAAAUAAGCCAAAUCUUUAAUAAAUUUUGGAGCACCAAAAAUGUAUAGUUUCUUAAUUUAUCAUUCAGCAUUCUCCAUUUCUCCAUGGCUUUGUAAGUAGGACGGAGUAAAAAGAUUGUUUUCUCCUCUAUUUCUCAUCUUAUGGUUUGCUAAUUUUAUUUUUAUCUCUUUUGCCUUUGUCUUUUCUCAUUCAUUCAUUUUUCCUUUCCUUUCACAGUUAUGGAGUACCUACCAUAGAUUCAGGAGAGAUAACAGGUAAUUUGGAGAGGACUGCUGUGUAUUCACGGAGCUCUUUGGAGAAAGAAGGUAUGUGAAUAAUUACAAUAAAAUGUGAUCGGCACCAGGAAGUUUUCAUAAAGAAAUAUGAAACCACAGAAAGCCCCCUAACUCUGCCAAGUGGAUUCCAGAUUAAUGCAUGUUUCCCUGAAUCACUAUCUGCACACAAAUAUCUUCUUUAUUUUACCUUUCACUUUUAUUUUACCAAGAUUUAAUGAGUAUAUUCAAUGACAUCAUUUGUUGUAUACACAAGUAGAAAUAUUUCUAGCUGGCUUAAAACUUCAACAACCUAACAACCUAACUGAAAUUGGAACAUAAUUUUCAAUUUACCUUAUCUGUGUAAUAUGUAUAAAUGCUUUUGAAUUAUUUAUUCCCUCUUUCUUUAAAAAAUAUUUGUUAAUGUUUUAUUUAUUUUUGAGACACAGAGAGACAGAGUGCAAGCGGGGGAGGGGCACAAAGAGAGGGAGACACAGAAUGCGAAUCAGGCUCCAGGCUCUGAACUGUCAGCACAGAGCCCCACACGGAGCUCGAACUCACAAACCACGAGACCAUGACCUGAACCAAAGUCAAACACUUAACCUACUGAGCCACCCAGGUGCCCCUCCCUCUUGCUUAAAAUUAUUCCUUCUUAUGUAAAAAUGGAAAAGAUGUUCAUGAUUCUUACCUGGUCAUUCAUUCUUUGGAUAAGCUUUUAUUUUGUAACCCUUAACAUGAGACCAGAAUUUAGCUUUCACUUUAAAGAAAGCUUUAAUCUCCAUAUUAGAUUAUUGCAUGUCUUAUUUUAUGACCUUACUGAAAAAUUCUUGAUAUCUCCAAAUUUUGCAAAAUGCUCGCUCUAGAAUCUACCUUCUCCAAAGUGGAUUAGAAUUCUGUUACUUUUAUCUCAGAGGAGAUGUGUUAGCUCCAUAUUAAACUCUAAUUUUUUAAAAAUUGAUUGAAAAAUGACAUGUAAUUGAUAUCAGAUUAGAGUUGUACUUAAAUGAGAAUUAGAAUUGUCAGAAAUAAUGUGAAGACUGAAUAAUGACUAUUCCAAGUACUGUACUAGGCUAAAGCUUUAUAAAACAUACUAGCUUUAUUUAUAAUAAAACUAAAAGUUUAAAAGUUUUAUUCAAAAUCAGGUAGCAUUAUCAUCUGACUAAAAAUGUACAGUUUGUAUGGGGCACCUGGGUAGCUCAGUCAGUAAAGCCCCUGCCUCUUGAUUUUGGCCCAAGUCAUGAUCUCGCAGUUCAUGGAAUCAAUCCCCACACUGGGCUCUGCACUGACAGUGUAGAGUCUGCUUGGGAUUCUCUCUCCCCCUGUCUCUCUGCCCCCCACUUCUCACUCAUGUGUGCACUCUCUCAAAAGUAAAAAAAGAAAAAAAACAGAUUAAAAAAUGUAUAUUUUGUGAACUUAUUCAAUUUUAUAUUCAAUUGUUAUCACUUUAUAUCAGUCAAUUAAGAACAUUUGGACCUAGGGGCACCUGGGUGGCUCAGUCAGUUAAGCAGCCGAUUCUUGAUUUUGGUUCAGGUCAUGAUCUCACAGUUUGUGGGUUCAGGUCCCCCAUUGGGCUCUGCACUAACAGUGUGGAGCCUGCUUGGGAUUCUCUCUCUGCCCCUUCCCAGCUCUCUCUCUCUCUCUCUCAAAAUAAAUAAACUUAAAAAAAAAAAAAAAGAGGGGUGCCUGGGUGGCUCAGUUGGUUAAGCGUCUGACUUCAGCUCAGGUCAUGAUCUUGCAGUUUGUGGGUUUGAGCCCUACGUUGUGCUCUUUGCUGACAGCUCAGAACCUGGAGCCUGCUUUGGAUUCUGUGUCUCCUGUCUCUCUGCCCCUCCCCUGCUCACACUCUGUGUCUCUCUGUCUCUCAAUAAUAAAUAAACAUUGAAGAAAAUAAAAAAAAAAUUUGGCCUAAAAAAAUUUCAAAGUAGUCAUAAAAAAGGCAAAUCCUUACAUUUUGUACACAAAAUGAAUAUAAUAGAUUUUUCCCUUACUUUUCUUUUAAAUUUUUUUUUUUCAACGUUUAUUUAUUUUUGGGACAGAGAGAGACAGAGCAUGAACGGGGGAGGGGCAGAGAGAGAGGGAGACACAGAAUCGGAAACAGGCUCCAGGCUCUGAGCCAUCAGCCCAGAGCCUGACGCGGGGCUCGAACUCACGGACUGCGAGAUGGUAACCUGGCUGAAGUCGGACGCUUAACCGACUGCGCCACCCAGGCGCCCCUCCCUUACUUUUCAUUAAUUUGCUCUGGUGUUAUAUAGAUAUGCCAUUAUUAUUAUGAAUUUGUAUGUAAAAUUCAUUUAAAUUAAUUUUCAUAAAAUCAUCUCUAAUAAUUUUAUAAGAUAUUAUUUAAUUCAUUUCUUGGUGGUGCAAUGUAAAUAUUUCAAAGCAAAAUAAAAUGCUCUCUAACUAGCACCUAUGCAUAAUAUAAGAUGACAGAAUACUUAUUAAAUUAAUCUUUGGACACUCCAUGUAAUUUUUUCUGAAAUGAUAAGUUCACAUGAAAAUAUUUUUAGAUGUUUUUAACAAACAAUUUUUAGUUUUUCUGUCUUCCUCUAUUUUGGUGUAUAUUCUGGGAAUCAAAUGCAUUCAUUGUGAAUAAGGAGACAUAAAUAAGAAGUCAUUAUUACUAUAAAGACAAAAAUUUAUCAAGAUAAAUUAUAUUCCAUAAAAACACAUUAAUCUUUCUCAUAGACUGUUAUAAACAGAAGAUCCAAGCACAGAUCAUUGCUCUGAGAUAUUAAUUUCUUAAAAAGAUAAUAUCUAGUAAAGAAUGAUAUUUUAAGUAUUAACUACUUCACCCAUUUUCAUUCUUAAAGCUGUUUCUUAGAAGUAAUUUCUUUAUUUUCCCAAAUUACUACAACUUUUCAAAAAAGCGUAUCUCUUCAGACAAUCUUUGUGCAGGAGAGCUGAGAUUUCCAGAGAAUCAUACUAAUUAGUGAAACUGAAGGACAAAUUGGAGAAUGUAUUUCUAAAAUAUUUUGGUAUGUAUUGAUGUCUAUGCACUUAACAGUGCCUUUGCUUAGAACACUUCAUCAAGCCUUGGUUUCAUUUUUGUCUUUCAGGAUCUCAGUAAUUGCCCCAUUUCACCUUGUCUAGAUUGGCCUCCAUCAAUUAAUCUCUAUCUCCUCAAUGUGUUAAUUUCCUCUGUGAAAGUUUUCACAAUUUGUGAUUAUUUUUUCUCUCUAUUGAUUUAAUUGUUUAUUGGUCUCUCAUAUCAAGCAUGGAAGCUUCAUGUAGGCAUCAAACUUUGCAUUUUAGCAAUAUACGUUCAGCAACUUGCAUACUGGCUGACACACAGUAGGACUUCAGUAAAUACACAUUGAAUGUAUUAAUGAGUGAAAUCAAACUUAACACUUUUUUUUUUGGCAAAAUUUCUACUAGCUCAAAAUCACCUUAAGUGACAUGUUAUAGUGUGUGCAAAAAUCAGAUAUUCCAAGAAGUCGCUCACAAAUUAUGUGAAGGAAUUAUUUAUUAUUACUUCUAGUAUAAAACUUGUAGAAUUAUGACAAUAUUUAUGCAAUAGCAAUAGGGAAACAUAGAGUAAUAACUGCUGAAAGAAAUGAUAAUUCUUUUCACUUUGCCAUCAUUUACAUUUUUGUCAACUUUAGAAAAGGAGAAAAUGGUGAGAAAAAUCUGUAAAGAGUUUACACACAAAAGAAUAUUUCAACGAAGGAAAAUAUGUCAGCUUACUAUACCAUAUUUUGUUCUUUCAAAAUAUUACAAAAUUGACAUAGGACAUAAUGUUUGAUGUUCUAAGAAAAAUACAAUAUGUUUAGGAAACUGUAUAUGUGAUAUGGAUGCAUCACUAUGAGAACUACAUAAGGAACGGCUAACAUUUCAAAAGCACAGAUUUUCAAAAUGGUAUGUAUAUGUCUAAAAUUGCUGGUGUACUAUAAUUAAUUUUUAUUCUAUUUUAAAGGGUCAUUCACUUAUCUUUUACAGACGAUUUUCACAGCUUAUCAUGAAUCCUUAGAGCUGCUAUGGUUAGGCCAAUAUAUUUACAUGAAUAGUAUGUAAAUGCAUUUAAGUAUUUAAGUAUAGUGUUCUUGAUAUAGCCUAAGGUGUCUCAUAUGAAUAUAUCCAACAUUUUGCUUUUUGAGGGAGAUAAAUGUAUUUUUAUGCUUCAUCACACAUACUAUAAAUAUCCUUUAUGCUUGUACUGUAUUCCCACCUUGCUUCACAUCAUUCAUUUAAUUUUUUUAUAUAUGCAGCAUAAUAAAUGCAUGAUGCUAAAUUCAAACUUUGUAAGAGUCUGACCCACGUUAAGUCAAUUUCAUAUCUUUCUCUGUGCUUCACUGAUCUGGUCAGAAUAUGUUCUUCUUUGUAUAUCAACAAGGAUUCUAUUCUGUGAUUGAAGCUAUAAAAUCAGAUGAGAACCUGGGAAAUACCAGAGAAAUAUUGUUCAAUGGUAUUGUAACUGUGAACAAUUUUUUUUUCAAUUUUCUUUCUCCAAAAAAAAAAAAAAGAACCUUCUUUGAAAUUACUUAAAAAUCACAGAAGGCUAAAGCUAGUUCUACCACCUAAUUUUACAGAUGAGGGAAAUGACACACAAGUACUGAUUUAAGGUCACAUUUCAGCUAGUGGCAGAAACAAGGAUAGCACCCAAUUCUACCAGUGCCCAAACCGAUGUUCUCAGGCCUCACUCAUCUUUGCUGGUUGUUUUAGGAAGGCAUAGAAAUGAUGGUGUAGUGGAAAGAAGUGAAUGAGGGCUGUAAUAGAAAGUAGCCCUAGGCUCUUGUACUUGUUAGCUGUGUGACUUUGGCUGUGGGACAAUCCCUGUGAAACUCAGUUAUCUUAUUUAUAAUAUGUCAACAGUAAUAACUGACACAUAAGAUCAUUUUCAGAAAUGAAUGAAAUGAGGUAAUAGAUACUGCAUACAGUGCCUUGCUACAUGGUAGGCAUUCAAAUGCAAAGUACACAUUACUAUUAUGACUAUUUGUCACUAGCAUUAUUUGUGUGGAGAAUCAUUAUUAUAAGCGUGAGUGAUCGUACAGCAUUCUACAGUAGGACAUGAUCACUUGGUGGGAAGAGCUCACCUGACAUUGGAAGAAUCCAGCAAGGGUUUGGCAGACUGUGGCUGCACCUUCGGUUUAGAAGUAAUUAGUACUACUCAACCAAGGUAAUCUGGAAAUUGGCUCUCAGACCACAUUUGCAAUUUUAUGUGGAGAGAAAUGAUUCAAUAUUCAGUAAUGGUUAGGUACUUUAAAUGUUCAACCCUGAGGUCUUUGUGUAAAUAGGAUUGUUGUCGAAAUGGAAUAGAAGUUUUGUGUGCAAAAUGACAGUGGGAGCAGCCCGUUAAUCAGAUUUACACAGAAAAGGAGGGGAUGGUACCCUCAUGUGAAUGCCAAUGAGAAGAUGUGUUGAAUGUGGAAAUCAGUUAUUUUUAAUGUUAAAAUAAAUAUUAGCAGUAAUAACUAGACAUAGAGUUGUUCUUCCUGCCUGUAUGUUUCAUAAUGCAGAAAAGAAUCCAAUGUUUGUUUGUCAUGUUAUGUUUGAACAAUAUUUAUCACUUCAAAAAUUCACUAAAAUAGCUUGUAAAUUAAAUAAGUUUCAUAAGAUUAUACAGUGAUUGAAUAAAGAAUGGAAAAAUUAGGGAUAAGCUGCAUGUGAGGAAGAAGUAUUUUGGAAUAAUGACCACUUUUGUAAUAAUAAAGGUGAUGAUAAUAAAAAAUACUUCACAGGUCAAACCAUAUGUGUGUUGAUCUGGAUGUGAUUCAUGACUUUGCAUAAUUUUGUUAUUACUGUCAGCAGGACUUUUACUGGAGAAAAUACUAUCCUAGUAAGAGUGUUAAGUUGCGGUAUCUCUAGAGCUCAGUUUCCCGCAUUUAAAAUAAGAGGAGUUGCACCAAAUGACCACUUAAGUCUCUUCUAACACUAAGCCCGGAAAACAAUUCUAUUAUCGAUAUGACAGUCUUUCUUUCUAUACCUGGACCCAGAAUCCAUCAGGACUGGAUGAAGCUUGAGGGCAAACAGUUCACCCUGUGAGGUUCAAUUAUAGAUCAGAUCACAUCAGGAGUAUUAGAGGAUGUAGGAGUGAACCCAGAGAUACUGUAUCUAUAAUCACUGCCUAUUUUGUUCCUGACCCUUCUGGACAGUAUAAACCUAUACUUCAAGAGGAAAUCCCAAAUUCAAGGCCAGAAGCAUAUGCGCAGUUUUCCAGAAUUGGGAAGUCAGUUGCAGUGUGCUAACCCACUUCCUUGGUGGCUAGGGUAUAAGUCACAAAAUCAGCCUCUUUUUUUUUUUUAAUGCUCACAUACCUUGACAUGCAUAGCUAAUUACAUCACAAUUUAUCCUCUAUCUGUGGAUUGUCUGGAAAAUGGCUAAACGUAUUCAAUGGUCUUCAAAUCUCAGGCUUUCAAAUUCACAAAAUUUUAAAGAGAAUCCAUUCCAAAUUUCCUUUGUUUAACCUAUUCCAGAAAUCAAAGUGCCUUUAGGUAUAAAUGACAAGAUAAUAGAAUUCUAAGUCUUCUCUGCAGUGAAUAUUACACUUUCAUUUUGCACAGUGGAGCUUAAAAUGCCUCACUUUAUGCUGAUGGUGGGCACUUUUGCGUUUUUCAUCCUCUUACAGUUAAAACAUAUGACGAAGUGGCCACUUGCAAAAAGAGAUGAAGAGAAUAAGUGAGCAUGAAAUUGACAGAAACUGAGACCAUAUUAAAUACUAAGUUUGUGUACUUCCAUCUACCUCUAUUUGUAGAUAAAACUUUUAAUUUGCUAUACCAAGAAAUUCACAUGGACAGAUUACUUUUUUGGUUAAAAUUAGAUAUCUUGGAGAAAAAUAUAAUAAUCACAGUGAAGACAGGGUGGAAAUACAAUAAUCCUCAUAAAUAAAUGUAAAUAAAAUAUGUAGAUAUGUAUAACGUAGCCAUGUAUAACAUUUAAUGAUACAUAAAUAGUUCUGAAAAAUACAUGCUACAAAAGAACUUAAAUGUUAAAGUUUAAUGCAUUUUUCUAAAAUAAUUCAUUUAUGUAGCAAUACGGGUCUGGCCACAGUAAGCAAAUUAUGUAUAUUGCAAGAUAAAAAUAAAACAAAGAAAAAUGCCUUUUCUGAAUAUAAACUUUAUUACUUAAAUUAGUGUAAUUUUGUAUUAUAAUAAAUGUGAAAAGCAAAAUUGGUAUAAAUACCCUUCCUACUAAAAUAUGGAGAGAAAUCAAAAUGAAGCUAAUUCUUUUAAAACAAAUUUCUGUAAACAGAUUGUUACCAUAAGUGAAGUGUUCUUUCUGCUGAUAAACAACAUGUAAAGUUAAAGAGAAGAACAUAAAAGCAGUAAUCACCAUGUACCAAAUAUCAUUUCAGGAAAUCAUUUUAGAAUCUUCUAAGUCAAACUGGAUUUUUAGCUCUUUAUUAAAAAUAACUGGUGGCUCCCUUGACACACUAGGACUAGUUUUCAAGUCAACCAAUAUAAUUAACACAUAAAUAUUAUUUAAAAGGUUAUUUUACAUUUUAAAUGUUUCCAAAUAAAUUCAACUAAGGUAUAUGAAAUGUCUGUGAAAUACAUGGGAUUUCUUAAUGAAGACUAAGAAACAGAGAUAAACUAGGAUAAAAGUUAACAGAAUUUCAAAUUUCAUCUAAAGUUUCUUAUAAGAAAAAUAGAUCAUAAUUUAAAAAGUAUAUAAAUGUAACUCUUCGUAUUUUAGAAUUGUUUCUACAUUAGGUUGAGACGCUGAUUCACCCUGAAGACCGGACAGCCUAUAAGUAGUUAUGUUUUCCUAAGAGAUAGAAAAUCACCAUGUGAUGGUUUUUUAUCAUGGCCUCACUUUGAUCUGUAACACUUAAUCUCCAUUAAUUUAGCUAUUAAAAAUAUUUUCUAAUUUUUUAAAGUUUAUUUAUUUAUUUAUUUUGAGAGAGAGAGAGAGAGAGAGAGCGCGAGCGGGGUAGGGGAAGAGAGAGGGAGAGAGAGGAACUGAAGCAGGCUCUGUGUUGACAGCAGAGAGGCUGAUGUGGGGCUGAAACUCAUGAACCCUGAGAUCAUGACAUGAGCUGAAGUCAGACACUUAACUGACUAAGCCACCCAGGCGCUCCAAAAAAUAUUUUCAAUUGUAUUUGUAGAUUUUUUAAUUUUUUUUUUCAACGUUUAUUUAUUUUUUGGGACAGAGAGAGACAGAGCAUGAACGGGGGAGGGGCAGAGAGAGAGGGAGACACAGAAUCAGAAACAGGCUCCAGGCUCUGAGCCAUCAGCCCAGAGCCCGACGCGGGGCUCGAGCGAGAUCGUGACCUGGCUGAAGUCGGACGCUUAACCAACUGCGCCACCCAGGCGCCCCCUUUUUUUUUUUUUUUGUAUUUGUAGAUUUUUUAAAGCAUUACAAAUAGCAUUAGUAGAAGACAAGGAUUAGAAUUAUUUGAAUACUUUUGGAAGUAACUUGCAAUUAGUUUUCCUGUUUUAUUAGCAUUUUAUGGAAAUCUUUGAGCUAAAAUGUCAGCCCCUUAGUUUCAUGAAUCAUUACAAAAACAUCAGGGAGUAUCAUUUAUAAUGUACAACAAUCUAUUUUGAUCCAAGAAAGUAGACCUUGUUUCAGUAUGGCAUUUUUGGAUGGUGUUUUCAUAUAAUUUGAAGUGAGUGCUAAAAUUAUAAUCUUACCUGAUACUUACUAGUGAGGUAGUCAUGGCAUUAAAGGAGGUUAUACAUCAAAAAGAAAGAACAGAAAGGAAGGGUAAUCGAGAUACUUUGAUUUAACAAACAUUAGACUUAAUAUUUCCUAUUUUAGCAUGCUAAUUUUAAUACUUGGACUUAAUACCUGACUAAAGUGUGCUUUCACUUUUAUUACCUUAGUAUCUUUCUCCAAUUAUCUUUUCCUCUAUUGGCUAACUUUUCAAAUUUUCUUUUUUUAAAAAAAAAUUGUUAAAAUGUUUACUUAUUUUUUUGAGAGAGAGAGAGCAGGGUAAGGGCAGGGAGAUGGGGAGAGAGAGAUCCCAAGUAGGCUCCAUGUUGUCAGCUCAGAGCCUGACACAAGGCUUGAAUCCUCGAACCAUGAGAUCAUGACCUGAGCCAAAAUUAAGAGUCAGACAUUUAACUGACAGAGCCACCAGGCGUCCCAGGUUUUCUUUUUUAAAGUAUAAUGUGUGAUAUAUAAAUAUUACUUUAAAAUUUUAGUAGGAAAAACAAUAAUCAGAAUUCAGGAAGACUGUGAACUCCUAUGACAGAAACCAAUAUAUAAAAAUUAAAAUUAUUGGGGUGCCUGGGUGGCUCAGUCGGUUGAGUGUCUGGCUUUGGCUCAGGUCACAAGCUCACGGUUUGUGAGUUUGAGCCCUGCGUCGGGCUCUGUGCUGACAGCUAGGGGCCUGGAGCCUGUUUCGGAUUCUGUGUGUCUCUCUCUCUAUGCUCCUCCCCUGCUAGUGCUCUGUCUCUCUGUCUCUCUGUCUUUCUCUCUCUCUCAAAAAUAAAUAAAACAUUAAAAAAAAUUUAAAAUUAAAAUUAUUUUAAAGAUAGUCUUAAUAAUUACUUUGUAAGUGUAUAGUUAUCAUAUCAUUAUAAUCACAACAGUUUCCUAUUAUAAAUUAAAAUCCUAACAAUAGUUCCUAAUGCAAUCCAUUAUUUAUUUUUGAAUUUAUUUUUAAUGUAUAACAAAUAAACUAUUUAGCUUUUUUAAAUGUGAAAUUUCACUGACUAUCAGCUUUAAAACUUACAUUAUUUAAAAAUUAGAGUUCAAAAACUAUAAAAUAACACAUUCUUAGGUGAAUAAUUGUUUACAAUUUCCUUCAUAGAUCUGCUUUUAUAAGCAUAUUGGAAAACUUUCUAAGUAGCAUAAGGUAGCAAUCAACAAAUAAAAAGGUCAAGAGAUGUGACUAAAUCAAUUUUGCAAAACACUUCAAAAACAUUCUAAAAGAGAGAUGUUAAACCAUUAAUGUUUCAUUGUUGAGAAUGAAUAAGUUCACAUCUGAUAACUUUUCCAGCUACCAGCACACUAAUGUAUAUUAAAUUAAUGAUGAGAUUAUCAGCAAUAUAGGCCCACAAUAAGCCAAAUGAGAUAUGGGUAAAAAAUAAAUAUAUAUACUCAUUUGAGAAAGAUUAUAACGGUCUCUGUAAUAUUAACAUUUUUUCAAACUGACUUUUCCUUUAUAAACGGUUUAAAGUAACAUUUGUUAGAUAGAAAAGAACACGUGGGCAUGCCUGUUUGGCUCAGUCAGUAGAACAUGUGACUCUUGAUCUCAGAGUCAUGAGCUUAAGCCUCACGUUGGGUGGAGAGUUUACUUUAAAAAAAAAAAAAAGAAUAUGUGAAACAUCAACAAUAUAACAAUGAACACCUAGGAAUCUGCCAUACAACAUAAGAACUAGGACCAAUGAUAAACUGAAACAUUUAAUUUAAGAGAAAAACAAGCUGUUUUGAUAUUUCUGAAUUUUAAGUAUCUUCUCUGCCAAAAUAGAAGCCACUUGGUCCUUAUUUUGCAUCCCUGUUGCAGUCAAAACUCUUUUGUUUGAAGUUUGAAGUACUAACCAUUAAAUUAGUGUCUAUUUUAUUUAAUAACUAAAUCCAUCAAACGACAGGCCUAUUAAAAUGAUUUCAUUUUCCUUUCUGGUUAAUCUGAAGUGCUUAAUCUUAAAAAGUGAACUGUCAAAAUAAUGGACUUUUUUUUUUCCUCCACAAGAAUAACGUGGAUUUCUUACAUAUCUCUUGUCAAUCAUUUUAUCUAAACAGGAUGUGCAUAAAAUGGUCCACCUCUUAACUUAAGCAUUUAUGUCUGGACAGUGUUGCUUAUAUCUAUUGUGGAUUAAAAAAAAAAAGAUCAUAUCCUAAAAUGGACUUACAGUUCUAGUUUAUAGUCAGAAUAUAUUUUUAGAGAGGGAAAAUUCUAUUACUCUGUAAAGUAACGGAACAGCUAUAACAAGAUAAUAUUUGAGAAAACAGAAUCUUACAAAAUUCAUUAAUGCAUUAAAGCUUUAAAGGAAAAUACUACCUAAUUUAUUAUUUAAUGAUACACAUAUUUUCCAUAAAAACAUUUUUAAUACUCAGGCCAUCACCUUCUCUUUUUACAUAUUAGUAAAUGUAUUUUUACUAAGAAAUAAUAUUAAUACUUCAUUAUAUAUUAUAUAUUAUAAUGUAUGUGACUAAAUUUAUACUGAUAUAAGCAAGUAUAUAAACAAGUGUCUCAUUAAUAGAAAGAAGGCUUCAGACUGAGAAAAAUCCUGGUUAUAUUGUCAAUCAGUUACUUUAACAUUAAAUCGAAGGUGGUUAAGAUUAUUUUGUGUUAAAUACAAAAGUCAGUUUUUAUGGAUCAGAGGACUAUUCUAGGCUUUACAGUUUAGAGUGGUAUAGUUUAAUACUCGUCUUUUUAAAUUUGAAAUUAAAGCAUAUACAAGAAACAAUUUGCUGCAUGUGAGAGCUGCAUUUUAAACAUUUUAGCUUUUGAAUUUCUAGUGUUUCCAUGAAAGCUUGAAUAGAAAGCUAUGGUCUAGCAAACUAAAAGCUGUGGUCUACAGCUCUAUGAAACAGUCUCCACCUGGAAUAAGGAGAACUGAUAUAAUCUAAUUGUUUAACCAAUAACAUUCAUUUUUACCAUUAUAUAAUAACCUAAGGAGCAAAUUUUUAUCCAGUGUAGUUCUAAUAAACAGAUUUAGGAAAUUUAUUUUAUACUAUUAUAUUACUGGAACAUUUUGUAAGUGCUCAAAGAAUUUGGUCAGGACAUUUCUUAAUAUAAGAAUUUAAAAAUUCCUUGUGUCAUAGACGAAUGAGAAAAUUUUAAUAAUGGUCCAUAGGAUAAUCACAUAUCACACACUAUCACACACACACACACACACACACACACACACACACGUGCAUAAGAUCUAAAAUUCUUGUUUUAUGCCUUUUAUAAAAUGAAGCUAUUUCUCUUUGCUUCUAAACUGGGACACAAUUUAAUGCCAAAAUAAAAUUGGGGCAGCUGCUGAAAAUACCACAAUAAUAACAUUACCACAUAAUAAUAAUAAUAAUAAUAAUACCAACACAAUGAUAAUAACUUAAAUCAAGAGAAGAGUUUAAGUCCUGAGAAAGUUCUAUUCAAGACAUACUAUCAUGAUUAUAAAGUUAUUAGCAGGAAGAGUACUAUUAAAAAGUAUUAUAUAAUACUAAUAAGGGUCUAUGUAAGGAAGUUUAAAACAUUUCCCAAAUGUUACAGAAUUUGCCAGUCAGGUAAAGUUCUGAUUUUUAAUUUAAAAUAUCUGCUAUAAUUGAUAAUAAUAACUUGUUACUAUAAAUCUACAAAAGAACUUAAGUGAUUUGGAUCAGUGUUGCAAGAACCUGACUUGAAUCAAUAGAAAGGAGUGCUUCUCAAAUUCUAGCAGGCAUCAGAAUCAGGCUUGUUAAAAAACAGAUUAGGAACCCCACCUCUAGAGUUUUAGAUUCAUUGGACACAUAAUGCCAUCUGAGAAUCUGCAUUUGUAAGAAGUUCCCAGGUGAGGCUAGGCGACUGAUCAAGGGACCACAUUUAGCACUUUCUUUGAUAAAGCUAUUAUCAUGUUCUCAAAAGACAUUUAUUGACUCUGGAACCUAUUAUUAUUAAUGGAUUUGGGAAUUAGAGAUAUUCACUAUCAUUUUACAGUUACUAAAAUAAAUUUUAUGAUAACCAUAAAUACACUAACAAUUUUUGCUAGGAUAUAAUUUUGUGUAAUUAUAAAUGUGUUACAAUGAUAUAGGAAUAGUAAUAGAGUAACUUGCUUUGAGGUGAAAAUAUGUGUAUUCUAUUCUUUUCCUAUCGAGUACUUCCUUGGUCUAUUAAGUUUUGAAAAAGUGUCUAUAUUCUGAGGGGAAAAAAAAGAGUAAAUCCAUUUCUAUAGAGGAUUAUUAUUAUUAUAUCUGUGAUUGUAAGUGUCUUCUGGUGAAUGGAGACAAUAGUAAUAGCUUCUAGCAACAGUCACAUUUACACUAUUUAAUAUUUGCUCUAUUAACCACAAUCUAGUAAGUUACUUGAAAGGAGGAUAUUGUUUUACAUUCUUUUGAAUUCCCCACAGAGCUCCUAAGAACCUGAAUUGUGAGCUGUCCUAUAGGGCGUGAAUGCUUUCAGGGCAAUAUAACUCUAACAUUUAGAAGAAUUCCAGGAACAUAGUAGGGGCUUAAUAAAUAUUGACAGACCUGAAUACUUCAUGAAUAGUACAUGCAUAAUAGAUAUUCACUGAUUUAUUCUAAAAGACAUCCUACCUCUUGAACAUAUAAGCUGCUUGAUCUCAGCAUGUUUGUCAGAUACUAUAAAAUGAAAAGUGGAGAGGUCUAAAUAUCCUUGCAUUGAGCCAGGUAACUUGGUUAGUGUGAGAUUGACUUUAGGUUACUAAUUUUGCCCAUGUCUAUACUACAGGCAUGAAAAUAAAAACAUGUUUCUACAUUUUAAAAAGUUUUGUUUUUAAUAAUAUAGAUAUGACUUUGUACACAUAAAAUAUAUACUUAAAAUGCAUGUAUCAUCGUUACUUGUAGUAUAAGCUACAGGCUUAAUGAGACUAGAAUGGUAAGACACAGAUUUCGUUCUGUUUAUGGUUGUGAAAAAAGAUUUUAUAACCUAGUAGUAGGACUUCUGAGGCUUAAAUAGACCUGUGUAUUGCCCCUAAAAUGUUAGUCUGAUUUCUGCCCCUAAAGUAUAUUAUCUUUGUUUUUUCAUCAGUUCUGAGAAUCGUAGCCUAAAAUGUGCAGGGGUGAUAGGCUGUAUACAUUGAGUGGACAAUUGCAUCAUUAUAAAGGCAGGAUAAGCAUGAAUAUCAAUGACAAAAAAGUUAUGAAGGAGUCCCCUCCUUGUCUCACCGAUUGGUAACCUAAAAGGCCAGGAAAAACAAUUAUAGCAUAUAGGAUGUGUGGUAGGGGAGAAAUUGCAGAAAGACCUGAUAAACCCAAAUGUCUUGAUAGAGCUGAAUUUUUUCUAACACAGUAUGAAAAACCACUAAAGACAAAACACUUUUUAAUAACAGAAGUCAUUUAAGGCCUUAAAAAAAAGAAAAAGUACUGCUCUGCAUCUGUUUUUAAUUGACACCCACUAUACCAGUCCCUGAGACACCAUAGUGAGGUCUGCUGGCUGUGUCUCCCCCCCACCCCCCACCUGAUUCCAUAAGGAUGCGCAGCCCACACUAACAAGCCAGCAGUGCUGCUUCUGGAAAAUAUCCUUUACUAACGUCAAAGAAAGAACAGGGUGGAACAGAACUGUAAUGGUGCUUAAUACGAAAGAGUGCCUUUCUGCUUCCUUCUCCCUUUCCUCAUAAACUGAAUGAACUGUUGUUAUAAGACAACAUACUGCUGAGUUAAUGUAACUUAAAAAUUUACAGCAGGUUGUAUGCCUGGAAGCACAUUAUGAGGCCACCUGUAGGCAUCUAAUUCCACUGAAAAUAAUAAAUAAUUGUGGAGAAUUCCUCAGAGUCUAGAGGAGAGUGGAUAAGAAUCCUGUUGCUGGUUCACUCCAACAAGGAUUCUGUUGUGGAGGAGGAUUAGAGAAUUGCACUCUCUCCAACAAAUAUGAGUAAUCCUUCUCCCCACAAAAGAGUCUACUAAAUGCAACACCAGACACCUGGGUGCCAAAUCUGCACAGCCAUUUCUUGGGUACUUUUGAUAAUCCAGCAGCAGAAAUGGCCACAUGGCAAUUGCUUAAUAUAGCGCAUUGAUCCAUUUAAGAACGCUUUUUUUUUUUUACAGUAAAGAAAGCUAUUUUGUUUGUCUCUGCAUCCUGUUUAUCUCUUCGAAGCCUCUUCCUCAUAUUUUGGCAAAAGUAAGUGACAGUAAGAAUGUCCCUGAUAGGAUUCUAAGCUUUUUUAUUUGGGAGAAAUUAAUAUGUGUAUUUUAGCAGUGCUCAGCAACCUUGACCUUUUUCAAGUGGAAGGUAAAAUUAAUUUACUUCAGAGCUGCCUUAAAGAAAAAAAAAAUGUUACUAUGCUUUUGCCACAAGGUAGGUGGAUUUAGUACUUAUCCUGUAACUACCAGAGUAUAUAUAUCAUUUAUUUCAGGUCAUAUUCUGCUAUAAGAUCAGUGAAAUUUUACACGUAUGUGCAUGAACUUUUAUCAAGUAGAUUCCUGAAGCUAGCCUUAUUUUUGUUCAGUUGGGUUAUAAAUUACCCAUAAGCUUUAUUAAUCCUUAGUCUUAGAAGCAUUGCAGAUACUGUUUGGAUUUCAAAUCUAUAACAAACUUUCUCCACCAUGAUCCCAUGGCUUUGAUUUAAGAAAACUACAUUUAAAUAAUCAUUUAAAUAUUGAGGAUUGGAUUCCUGGUGGUACUCAGGUUGACAUUUCCAUUCUGUUUGUACUACACGAAGGGUUAAUAAGGUUUGCGUAACCUUAUUCUUUGACGGCUUUUCGGCAGAGUAUUUCAGGAUUGCUGCCAAAACAGAUUUUAACCCUUUUAAUAAUGCUCAUAAUAACCACAUUGUGCAGAGCACAGCGCAUACUGCCCAUAAUGCAAUAUAGCUCUGGACACAGUUUGACCUGAUAUCCAAUCAAGGAAAGGUUCUUUGAGAUGCUUGCCAUUUUGGUUGCUAUGGUGAGUUUCAUAUUUUGUGGAAACCACUGCUAGAUGUCUUAAAAUAGACCUUUGCCAAGAAAAACACUGGUCCAGUGGCAUAUGCUGGCAGAGCAUUGCAAGGUUGCUCAAAUUCCCUUCCUUUGUUUUUCCCUCUCCCCCCUGGGGCAACUGCUCCAAGCAUCAGCCCACUAGUCUGGCAGGCUGAGAAUCCAGAAACUUGCUGCUAAUUACAAUGUUGACAAUUCCCAACCUGUUUACUGGCGCCAGCAAUCAAACCGCAUCCUCUCGAGUGAACCAAAAAGCACUUGCUGGCUUUAGCUUCCUGAGGUUCCAAGCUGGCUCUAUUAAUUACUGUUAACUUAAAACUGUAUGUUGUACAGAAGAAGCUUAAUUAGCUGGUUUGAGGAUUAAAAUCUAUCCUUUACAAAUUUUAAAGCCUUCUGUUCUUGACCAAAUUAUAGGAAUCCAUAAAACAUCUUUCCUUGAACAAAAUGCUGAUUAUUUAAGUAUUACUUCCCUGAAUCAAUUUUGCCACUGUAUUACCUUCAAUCCAGCACCAAAGUAGAUCAGAAAAUGAUGUCUCUCUCUCUCUCUCUUCCCCCCCCCACCACUUCUCUUAUUUCUUACAGUUGUAUCUACAUUUUAUUUUUUUUGAAAUUGAGUAAUAAUGAGUAUAAUUACUUAUGGUUGUAGUUUAUAAUUAAAGAAAAGGGAAAACCUUUUGAUGGGGACAAGGUAGUCAAAAGAUAUCAUUUUGUCUUGGUAAAUUUUAAAACAAUGAUAGUUACACCAUUUUUUCAAGUGAACACUUACUGCUGUGAUAGAGCUCUGAUUUGGGAGCUUUUGUCUUUCAAGUAUAAGAAGUACAUUUCUUUGAUAAGUUGGGUGACCACAGCAAGAAAUCACUCUCUUGGCAUCCUAAAUGAGUAACACCAUAGGUAACACAGAUGUAUCAGUGGACGACCACCAUACAAUCUGCAUAAAUAGCACAACAGCAGUGGACAAGGUUUUAGUAUAAAACUGAGGAUUUUAUUUUGAUUUUGCUCCAAGAGUCAGUCUGUCUUUAUUUAAUAAGACAGCUUUGAAUAUUUAAAAAUGGAAUAAAAGCAUAAAUACAAUUUUAAUUUAUACAUUAAAAUGUGAUUUUAUUUAUGUUCUUUGAUGUGAGCACAUCAUUGGGUCAGCAUUUGGUAAUCUCAUUUUUAAUUUUCCAUUGAAUAUACUUCAUGACAAAUACUUGUCAUUCUAAUUUCUGAGCCAAUACUUUCAUUUGGAAGCUUAUUAAAUUCAGUUAAUGUAAUUUAUAUUAAAAUUUUCUUUGUUUUACUAAAAUAUUUGCAACUUGGUUAAAGAUCAAGCUAUUCCUUUAACUAUGAUUUCUAUGAUUUCUACAUUAUUAAUUUGGCCUAUAAAAUCUUCCUAGGUUUUGAAAAAUAUAUACAUAAGAAUAAGCACACUAAGACCUUUGGAAUCUAUUGGCACAUUCACAUCUAUAUAUACAAUAUUUAAGCUUGAAAAAGGUUAAAUCAGAUGAAUAACUGACUAGUAUGAAGAAUGUAAGAAUUAUUGCCAGAUACCAGGAAGAGUAGAGUUGGAAGAAAAACUCCAAUAUUGAAGUUUUAGUGUGAUGUAUUAGGAAGAAAACAUCCAAAGAGGACUUAGAAAAUGGGUUUCAAAUAUUAUUUGGGUAUCCAUGGGGAAGUUACUUAGAUUCUCUGUGUUGUGAAAAUAUCAUGUAUAAAACAUGGAUGUAGGACCAGACACCAAAUAACUGGAUUUGAGAUAGAAAGUAAUCAUAACAACUAAAAAUCAUAUGAAUUUACUAUGGGCUUAUAAGACUCACAAAAUUUUGUAUUCUGUGUGGAUAAUAGACUGGAAAAUAAUUCUAUCAAAAGAUAACAAAUGAUCAAGUGGAAAUGCUGUGUCUUUGGAUACACAGGCUGAGCCAGAGAAGAACAAGCAUGUCAAUCUCCUAUAUCAUUGCCAUGGUGAAUUAACAAAUACCCUCAUCCCUAAAAUGUAAUCAAUUGCAGUGAAUAGGAAAAUCCAAAUUCUGCAUUUUAUAUUGAGAGAUAGUGCUAAUACACUCUUAAAUAAAUUCCCCUAGGUUACUUUAUUUCUAAAGUACAGUUUCAAAUAUAACAUACAUUUUCCAUAGAAAAAUGGAUGAAAAGGCUGUCUCUUUUAAGCCAUGUGCCUCUUAGGCUUAAUUUUCCAUAAGUUUGUCUUUUCAAGACUGAUGACUUUCCUUUGACUUGUGAAACAUCCAGAGUCCAUUCCUUUCUCAGUUUUCUACCUAUAAACUAUGCCUAUUUUACACAGACACUAUUUCUAUUUUAAUUGAUUCACACCUCUAUACCGGCACAUGACUUUUGAUCUAAGUAAAAGCAAGAAGUUUUGAAUACUAUGAAAGCAUUCCUACUGUAUAGAUACACUAUAUAAAGCCAAUAUUGUCAACUUCCCAUCACAAGCUACUAGAUCUGCCAAUAAAAUAGCCAACGAUAAUUUCAUUAUGGUUUCUUUAACACAUCACCAUAACUGCACAAUCCUCUCCAUGGUCCACAUCCUUAAUAUUGUUACUUGCUAUCAUUGUCCCUUGUCUCUUGUCAAAUUCAAUUGUUAUCUGCACAAAUUGUCAGAUCUAAAUGUGAAACUGUCUCAAAAAUUUAGCAUCAACCCCGAUUUUUAAUAUAGUAGCCACAACUAGCAAAAACCUGUUUCUUUCAGUGUAAAGAAUCCUUAUAUUUUGACUCUGUCCUAAUACCUAGUAUUAAACACUCUCAAAGUUGUUUUGGACAACCACAUCCAGCAACUGAAAGGAAUAUGAGAUAUCUUAAUAAAAAUAUAAUGAAUAGUUUCCAAACUUUGCAUUUCUACCAUGAGAAAUCUUUUUGAAAUCAAAUGCUUUUGAAAACUUUAUACAAUUUGUAUUGAGCCUAUUCUCAAAUUCUCAAAUGGAUGUAAAGUAUCAUAUCCAUCAUUAAACUGUAGAUGAAACAUUAUGUAAAUUAUCUGAAUAAAGUUAUAGCUGACAAGCCAUAUUAUUUUAAUUUUUAGAGAAUGGAUAUAUUAUUUUGUGGUUAUAAGGUCAACUUGUAUUAACUAUACUUGGAACACCCAAGAGAGUAACACCUUUCAAAUAAAACUAUAAUUUAAUUUUGCUUGUAACUUAAAUUUGCCUUGCUAAUAAGUAUUGAAAAAAUACUGUAUAAUCCUUAUCAUUGGAAAUAUAUCUAUCACAGUAAUUAUUAUAUUGGCUAAAAUGAUUUUCAGUUGAUUAUUUGUUAAAAAUUUAUGAAUUCUUACAAGUACUUAUACAUUUAAUAUUAAAUAAAAUAUAUUAGGUAGCAUAUUUACAUCAAAAUUCACAUGGAAUAAAAUGAUUCCAGAUUAAACAGUUACUUAUAGUUCCAAAAAGAAUAGCACCUUUAAAAAAAUGUUCUCAUAGAUUGUUCAAUUAUUUAGAAGCUGUAUCUGAUAAUCAGAGAAAAUGAGUUUUCUAUCUUAAAAAAAAGAAUAAGUGCACUAUUCAUAAGCAAUAUUGGGAAUUAACGAUUUACAUUAAGUUAAACUUAAAUAUAUGCAAUUCAACAGCCAUUUUAUGGAUUAGCUACUUUUAAAAAGAUAUUAACUAUAGGGAGAAGUGUAAAAUUCUACAUUAACAUAUCCUGAAAUAAUAAUAUUCUUUUACUAAAUUAACAAUAUUUUUGAACACCUAUCAUGUGCCAGAUAUGGGACCAGGUAUUUUAAAAGCUUUAGCACUGCUAUGCUAUUUCAGAAUUAAAUAUCCCACACAGAUACUAGCUCUUGUUUUAGAAUGCAAAAAAUAAUAAUAAUUUCCCCACUCCUCUAAAAAUCAUAAUUAAACUUAAUAGCAUAAACAUUUACACACAGAACAAACAUUUUAAAAGGCCCAGUGCUUAUUCUUCAUGAACUACAAUUAUAUACAUUGACUUUGAAAAGAGUUAUUUGCGAUUUGGUCUUUUUAAGUUGAAAUGUUUCUGAGGUGGAUCCCUGGUUUAGAGAGCCUCAGAUACAUUACACAUAUAGCGAAUACAUGCAUUUUCACAAUAACACACUAGGAUGAAUCUGUAAGUCAUUCUUUGGGGAUUUUCUUUCCUGCCAAAACUUCAAAUAGAAACUGAAUGGCAAAGAAGUGACAAAUAUGUUUCCAUGUAUUUCAUGUUUUAAAAAUUUAAGUAAAAACCUUGAAGACCAUUUUCCUGUUUGCUAUCAAGAUAAAAUAUGCUGGUGGGUGCAUUUGAAAGAUUUGUCUUUUUUAAAGCUUCUUUCUUAGUUGUGCUAUUAAUUUGCACACCAUCCACAUAUAAAAUGAAGAGAAGAAUUUAGCAGCACCCCCCCCCCAGCAAAAGGCUUUCUUUUAAAUGGAGUCCAUAGCAGGUAGAAGGGCCUUGAGAGACUAUAAAUCUAGCCCUCCUUGUUGUGCAUGAGACACCGAGGGCCAGGCAAGCUUUGUGGUUUGUCCAUUGUCAUCAUUCACAACUGACCCUGUACUCAAAAUCAGAUUUUCCAGCUUUUAUUCCAAAGUUCUUUUCACCUCAAGCAUCAUAUAACAGAGGAAAAAAUGAGAUUUGAGGUUUUUCCAUAGAACUGCCUCAAUUCUGUAAUUUGCUUUGUCUUUGUAAACACUUACAAAGCCUCUUUAAAAGAGUAAAUAAAUUGUGCAUGAAACUGGACCCAUAGUAAGCAUUUUAAAAUUUAAUUCCCCUGUAGUUGUGCAUAAAACAAUCCAAAAUAUUUAGAAGUCUUACCCUAAUAUAUUUCUGUUACAAAGGAAAAUAUUUUGCAUGCAUGUUUCUCAUAGAGUAUCAGUUAUGACAUUCAUUUAUUCAUUCAUUCUUCUUAGAUUCCAAAAAUAAAUGGAGUGUUUGGUAGAUAUACAGAAACUAUCUUAAAUAAGUAACUUUAGUUGAUCUUGGGACUUGUUUGAACUAAUCCAUGAAAUUGGCCACAUUUUGCUCACAAAUAUAAAAAUAGACCUCAAACAAUUACUUUUCCCUCAGGUAUUUGGACAUAAAUUUAAAGAAACAAAAAAUUUCAAGAGUUUCAAUUUUCCAAUUAAAUUAUAUCAUUGUUACAAAAAUAUUUUUUGGAAACAAUGUCUCCUAAGAGCACAUAUUUAAUUCAAGUUUUAAAAAAGACACUAUUUUCAAAUUAUGCAAUUAUGCCACUAUUGUAAUAUAAUUUGUCAACUUUUUAAAAACUGUAUUAUGAUAUUAACUGUAUUUUAACCAAGUACAUAGUAUUAGUAAAUAGAUUAUGGCGAUAUAUGUAGUUUUAGUGUGAAAUUUAACUGAGAUUCGGUACUAAUUUGAAGCUAAUAAAAUAGAGUAAACCUUAUUUAAAAUCCUUUCAAUGUUUUAAAGUUUAUAGUUUAUUCUUAGGGGUUUUUUUGUUUUUGUUUUUUAACUUUUGGUUCUAGCUGUAGGUAGUAGGUGUGUAAAUUUGCAGACAGUGUGCAUGUCACCGAGCCUCAAAAGGUAUUUCCACAAACACAGCAAAUGAAAAUCUUUGUCUUUGCACUUAUAGAGCUAGUAAAAUAUUUUUUGUUGAUUUUGAAAACUGUCUUACAUAGCUCUCAUUAUUAAUUAGAAUAUAAUUGAACUCAGAACUCAAAAGAUUUGGGUAUUCAUAUAUUUUUAAUCUGGGCAACAAUACAAAUAUUAGAGAUCCAUUGGUUCUGUUGUUAAACUACACUUAACAAACUCAACUAAUCACCAGGUACUAAAUAUAGUUCAAGAAACUUAGAAUUUCACAAUAUCUGUUUUUUAACCGAUAAGUUUUGGAUGAUUGCAAUGUUUUUUCAAUUAAAAAGCUUAUACAUUCACACAGUGUUUUAUAGAUUGAAAUUGAAGAAUUAUAAGUCAUUUAAAAUAUAGGCGUCAAGAGAAAAAUCUCAAAAUGUUUUUUUAAAAAUUAUACUAUAAAACUUUUUGCUUAAAAGCUAUUUAGCAUUUAUGUUAAUAAGUGUAUAGCAACCAAUAACUAAAUGUGAUAGCUAAAUACAAUAAUAAAAAAGUUUUGAAGUAUUCUAUCACUAAUAUGUUUUAUUUUUAAUUAAAAAUGUUUAUUACCAAAAUAAAUGUACCUUCAUAUGUGCAGAUUACACUACUCUCUAACAGUGUAAAAUUAUCAUUCUGUCAUUUCUAUGGUAUUAUGGCCACUAAAACUGUAUUAUUAAAAAGUUGGUGAAUAAUUGUGAUGGUCUUACACUGUCUUCUAUAUCUUUAGAUCUUCUCCUGUAUCCUACAUAAAAACACAAAAUUUUCCUCAAUAUAUACCUAGACAAAAAAGUCUAUUUUUAUUUUUGAAAAAUUACCAUUACUGAUGUGCAAUAUAAUAAAAACAAAAAUGUUUGUAUGGUUUAUGGAAUUUUCUUUCCAUCAAAAUGCUACUUCCUCAUUGCUCUCCUUUACCUGGACAUUCAUUGACAGUUCUUUUCUGGUUCUAGAUUGGCACUGCUGUGACACCAAGAAUCAUAUCAUUCUAAAGCAAACAGUGGACUUGGGGAGAAAUCCUGGUUCCAGGACAUGAUUAUUUAUUUAAAAAUGUACUUGUCCAGAAUCAUCUGCCUAAUACACAUACAUACAUAUGUGUGUGUGUAUGUGUGUGUGUGUGUUCAUGAUUAAACAGUGUAGUAUUCACAUAGAGGCUGUCGUGAUCCUCAAGGGAUCUUUAAUCAUGAAUACCACCACUCCCUGCAGGUCUAUUCAAGCAACAGUAUCAGAACACAAUUCACAGACACAAAGAAUAAAAUCAGUAAAUUGUUUGUAAAACAGUUUCCAUCAAACUCCUUACCUGAGACUCAGUAGUAAACCAUUAACCAAGAUCAUGUAUUUUACACCUACUAAUGAAUAUCACAGUAUAAAUGUGAGUGUUCACAGUAUACAAAUCUCAAUGGGAAACCUAAAAUCUUCCACCUCUAAGCCAGAAACUGUGUUCAUAAAAUUUUGAGUACAUAGGUGGAGUUAACUAAAGUAAAAAUAGUAGUAAAAAAAGGAAAUUUUCAUAAGUUUUCUCCCUCCCCCUCCAUUGUGCCCUAUGUAUUACUAUCAAAGAAUAGUCUAAGCUGUAUCCAUAUGCUUUUCUCAAGUAGAAAUUCUAUCACUUUUGUAAAGCAAACCAAAUUUUAGAAAAACGUUGUAUAUCCUUCUAGUAUUUGGACAUCAACUGAAAAUCCAGGUAUUAUAAUUUCUUAAAAAUCACUUGGAUCUAGCUUGAAAAACACACACAAUCACUUUGCACUUCUUUAAUCUUGUCUAUGAAUACUGACAGGGCAAAAGUGACAACCAGCUAGUAGUGAUAUACUUUCAAAUUCUCUUUUCUGAGGAAAACAAGUUGACUGUAAUAAAACAAUUAACUACAGCAAUUUCAACUGAAUAAAGUUUUGGGCCUUUCCCCCUUAUCUAUAAAGGCCCAAUUUAGUUUUUAAAAAAUGUUUUUUUUUUCUUUUCAAAUUUAAAUAGGAACCAGCUCAGUCAGACUGACACCUAAUGGAAACUUUUAUAAGAAGAUAAUUCUGCAAAGGAAAGAGAGCAAUGAGAUAAGUAUUGAAACCACUUGAACCAAGAAAAUCAAAUACUUGUUGUUGACCAUGAGAUGAGUAGAGGUUUCCUUUAGAUUUCAUCACUAACAUUUACAAUUAUUCCACUUAAAAAAUUAUUAUUCAUUUAUGAAGCGAAUGCAAUCAUAAGCUAAAGUCCCACUGGCAAAGAACUGAAUGAAAUAGCUUGUUUUUAAAAGUUCUUCCUCAGUCUCUCAACGAAUGCCAGAGUAUUACCUUUCAUUUCCGGAAAACUCUAUCACUAGGCCCCCAGCUUCCUUUCUUUCAAAUCUUAUACACUUACUAGUCAACCAGCAGCAUGAGGCUAACUUUCCAAAGAUCACCUAGUUACUAGAUUAUGUGGCUCUCUCUAGUUUCCCAAUUUCCCAAUAAAACAAUGCCACCAGCAGACAUAUUGAAUUUUGUUAAAUGCAUAACAAGCCCUUAAUCACCAACUGGUGUAUCCCUAUGGAAAGAGGAUAAUUCAUGGAACAAUGAAGGGAAGAACAGUAGUCACACAUUCUCUUGCUAGUGAGAGAAUGUCGAGUGCAGAGAUACCAUAUUUGUGCUUUCUUUUCUACUUCAAUUCCUUCCUUAAAGGGACUUGCCCUGGGAGCUUCUCAGAAGGUCCCCACUCAUUUUCCUCGCAAACAACUUUCCCUGAGCGCAAAAGCUGUGAGUGUAGAUACCCCGCGAGUAACUGUGGGAUCAGACGCGGUGUAGUGGAAAUAGGGUCAGGAGAGGAGUGGCGCCUUGUACCCCUCACUAGGAAUCCAAAGUACUAAAAGAAACGCAAAGCUCUACAUGGGAAAGCAUGCGAGUGUGCCUGCCUUCUUCGAAGCACCUCGCUCUCCAGGGCUCAGAGCUGCCCUUGUGGGCAAGAACUCAGUGCGGGUACGUGCACGUCGCGCCCAGGAAAGGCGUCCUCCAAAGGGAAAAG